rnacentral:lncRNA from 1 species
GUGGAAACUCUUCUCGCAUAGCGAGCAACUCAGCCUCUAAUCGUGAUUUCCUCAUCUCAUACCCUAUGCGAAAAGAUAGAAUAAUGAGUAAAAAAUUUAGUGAACAUGUAAUAAAGCAAGAAUAUGAUGCAUGAAAUAGGAAGAAACAUACCCAUAUUGAUGACUUGUUUUUUUAAGUCAACAUUUUUAAACUGUUUGUUGAAAUUUGAUGCAAUGUGGCGAAUGCAAUACACAGACGAAACAUCUAGUCCAUUCCAGCCAACGCGUUCGGAUUGUAAAGCUGCUAGCAAACCGGUUCCCCUGUCUGAUAUAAUACACAAAUUUAGUUGUGGAGUAACAUAUCUUUGCAAAUAAUGCAAGAACCACAUCCAAGCUUCUUUAGUCUCGCUCUCAACAAUUGCAAAAGUAAGUAAAAAAUUGUUCCUACUACCAUCUUGUCUGAUGACAGUCAACAAAGUACCAUGAUAUUUGCCAGUUAAAAAUGUCUCAUCUACUUGCACAAGUGGCUUGCAAUAUUUGAAGCCUUCAAUGCAUGGAUUAAACGCCCAAAAUACACGGUUAAGAAUCACCCUGGGAGGGUUAUCGUCACCUUCCUCCAUUGAAGAUGAAGUUUUGUAUUUUACUAUGGUACCUGGUACAAAGUGUUAAGCAGCUGUGAACCAUAUAGGCAGGUAACUAUAUGAUUGUUCCCAACUUCCAAAUGCCAUUUCAAGAGCUUUUUGUUUAGUUGUCCAUGCCUUUUUGUAUGAAACAGUGUAAUGAAAUCGUUGUUGCAUGUCUGCAAUCAAGGUUUUGAUUUUGAUACUUGGAUUUGUUUUCACUAAAUGAACAAUAUUAUGGGCAAUUACAGAAGAAUCUAACCUAACAUGAUCUUGUGAUAUGGUAGAAUUUGUGCAUGUGUGAAUACCGUUUAAUUUCUUCAACUCCUACCUUUCGCGUAUUUUGCUGAACGAUACUCUCGCCCUCCAAUAACAUCCAUUACCAUAUUGAUUACACAUGACAACAUACUUGUCACUCUUGUUCUCGACCACAUCAAAAUUAAAUGAAUGCAUAAAAUGGAAUUGUUUAAUGGCAUUCACAGCGGCUUGUUUUGAUUCAAAUGUCAACCCUUCAUAAAGGUCAUUUGUACUAACACUCGCUGUCAUUUGAUAAGGAUUUGAGUAUUCUUGAUUUUCAGAAAGUUGGCUACUAAUAGUUUCAAAAUAUGAAGAUGACUCACUUUGAUUGCUUGGUUCACCAUGUUCACUAAAAUCAUGUUGUUGCUCGUCAUCACUGAAGUCACUAACAUUAUCUCUUAUUAUGGGUUCUUCAGUAGCCAUCUGCAAAAAAAAAAUAUUGAUUAGUAAGAAAUCAUUGGAUUACAUGUAACGUAAAAAAUUAAAACCUUUUUAAAUAUCUUUUUCGUGUAUGUAAUACUAAAAAAAUUAUCUCAGUAUGACUUUAACACGUCAAAAUCAGAGAACCAGGCUGAUUGUUGGAAUGCAACAGAUGCACCGAAGUGAGAAUGAACCCUCCUUUUAUAGGUUUCACGGGAGUGAACAGUGUAAUAAUAAUUUGUCUAACUCAUAUUCUAAAACACAAAAUAAUAACUAAACCGUAAAUUAAUAAUAACUAAACACUAUUAUUCUAAAACAUAAAUAAUAAUUUAACAAAAUUAAUUGAUCAUCUAUAAUAAUUUAUGUAACUAAACUGUAAAUUAAUAAUAACUAAACACUAAUAUUCUAAAACACAAAAUAAUAAUUUAACAAAAUUAAUUUAACAUCUAUAAUAAUUUAUCUAACUAAAUCGUAAAUUAAUAAUAAUUAAACACUAAUAUUAUAAAACAUAAAAUAAUAAUUUAACAAAAUUAAUUGAUCAUCUAUAAUAAUUUAUAUAACUAAACCGUAAAUUAAUAAUAACUAAACACUAAUAUUCUAAAACAAAAAAUAAUAAUUUAACAAAAUUAAUUGAUCAUCUAUAAUAAUUUAUAUAAUUAAACCGUAAAUUAAUAAUAACUAAACACUAAUAUUCUAAAACACAAAAUAAUAAUUUAACAAAAUUAGUUUAACAUGUAUAAUAAUUUAUCUAACUAAAACGUAAAUUAAUAAUAACUAAACACUAAUAUUCUAAAAUACUAAACCAUAAAUUAAUAAUAACUAAGUGAUAUUAAAAAUGUAAAACUAAUUAAUAGUGAAGUCGUACUCCAAAGUAAAAAGCAGUUUAUAAACAAAAAAAGAAUUAGAAAAUUGAAAGGCCAUCACUUGUGCAGCACAGAAAACAGCAAAGAAAAUCAGAAAACAGGUCCUUGAAAACAGCAUGUGCAGUGUAUUGUUAACUCAUGUUGUAGCACUGAAAUAACAAAAAACUGCAGGCAAGGGAAUAGCUUUAGAACCCGUGAAGGUUGCAUAGACAAGGCAGUGUAUUGUUAACUCAUGUAGUCAUGAAGCAUGCUUACACGAUUCCCAACUUGCAAUAAUUAACACCUAUAGCUGUUUCAUGAAGCAUAUUUUAGAAGUUGAAAAAUAAUUAACACGACUGCUAUAUAUAUAUAUAUAUAUAUAUAUAUAUAUAUAUAUAUAUAUAUAUAUUAUUAAUAAAGCUUUAUUAUAUGAUAGCAUGGGAAUUAACACGUAUAACAAUUACUUUCAAGUUUUAUCAUGUUUUGCUUUAAAACAUAUUUACUUAAGAUGAAUUAAAAAUGGGGUGUAGAAUUUUUUAUGGUUAAAAAUUGUCACAAAUAAUUUAAUAUUUAAUAAAUAGUCACACAAGCAAUUUCUACCGUCAGAAAAUAAACACUAAAUAAAAUAAUAAUAAAAUUAACAUUACAUCAUCAUUUAAUGGCAUAAAUAGAAGGUAAAUACUAAAAUCUUAAUGAAAAAAUUGUUUAGAGACUUUAGUCAGUUAAAUUUUAAGGACUAAAACUUAAAAUUUGAUUUUUAAGAUUAAGAACUUAGUUAACUCUUGAAAGCAUAUUUUAAGUCAAAUAAAAAUCACUCACAAAAUGUGUACGUAAGGGAAUCCAACUUUUAUGAUUUAUGAUAGACAAUGGACAAUUUAUGAUAGCAUGGGAAUCUUGCAGCUGCUACUAGCAACCUACAUAGUGAAAUGAUUUAUCAUAAAAUAGAAUCUUGACAAAAAGCAAUAAAGUAGUCAAAUUUAACUUAUUUUGUACAAAUGAUUUAUCAUAGCACGGACCAACUUCAUUGUGUAUAUUAUACUUAAAAAAUUGUUGAGCAAUAUUCUACAAGUUAACAUAUUAGACUUCAAAAAUUGUUGAGCACGGACCACCCUCCUUUCAUACCUCCCCCCUUUCACUUUUCCUCAUUCUUAUUUUCAUCCUUGUAUCCAUUUACCAAUGGCAUAUGCACAACCCGAACCAGUUGAUUGUUCGUUGUUGCGCUUACAAGACAAUCAUAUUUCAAAUCAAGUGUGGGAAGACCAAGAGAGAAUCAUCUGUCCGAGGUAUACUUCUGUUUGGGCUUUUACCCACUUGGAUCAAAUAGAUAAUCGGGUAAAAAAUCUAAUCAAUUUAGCUGGUUUCGGACAUAUUAUAAAUGCUGGAAAAGUUGAUAUUAACCAGCAUGUGGUUAGUGCAUUGGUUGAACGUUGGAAAACAGAGACACACACAUUUCAUUUUCCACAUAGAGAGGCAACCAUCACUUUACAGGAUGUGGCCCUACAAUUGGGCUUGAAGAUUGAUGGAUUGCCGGUAACCGAUUUCAUCACCGGCAAUGUACGUGUUGCUUGUUAGACAUUACUCGGGGAAACUCCACCUGAUAAGUAUGUAAAAGGUAAAAUGAUUUACCUAACUUGGUUGCGGCAAAAUUUUCAGCAACUUCCCGUUGAUGCUGAUGAUGUUGUCAUUGCACAACAUGCUAGAGCUCAUAUGAUGAUGAUUAUAGGCGGUUGUUUGAUGCCAGAUACAUCAGGUGCAAGAGUUCAUUUUAUGUAUCUUCUUUUAUUAUCAAAUUUAACCGAGGCAAGUCAUUAUAGUUGGGGUGCAACAGUAUUAACAUCCCUUUUCCGAGCUCUAGAUCGGGCUGUGAAACCGGACCAAACAGAAAUUUGUGGAUGUUUGUUGUUGCUACAGUCAUGGGCGUGGGACCGCAUUAAAUGUAUUACUCCAAAGAUAGAUCACCUAUCCAUGGAAGAAGUACAACAAGGACUCAGAUUUCCUCUUGCACGAAGGUGGUCUCAUCCAAGGACCGAACCAAAUAUUCCUAACAAUUCAGUGAGAUUGAUACACAUCAUAUUUGAUAAACUACAUAUUAAUGAGAUUCAUUUUUUAAUUUUCAUGAAUUAACUAUUUUUUCUAGUUUCCUAUUCCAUUAUAAAUAUGUUACAAUAAUAAUGUAUGUGUUGCAGUUCUUGUAGUUUCCUAUUCCAUUAUAAAUAUGUUACAAUAAUAAUGUAUGUGUUGCAGUUCUUGUAGACUUCUUAUGACACACCAGAAAUAAGGCCAUUAAUUAAUGAUGUAGAGGUAUCAAUGAUUGUUCGAGCAAAAGUCCCUUUCAUAUGUUUUGCAAUUGUCGAAUGGUAUCCAAUAGACAGGGUCAUGAGACAAUUUGGACUGCGACAAAUUAUUCCAGAUGACCCACCAAACCUAGAUCUAAUCCACGACAUAGAUAUGAGAGGGAGAACAGAUAUUUUUUGGUCUCACCAUCAUCGUCAGUGGAUUCUCAAAUGGAAUCAUUGGAAUAAUUAUAUUGUUCAUGGUGAAAUGGACCAAGGUCUUUUACAUGAAAAUUCAGAAUACAUGCAAUGGUAUAUACGUUGAACAAGACGAUAUAUAUCAUGUGAAGGAGCAGUAUCUACAAAGGUUGUAAAUCUACUUUACAAUUUUAAUCAUUCUUGAUAUCAUUAUUCAUUGUUAUUUCUAACUUUAUAAAUUUGAAUCACAGUAUUAUCCUGGUCAUCACCAACAUCAGUCAUAUGUGGAACCUAAUGUACCUCCGGUGCAUGUUCCUGAAUUUAUGUCCCAACAUCAUCCAUCACAAGCACAAUAUCAAUCAACAAGUUUUUCCGGUCAUGCAUCUCAAGGAUGUCAACAAAGUUUUCAACCACUGGGAUUCUCAUCAUAUAUACCUCAAUAUUCAUUUCAAGUCCCUUCUAUCUCAAAUGUUUUUUUUGGCUCCUCACAAAUGCUUGCCACCACUUUCAACACUCCUCCAUCUACAUAUAAUCUUGCACCAUUGAGUUCUUGUUAUCGUCCAUCAUUAGCUACUCAAAUAUGUGACAUGAGUCACGAAGAUGAGGACGAGAAUGAGGACGAGGAUGUGUUGGAAGCCCACGUUAUGUGCACGUUGCACGUUCCUUUAUAUUUUAUUACUUUGGAAAAAUUUGUUACUUCUGAAUCUGGUCCAUUUUCCAUCCACAUUCAUCUCAUAUCUUUGUAAAUAUAUUUGCAACCACCUUCAGUAACAAAUCACGUACCCAUCAUUUAUCUCACGUACCCAUCAUUUAUCUCACGUACUGAUAACUUCUUAUCUCACGUCUGAUAACUUCCUAUCUCACGUUCUGAUAAUAAGUUAAGAGCUCUGUGAUGGGCAGACUCUAUAAAUAGGAUGGGGUGCUCUCAGUUUUGUAUCACCAAAUCCACUUCUCUAUUCAGAAAAAAUACACCAUCUAUUCAGAGUGAGUAAGGGUCUGGAAGAACAAAACUGUCUUUCAGGUUCGUGUGUGUGCCGCUUCUCGUUCAAUUUGCAAUGGCUGGAGGUACGCUCGUAAUUUUUUUUAAUUUUCGCUGUUUGAUCUAAAUAUGCUAUUUAAAUUUAUUUGCAUGUUUAGAUCAGUAUAUGUAUAUUUUUACAUUUGGUAUCAGAGCCUAUUUGUACCUCUGUCUUGCUUAUUGGGUCGUUCCUAUGCGAAGUUUAUUUUCUGAGUAUAUGGGUGUUAUGUUUUAAGCCUCCUUAAUUCAAAAUAACAUCAAAAUUAGGAAUGAUAUGAGCUUUCUAAUUUUUCUAUGAUUUAAAACGUAUUUUUGGGUGUCUAAAAUACAUAUAAUGAUAUGGGUUUUUCGAAAUUGAGGUAAUAAUUUUUUUUCCACUGCUGGAGGUUGAAGACAAAGUUUUGCGAGUUUUGUUUACUGUCUUGGAAUUGUUAAUGUACAUUUUAAAUUAACAAUAUUAAACAAAGCAUGAGUUUGUCCAGUGGUAGAUGUGAUGUGUAUUACCUCAUUGUUCUGGGUUUGAAUCUCAUUGCUGCCUUUUGUUGCUUGUUUUCGUUUUAAUUAAUUAAAAGGAAUGUAUAAAUGAAACGAAAACACCUUGGGUUGGUUUCGAACUCUCACCUUACAAGCAUGAAAGGACUCCCUUUGCCGCUAAGCUAUUGCAAUUUAAUUAUUUAUUAAUUGCAGUUCAUGUAUAUUUAUAACUUCUGAAGGAUAAAUUAUUUAUGCACAAACUGUUUAAAAUUGUGUGUCUCUUAAGUUAUGCUGAACAUGCAAUAUUAUGUUAAAUACUGGUAUGCAUUGGAUUUAAUCCUUUAAAGUUUAUUACAUGUUGAAUGAAUAUAUGUGCAAUGUUAUUGGUAUACAUGUAAUUUUUAUGAUUCAAUAUUGAGCACAUUUGCAUUAUUAAAUAUGUUUAUGCAAGGAUUAUUUUUGAAUGUUAAGUGAUUAAUAUAAUUUUAUUAAAUUAGAGAAUAGCCACAACGUCUUUAAUUGAGUAAAAUUAUAUGCUAAAUUUAUAAUCACAUUAGAAAUAUUAAUUGUGAUUAAUCAUAUGUAAUGUGAUGAAAUCUACCCACAAGAAUUUUGUUAUAUUUGUAUGAUUAAUUAGGAUAAAAUAUUAAAUUAUAUUUCUUAAUUUACCCACAGGAAUUAAGGAAAAGAACAUGAUUUAAUAGUUUUAUCAUAAAGUUGCAUGAUGAAUCUAAUUGAGUAGGACUUUAGCCCACAAGCAAGUUUUGUGUCACUAGAUUCAUAUAUUGAGACAUGAUUUGCAUUGACAAAACAUGACAUUUGUUUAGUCUCAAUUUUUCUUAAUGAGCAUGUGUGUUUGUUUGCAGUUUCACAAUCUAUGAAUAUUUCUUGUGACCUUCCCAUUUUGAAAGGUGAUAAUUAUAAGGUUUGGAAGGAAAGAGUUCUCCUUCAUUUGGGCUGGAUGGAUAUUGACUAUGCUAUAAGGAAGGAUGAGCCACCGGCUAUUACUGAAACUAGCGAACCUGAUGCUGUUGAUCUUUAUGAAAAGUGGGAGAGAUCUAAUCGUCUCUCUGUUAUGUUCAUAAAAACCAACAUAUCCGCUAGUAUCCGGGGUUCAGUUGACCAGCAUGAUAAGGUCAGAGAUCUGUUGAAAGCCAUUGAUGAACAGUUUACGACCUCUGAGAAGUCACUUGCUAGCACACUCAUUAUGCAAUUCUCUUCCAUUAAGCUUACUGGAACGAGAGGUGUGCGUGAACAUAUCAUGCGCUUAAGGGACAUAGUGGCUCAGUUGAAAACCUUGGAAGUUACCAUGUCUGAAUCCUUCCUGGUACAUUUCAUUUUGUGCACCCUACCUCAACAGUAUACACCCUUCAAAAUCUCCUACAACACACAUAAGGAUAAAUGGUCUAUUAAUAAAUUGAUGACCAUGUGUGUUCAAUAAGAGGAGAGAUUGAUAAUGGAAGAGGGUGAGAAGGUAAAUUUUACUACUUCUACUUCUGGAAAGGAUAGGAAGAAGUCUGUAGGCACCAAUAAAGGAAAGAUUCCGACUCAACCAACAAUUAAAAAGGAGUCAAAGUCUUUCUUCUGUAAAAAGAAAGGACACAUGAAGAAGGACUGCCCCAAAUUUAAAAGUUGGUUUGAGAAGAAAGGUACACCAUUUGCCUUUGUUUGUUAUGAAUCUAAUAUGAUUAAUGUGAAUCAUAAUACAUGGUGGAUUGACUCUGGUUCUACAAUCCAUGUUUCUAAUACCUUGCAGGGUAUGGAAAGCCUAAGGAAGCCAGUGGGAAGUGAGCAGUGCAUCUACUCAGGGAGUAGGAUGAGCUCGCAUGUAGAGGCCAUUGGAACGUGCGUCUUAGUUUUAAGUAGUGGCUUUAAAUUACAUUUGGAGAAAGUUUUUUAUGUUCCUAGUUUCUGUAAAAACUUAAUUUCUGUUUCUAAACUUGCACCUUUGGGAUUUUAUUUUUACAGACUUUGGUUUUAAUUUACUAAAUAAAUAUGAAAUUAUUGGUUGUGGUCAAUUGGUUGAUGGUCUUUAUUCAAUUGAAUUGCAAAAUGAUGCUACUUCUAUGCACGUUUCUGUUGGGUUAAAACGAUGUAUUGUGAAUGAAUAAUCCUCUAUGUUGUGGCACCGGAGAUUAGGACAUAUCUCUAUUGAGAAAAUCAAGCGAUUAGUAAAUGAAGGAGUACUUAGUACUUUGGAUUUCGCUGAUUUUGAGACUUGUGUAGAUUGCAUUAAGGGUAAGCAAACUAACAAGUCUAAAAAGGGUUCAAAGAGGAGUUCUAAUUUAUUAGAAAUCAUACAUACAGACAUAUGUUGUCCAGACAUGGAUGCAAAUAGUCCGAAAUACUUCAUAACCUUUAUAGAUGAUUAUUCACAAUAUAUGUAUCUCUACUUACUUCAUUCUAAGAAUGGAGCUUUAGAUGCCUUUAAAGUUUUUAAGGCUGAAGUUGAGAAACAAUGUGGAAAACAAAUUAAGAUCGUGAGAUCAGAUAGAGGUGGGGAGUACUAUGGUAGAUACACAGAGGAUGGACAAGCACCAGGUUCAUUUGCGAAAUUUCUUCAAGAACAUGGGAUUGUUGCCCAAUACACUAUGCCUGGUUCUCCGGAUCAGAAUGGUGUGGCAGAACGAAGAAAUCGAACCUUAUUAGACAUGGUGAGAAGCAUGAGGAGUAAUGUAAAGCUUCCUCAAUUUUUGUGGAUUGAUGCUCUUAAGACGGCUGCGUAUAUAUUAAACCGAGUUCCAACCAAGGCUGUCUCAAAGACACCUUUUGAAUUAUUCAAGGGUUGGAAACCAAGUUUGCGACAUAUACGCGUUUGGGGAUGCCCGUCUGAAGUAAGAAUUUAUAAUCCACAAGAGAAGAAACUAGACCCUAAGACUAUUAUUGGGUAUUUCAUUGGAUAUGUUGAAAGGUCUAAAGGGUAUAGGUUCUAUUGUCCAUCCCACAACACUAGGAUUGUGGAAUCAAGGAAUGCAAAGUUUCUUGAAAAUGAUUUGAUCAGUGGGAGUGAUCAAUUUCAGAAUAUUUCUUCUGAAAGGGAUCACUAUGAAGCUGAACCUUCUGGGACAAGUAAUAAGUUGGUAGUCAUUCCCACGCCUCAAGUUAAAAUGGGUGUUAGACAACCAGUGAUUGAAGUUCCACAAGCUGUUGAAAGUGAUCAUGUAGAUCAAGUUGUUUGUGAGGAACAACAUGAUGAUAUUGAACAAACUGGUGAAGAACCAGUUGAACAAGUUCCUCAGCAAGAUGACCAAACAACAUUAAGAAGAUCUACUAGAAUAAAAAAGACAACAAUUCCUAGUGAUUAUGUAGUGUACCUACAAGAAUCAGACUACAACAUUGGAGCCAAAAAUGAUCCUGAGACGUUUUCACAAGCCAUGAGUUCUAAGGAAUCAAAUUUGUGGUAUAAUGCUAUGAGGGAUGAGAUGGAUUCUAUGGCAUCUAACCAAGUUUGGGAUCUCGUUGAGUUGCCUGUUGGUGUAAAAGCCAUCGGAUGUAGAUGGGUCUUCAAAACAAAGAAAGACUCAGAAGGCAACAUUGAGAGACAUAAGGCAAGACUUGUUGCUAAAGGAUUCACUCAAAGAGAAGGAAUCGAUUACAGAGAGACCUUUUCCCCUGUAUCUAAGAAAGACUCUCUUCGAGUAAUUUUGGCAUUAGUAGCUCAUUUUGAUCUUGAGUUGCAUCAAAUGGAUGUGAAAACGGCGUUCCUGAAUGGUGAUCUAGAAGAAGAGGUUUACAUGAAACAACCUGAGGGAUUCUUAUCUAGUGUUGGUGAGCACUUAGUCUGCAAGCUUAAUAAGUCUAUCUAUGGAUUGAAACAAGCUUCCCGCCAGUGGUAUUUAAAAUUUCAUGAGGUCAUUUCUUCAUUCAGCUUUGAAGAGAAUGUCAUGGAUCACUGUAUAUACCAGAAGGUCAGUGGGAGUAAGAUUUGUUUCCUUGUAUUAUACGUAGAUGAUAUUCUGCUUGCGACUAAUGAUAAGGGUAUGCUAUAUGAGGUGAAACAAUUUCUCUCAAAGAACUUUGAUAUGAAGGAUAUGGGAGAGGCAUCUUAUGUCAUAGGCAUAAAGAUCCAUAGAGAAAGAUCUCGAGGCAUUUUAGGCUUGUCUCAAGAAACCUAUAUCAACAAAGUUUUAGAGAGAUUUAAUAUGAAAGAUUGUUCACCAAGUGUAGCUCCCAUUGUGAAGGGUGACAAACUUGCUUUGAGUCAAUGCCCCAAAAAUGAUUUUGAGCGGGAACACAUGAAAAAUAUUCCAUAUGCUUCAGCAGUUGGAAGCCUUAUGUAUGCUCAGGUUUGCACUAGACCUGAUAUUGCAUUCGCUGUUGGAGUCUUGGGAAGAUAUCAAAGUAAUCCAGGUAUUGACCACUGGAAAGCUGCAAAGAAAGUGAUGAGAUAUCUUCAUGGAACAAAAGAUUACAUGCUCAUGUACAGACAAACUGAUUGUCUGGAAGUGAUUGGCUACUCCGACUCAGACUUUGCUGGUUGCGUUGAUUCACGAAGAUCAACAUCUGGUUAUAUUUUUAUGUUAGCCAGUGGAGCUGUAUCUUGGAGAAGUGCCAAACAAACCUUGACUGCUACUUCCACUAUGGAGGCUGAGUUCGUUUCUUGUUUUGAGGCUACCUCGCAUGGUGUAUGGUUGAAGAGUUUCAUAUCUGGCCUUAGAGUUGUGGACUCUAUUUCUAGGCCAUUAAAGUUGUAUUGUGACAACUUUGCUGCAGUGUUUAUGGCUAAAAACAACAAAAGUGGAAGUCAAAGUAAGCACAUCGACAUCAAGUACUUAGCCAUAAGAGAACGUGUUAGAGAAAAGAAAGUGGUCAUUGAACACGUCAACACUGAGUUAAUGAUUGCUGAUCCUUUAACUAAAGGCAUGCCACCAAAGAAUUUUAAGGAUCAUGUAGUGCGAAUGGGACUUGGUUCCAUGAUGUAAUUUCAUUGUACGUACAUUUGUUAUUUUCAAUGAAACUCUUAUUCAGUUAGAUAUUUUCUCAUAUGGUUUUGUGCACAUAUUUAUUUAUUUCGAGAAAAAUCAUUCGGUUUAGAUAUAGAAUAAACAUAUGGUUUAUUCAUUAAGUUGAGAGCUAGUGUUGAGAGACUUGAUAUAUUGUGGUACAUGGAAGAUACUACUCAUCAUCAGAGGACCUAUCGCCAUGACUCAUAUAUUAUGUUUCUUGUUAUGGUUGAUGUUGAGUUAAAUGGACCAAGUGGGAGAAUGUUGGAAGCCCACGUUAUGUGCACGUUGCACGUUCCUUUAUAUUUUAUUACUUUGGAAAAAUUUGUUACUUCUGAAUCUGGUCCAUUUUCCAUCCACAUUCAUCCCAUAUCUUUGCAAAUAUAUUUGCAACCACCUUCAGUAACAAAUCACGUACCCAUCAUUUAUCUCACGUACCCAUCAUUUAUCUCACGUACUGAUAACUUCUUAUCUCACGUCUGAUAACUUCCUAUCUCACGUUCUGAUAACAAGUUAAGAGCUCUGUGAUGGACAGACUCUAUAAAUAGGAUGGGGUGCUCUCAGUUUUGUAUCACUAAACCCACUUCUCUAUUUAGAAAAAAUACACCAUCUAUUCAGAGUGAGUAAGGGUCUGGAAGAACAAAACUGUCUUUCAGGUUUGUGUGUGCGCCGCUUCCCGUUCAAUUUGCAAUGGCUGGAGGUACGCUCGUAAUUUUUUUUAAUUUCCGCUGUUUGAUCUAAAUAUGCUAUUUAAAUUUAUUUGCAUGUUUAGAUCAGUAUAUGUAUAUUUUUACAGGAUGAGCAUAACAACAAUAACAAUGAUGACGAUGAUGAUGGUGAUGAUGAUGACAACAAUGGUCAUCAUGUUUCUCAACAACAACGGACAAUUACACGUCAGCAUCCUAGAACAAGAGGAGGUAGAGACCGUAGACCGAGAGGACAACAAACACAGACAAAUCCAGUCCAACAAGAUGAGAGACCCAGGCGCAUUUCUAGAAGAACUCGUUGUGGGACAUCGUCUUAUUAUUAGUUUGACAAAUAUGUAAUUUUUAUUUAAAUAUAAUCAAUUUUUAAUUUAAAGUCUUUCAAUUUUUUUAAUGUAUUUUUAUUGAUAGAUUAUUUAAACUUUAAAUAAAAAAAAUUUAAAGUAAACUAUAUUAACUUAAUAUUAUCACAAAAAAUAUACUAAUAAAAUCAACUUAAUAUUAUUUAUUAUAUAUUUAAAUAUAUUUUUUUAACUUUUUAUUUUUAAAAAAUAAAAUCAUAAACAUUAUUAAAUUAAAAAAAACAAAUUUACAAAAAAAGGUUAACAAAUUAAAAAUAGGCUGUAAAUAGUAAAACAAUGUUUUUUUCUUAAAAAGGAGAGAUUACGACUUUGAAGUCCUACCUCAAAAAAUUAAAAAAAUAAAAUAAAAAUUUUACGACUUUGGUUUUUUUUUUUAAAAUACGACUUUAAAGUCGUAAAAAAAGUUAUAUUUAUACUGAAGUCAUAAAUAUUUUUACGACUUCAGUUAAAAAAAUAAAAAAAAUUAAAAAGGCGUAACAGGUGUUACGACUUCUGACUCAGAAGUCAUAACAAUUGUUACGACUUACCCUGUUUUGGGUAAUUUUUUGAAAUAUACCCCCAAAUGGAAAAUUUUGAAUUUUUUUACCCCCGAUUGGUAAAAAAGCCGAUCUCUCACCAUCCUUUUAAUUAUUCUUGUCAUAAGCAGCACAUAACAUAACACUGUUUGAAGCAAUUUUAAUGUGAACUCCUUUGGAUGGAUGCUAAUUCCCAGGUUUUAUCUUAAAGUUGUUCUUCUGACAAUGUCAUCCAUUUUUAGCUUUAGGUUGUUAACCAAAAUACAAGCAAGGUGGCAGCUGUUGCUGAAGAAUUCUGAUUAUUUGUGUCCUCUGAUGUACAGAUACUUCAUGGUUACAUAUCCAUAUUUGUAUCAUACUUGUAAUGAAUACCCAUAGCAUAUAAUAAGGCUUCCUAAGUCGGGUAUGCAUUAAAUCUAGACUUUUAUUCAAACUUCUUAUAUACAAUAUUUCUUUAAAUAGGGAAACAAUUGUUAUCAUUAAGUUUUUUAAUAAGUUCGAUAAGAGAUUGAACACCAAUGAUGAUAGGAUGAUGGAGAUGACCCUUCAAUAGAUAUCAUCUAUAUUAAGAUAUAAAGAAAUUAAUAAAAUAUAAAUAAUAAUAUAAUUUUAUGUAUCACAUUGCACCUAAUACUUGUAUGAGUUGUAUCCAACGCCAUGAAACAAAAUGUGUCAGAUAUCAGUUAGAUAAGAUUCAGUUCAGCAGGCAGGUUGGAUAAGAGUAUUGCUUAUGUAUAUCUUAAAAGAAAGUUUCCUAUUUGACAGAAUGUGGGUGUUUUUGUCCACCUAGGAGCUUUUUACCAUGUAAUCUGACAUAGGCUUUAUGAUCUGCACUAAUCUUUUGAAACUUCAUUUUGUCACAUGUUAAUAAGUUGAAAAAGAAAAUAUUGUUUUAGGAGCUAAAGAUGAAUAAGCAGCUAAAGGAAAGUUAUAUAGAAUUAGUAGUAAAAGAGAAGAGUGUAAACCUAUUUGCUAUUUGCUUCAGUACUCAAGUGCUGGUUCCGUUACCAAAUUUCAGUGGUUUUGGUUGAAUAUGUAAGUCAGUGGAAGUGGUGCUGAAUAGUGGAGGGAAUGUUUGGAGUACAUGAUUUGAAAAGGGGAGAAUGAUUAAAAGAAAUAGAAAAUUGACUGACCAAUAUUGAAGGUUUCAUAGGAAUGUUGAAUGUUAGUAAAUUGGAAAGAUGUUACAUACCAUUCAUCUUAUUAGAAGCAUAACUGUUCCUUUUUGUAUAUUUUCUGUUACCUUCCUUUCCUUCAAAAUAUGGCCUUUGAAUUUUGAACCAUUAACUGAGUUGGUAUAGUGGUAAAGUCAUGUAGAUUUUUGUUUUCGUUUUGUGGGGAUAUGAAUGAGAAAAAUCCUUACAACCAGACAAAGCUGUGGCUCAGAAGAAAGAGAAACAUGCCUCACUUCUAGAAUCACUGGAACUAACAUCUUGUAAACAAACUGUUAUACCAAACUUUCCUAAGGUGCAAUUCUCAACCAUUAACCAAUUUCAUCUCAAACAACACUAUCAGUUCUUCAGUCAUGAACUUCCCAUACUGAAAAUUUGUCACCUAUUUCUUUUAUAGGCAGUGGCUUCUUAUGAGAGUCACACUCUCUGAACUUCUAAUGUAAAACUUGACUUUUCAUUUUGUGCUUUAUAAUUGUUAUCUCAUGCAUUGCCCUUUUAAGAUAAGGUUGUUGUGCAUUGUUUGGUUGAGUACAACGAUUUACUGAUGACCAUAACUAUUUGUGGAUCUUAUAUUUUCAAAAGUGUAUGCUUGGUCAUUAAUCAACCAAGCUUGAUAAGCUCCAUCACCUACCAUCCCCUUCUAUGCCAUAUACACAUUUUGCUUAUCUACAUUCCUACUGUUACUCUCAAACAAGUCUAACAAAUAAUAAGUGAAGUUAAUGAACUUUUUUAGUAAUAUUAUUAUAAGGAUUGGUCAAUGUAAUGGUGAACAGAGAAGCAUGCUUUCAGCUACCCAACAAAAUGGAUAAGAGUGUCAGUUGAUAUGGUUCUCUUGUUUUUUUUUUUUCAAUGCAAAAUCACCUUUAAAAUAUAAAAGAUCACUGUAACAAAGGGACAAAGGGUUUUCACCUAACCCAUGCAUGAGAUAUGAUGGUCACAAAAUAUGUUAGGUUUAAUAUGGAAUGAGGGCACAGUACAAACCACUCACAAAUAAUAUCAAACUCCACCACCAUCACACAUUUUACGUUCUUCCAAGGAAGAGAUAAGAUAAUGAAGCCUCCUCCACGUGUCACUUCCACAUGGUACCUAACGAUAAGGCUACCAUUCAAAAUUUUCCUCACUCGUGUGGCCAAUAUGCUGUAAUGUCAUCACUUAUUCAAUCCAACGGUUGUAACUUCUCAGCAACCAAUCCCCUCCAUUUCACACCAUCGGAUUAGUACUACACAAAUCACACUAUUAUAUAUAGUAAGUUUGAGCAGAAGCUUGGAUAUCUGGCAGCAGAAGAACAAGUAGUUGAGAACUAAGAAGGAGAAGCAAAUGGCUUCCUCAAUGAUCUCUUCCCCAGCUGUUACCACUGUCAACCGUGCCGGUGCCGGCAUGGUUGCUCCAUUCACUGGCCUCAAGUCCAUGGCUGGCUUCCCCACCAGAAAGACCAACAAUGACAUUACCUCCAUUGCUAGCAACGGUGGAAGAGUGCAAUGCAUGCAGGUAUGACAACUCCACACAUAUAAAUACACAAGAGGCACCAAAAUGAUUAUAAUUCAUGUUACAUAUUUAGGCAUGUACCAAAAUGUUACUUAAAUAAACAUGUUAGUCAUAGGUUGCUUAAAUUUUAGUCAUAGGAAAAUUUGCACAUGUGCUAGUUAAUCUGUUAACCCCUUUACUCAAUUUUCAUGCAAAUUAAUUACUAGGUGUGGCCACCAGUUGGCAAGAAGAAGUUUGAGACUCUUUCCUACCUGCCAGACCUUGAUGAUGCACAAUUGGCAAAGGAAGUAGAAUACCUUCUUAGGAAGGGAUGGAUUCCUUGCUUGGAAUUCGAGUUGGAGGUCAAUUUCUUGCAAACACUUUUGGUUUAAUCAUAGAUUUUCUUAUUCUUAGUUUGUUUCAACUUAUUUUCAAGAAAUAAUGGCUUCUCUUGCUAGUGUGCUAAAAGUACUUUUGGAAACAAAACAAAAAAUGGUUGUGUUCCAAAAUUUAAAUUUAUCUAACAGAUUUUUCUAUUUGAGAGUUAUCAAUAUGUAUCAAAUCUGUUCCUAUCUCUGACCAAAUUUUAUUCUUCCAAAACAAGCACUUGGUUUUGAGUUUUGAUGGUUGAUCUGUUUGUUUGCAGCACGGUUUCGUGUACCGUGAGCACAACAGGUCACCAGGAUACUACGAUGGACGCUACUGGACCAUGUGGAAGCUGCCUAUGUUUGGUUGCACUGAUGCUUCUCAGGUGUUGAAGGAGCUUCAAGAGGCUAAGACUGCAUACCCCAACGGCUUCAUCCGUAUCAUCGGAUUCGACAACGUUCGCCAAGUGCAGUGCAUCAGCUUCAUCGCCUACAAGCCCCCAGGCUUCUAAGUGUGAAAAAUUUGCAAAGCAUUUGUAGCCGCCACCCCACUUUGUUUGUUUGUACUUAAACUACAUUCCCAUUUGUUUUUGCUUUUUGAGAUUUCAUCAUCCUGUAUUUUUGGUUUCUGUUUUCGGACUUCAAUGGAAAUUAAUGGAUGAGAACUAAUGAAUAAGCUAUUGUGUUGUGUUGCUUUGUUUCAAAAUAACUUCAAUAACCCAUCGUCCUUGCAUUUCUCUCUACUGGGCUGAAAUUAAUCAUUUCUAAAUUUAAGUUAAUUAAUUGUGUCUCUAAAUGAUGGUUAACAGGGGAACUCUGUGUUAUUCAAGUGCACUGCUUAGUUUAGCUGAGCUUGGCCUUACUUUGUCACAAGUCACAAAUCUGAUGUAUGAAUGUUCUUUAUACUUUGGUCUUCCAAGAAAUGAAGUUCAAGACACAUAGUUUGUAAACAUGUUGCUAGGAAGCUACUGAACUUUCAAAACCAAAUAUGAACUCGAUAAUUCUUGGAAACACAGAUAUUUUGUAUAGUAUAUAGCAACAAAAAACCACUAAGGAACUGCUACCAAAUCGUUUUGUUAUUUAUGUGCAAAGAAAGCGAUAUCAAAUUCAAAUUUUUAUUGGUUUCAGAAUCUUUUCUUUCCAAGCAAUAACCACCAACUGCAACGAAACCGUUUUGUUUGUUCCAUUUCUCACUCUCCUCACUGCAAUGUUCAAAUUCUGAUUUGGAAAACAGCACAUAAAAACACAAGAUUUGGUCAUGCUCUGGUUCUACCAAAUACUACAUUUGUUUCUAGAAUUGCCAGAAUCUGAUCCUUUUGCUGACAAUUAAUCUCUAGAAGAUUCUUUUGCUUGUAACUUGGUAGUUAUGGAUUAGCAACUGAUAAAUAAAUCAUUUAGUGGGCUCUAUGUUGUGAGUAGUGAUAGGUAACUUAUGUCGACACCUUUUAGUAGAUUGCAUUAAUAUUUAGACUGGACCCUUUUGAUAGCUACAUUUGUGAACAAGAAUACAAUACGAUAAAGAAAUAGAUAAGAAGUUUCACCUCCUAUACUCCCAUGACCACAUCAUGACAUAUUCAAUGCCAAUCGUGAAUAUACAAAUCAAUAGGAUUUGUUUUCUUCCAAAUAUUUAUUUGUGGACGUGAAUCUACUCACCCUAGAAGCAAGUUUCGUUAAAUUUCCUUUGUUUAAUAACUUUUUGUGAACAUUCAUUCUUUUUUAAUUCAACUUUUAUAUAAAAAUAAUUAGACUCAAAUUCCUUAAACAAGGUCUCAAGUUCAAAUUUUGUGAAUGAAAAAUAUAAUUAAAAGAAGAGACAUAAUUGAAGUAGUCAGUCAAGUUAUGACAAAGCCUUACAAUUCACAAAAUAACUAAAAUAUUAUAUCAAUCAACUUCAUUUUAAUGGAUAGUAGUAUUAUUCUUUUAAAAUACAAGUAAAUGUUAACUAUAAGAUAAUCUUUAUGGUAAUAUAUUACAAAAUAUAAUAGUUAAGGGUCUCUUUGGGGGAUUGUUAGUUGUUAGUUUCAUUUGUUUUUAAAAUAACAAUCAAUUUUUAGUUUUAGUAUAAAAAGUUUUUAAAACCAGUCUUUAAAAUUUGAUUAGUUUUCUAACUAUUAGUUUUAAGAUUAAGUCAUUUUAAAAUUUUCUAAUCUUUUUAAAAUUAAUUUAAGAGUGUAUUUUUAUAUAUGAUGAUAACGACACCAACAACAACAAUGGUGGUAUUUUUGGUGGCGAUAGCAAAGUCAAUAGUGAUAAUAACAGUGUCAAUGAUGGCAGUGAUACUAGUGGUGGUGUUGGUGUUGAUAGUUAUAAUGCAGUAUUGCUAAUAAUGGUAGUGAUUGAUAGUAAUGGGAGCAGUGAUAGUGUUGACAACGAUAGUAAUAGCGGUGAUGUUGGUUGUUGGUGUCAAUAACAAUGGUGACAGUGUUGAUAAUAAUAGUGAUUGUGUCAAUGAUUAUGAUGAUGAUCAUAAUGACGACAUAGAUGGUGGUCCUGGUGUUAGUAGAGGCAAUGAAAAGUGUCAUUAUCAAAUGUAGAGAGUGUGUACUUUUUUAAAAUUAAAAUCAAAAUUACAAAUAUUUUUUGCCCAAAACUUUUGGUUUUAAAAAUUACAUUUAAAAAUAAAAUAUAAAAAACUCACAAUUACGUGACCAAACCCUAAGUCUUUUAAAUCAAUUAGUAUUCUAUAAAGAAAUAGUAUUUUUGAAGUAUUUAUAUAAUUUAAGUAUUUACUUAUUCUUAGAGUGAAUAGAUCCCUUUCGUUUGUUUUAUUCAUCAUACAGAAUCAAUAAUACAGUGGAAUCCUUCUGAAUAUUUUCUUUUAUAUAUAUAUAUAUAUAUAUAUAUAUAUAUAUAUAUAUAUAUAUAUAUAUAUAUAUAUAUAAUGUACCUGGAAAAAAUAAUCUUCCAUUAGUGAGACAGACAAAUAUAACCUUAUUUCCAUAGAGCCUGCAAAAACCUAACUAUCCAGUCAAUAUUUUAUAUUUCCAUAGUUUUUCUGACAAACCAACUUCUUUAAUAUAUUUUUCAAAAGUUUUCAAAUAAGUUAUAUAACAUAUCAUAAUAUUCAAGGUUUUCCAAGAGGAAAUUUAAAAAUUGUUAUUUUGACAAGAUAAGUGCUACAUAAUUGUGUGGUCUAUACCGACUAAUGAGUCAAGGCAUCGUGACUAUGUCGUAACAAAAAAGGUAAAGAAAAACAAGUCAUUAUCAUAGCAUUAUUUGAAGUUGAAGAAUAUUACGUAGUGUGAUAUGAUUUAUUUAUGACUGUUUUGGUUGUUUCCGUUGCGUUUUAUGAAUGGAAGAUCAAAUAGCUAGCUAUAAAAAGACCCUAAACAGAUAACAACCUAUUGGUAAUUUUUUUUUGUUUUAGGCUAUUCAAUUAGAUAUAGGCUCAUAUAUGUAGAUUUUAUAAGUUUAAGCCACAAAAAAUAUAUUUUUAUUAAAACAAUAAAAAGAUAUUGCCGUAGUGUUUAUACGAGAAAUGGCGCAUAGUGAGGUGCUCGAUCGAGUCUCUAUCAAUUUGCUUUUGAUGUGUGCAAAGGAAAAGAAAAGAGAAAAGAGGAAAGUUACAAAGUGAAUGCUUAGAUACUUAUAUCUUAAGUAAAUCCUUGUGUCUUUAUAAUAAAGUUGGAUAAAGACACAUUAACACUCAUCUUAUUUUUUUAAUUCCCUGAGUAUUUAACUCAAUUAGAUACUUAAAGAUUUAAAUUUGAGGCUGUUAUUAGUUAAAUUAAAAUAAUUUCACAUAAAUUGAUUCAAACACAUAUUAUUUGACAUCUUAAGAGAAAAAGAAAAAAAAAUGAAAUGUAAACAAGAUAAAUUAUAUGAUAUGAUAAGAAAGAAAAGACAAAAAUAAAUUGAAGAUGUCAAAUAAAUAUCCAUGUAUCAUUAUUAAUUAAGUUUCAAAAUCAAAGACUGAUACAUGAUUUUUUUUUUAAAAUUCAAAAUAUAUCUCAGUGAAAACUAUUUAAUGUUUAAAAUAACAUUCAUAUAUCAAUGUUUUAUUUGAGCACUAGUUGUUUUGAAUUUAUUUUUGGCAUCUCUCUCAUUUCCUUUUUCUUGAUCACUGCUUCCUUUUUCCCAUUUAUUUUCCCGACAAAACAAUUUUAGUACAACACAUCCUACAUGCACCAUCUAAAGGCUCUCUCACAAACCCAGUCUAAUUAAGGACAAAUUAAUACGGAGAAAUUAAUUAGUUCUCGACUACUACUGUAUAUUUAUAAUAUUGAUUAAUCUUUACCAAACAUGAUACGUAUUAAAGUUUUUUAAUUUAAGAAAAAAUUAAUAAUGCUAAAUUGUAAACACUCUUAGAUUGCUUAAUAAUUUAUUCUCUUAAAAAAUUAUUAGAUGUCCAAAACCAUCCUAGACUCUAUUAAAACAAGGCCACUUAUAUAAUAAAAACAUAAUAUACAAGACUAUUAAUUUUUUUAUUAUUAAUUAAAAAACCUGAAUAUAUAUAUAUAUAUAUAUAUAUAUAUAUAUAUAUUAUCGGUAAAUAUUAUUAGUUUUUGUUAACAGAGAAAAUCAAAUUUAUGACUUUUUUUUUUCUUUUUCCAUCUCCCAUAAUCUUCUAAUUCAUCUUAUAUUUUCAAAAUUCUGAAAAGGUAUCAUACAAAUUGAUUCAGGCCAUAGAGAUGUAGUGAUCCGAAACUACUUAAUAUAUAGUUUCUUCCACACUCACGGCACUCAAAUAUUUCAUUUCCUCACACAUAGACUGCACCUCCCCCCUCACACACUCACACACUCACUCAUUCACAACACCACACUGACUUAUUCAUAUUCAUCCGUCACAUGAAAGGCAAUGGCAAGCACACACACAAGUUACACAGCAAAUCCAAACUCUUCAGUGGCCUUAUUUGCACCAUGCAACCAUAAUAUCCACCCAUUAUAGAUCUUAUAGACAAUAGCAUAUAUAGCCACACCAUAUGCAUUAUGAAUCCAUGGAACAAUCAUAUAUCAUUCGUGAAAAAAAAGUAAAACAAGUCUUCAAAGCUUUUCCCAACCAUAGAACUUCUCAACCAAGUCUUUAAACCUUCACGUGAAUCUGUCAUCAAGACAGCCCCUAAAUUAAGCUUGAGCCAUCUGUGUCAUACACGUAUAAGAGGUCACGCAUGGUUUACAUCAAGUAAGAAAAGAAGCUAUCAUAAAGAUAUUACUUCUAUUUUUUGUUGUUGAAUAAGUCUAGGGUAUAAUAUAUUGUUGAUUUCUCAAAAUAGUUGAGAACGAUAGUUUUAGUUCUUAUUAAAAUUUAAUAUGUUUUUAUUCUUUAUAUUUAUUAAAAGUGACAUGAUUUUAAUUCUUUCAUCAUGAACUAAAAACACAUACAUCUGAAUAAAUAUAAGAACUAAUAACACACACACACACACACACACACACACACACAUAUAUAUAUAUAUAUAUAUAUAUAUAUAUAUAUAUAUAUAUAUAUAAUUCUAUUUGUAUUUUAUCUCUUGCUUGGUUGUCGUGGUAAAGGCGUAAGGCAUAGCCGCAUGGAUAUGAACUUAUCAUAGGGCUCCAUUGAAUCAGAUCAGUUUAAACUUAAAGCUUUUGAAAAUUAUUAUUAAAAAAAUGAAGUUUUGAGGACAUCAAAAUUACGUCACUGAAAGAGAAUAAUGACUUCUUUUAACUUUUUUUUUUCCCUGUUGUAAACUUAGGAUUUUCAAAACCCGAGUUCCAAAUUUGCAAUGGUUUCUUGUUUUUGAUUCGUAAGUGGAUUACACAAAUUUCAUUUUGACGCAAACUGUUGGAUUAUUUUAAUAUUAUGUUCUAGUUGUAAUUAAAAGCCAUUAGGAUUAAUUUAGAAAACUAAGAAUAAAUCUAUAAUAAAUUUCUCUUAUCUUUUCAAAAUACUCAUUAGUCUUUUUAAAAAAAACCCACACCGAAUAGUAUUUUUUAGCCAUAAAAAAAAUAAGGGAACGAAAGACUGAGGGAGGAAAGCCAUUUUAAUUAAAAAAAUAGAAAAUGAAAAAAAUAAAUUGAAAACACAAGAAAAAUAUCGGGCCAGAAAAUAAAUAUGAAUUAUAAUAAUCAAGAGCUUCAUGCAUGCUUAGUAGUUUUCUGUGCAUUAAAGAACUCUAGAGAAAUUAUGUGUUAUGAUCUAUUCUUACAAAAACAUAUGCCAUAGCCUGUGAACGGGAUCCGUGUUCAUGGUCUCUUGUAUAUGCUUUUGUUCUUUAAUUGUUAAUAAUUAAGAACACAUGCCGUAGUGCAAGUUUAAAUCAUAAAGAGUUAUGGAUACCCAUAAUAUUCUAAGAGAUAUAAAAUAAAGAAAUAAUUAAGUUUUUCAUAUUUGAAAUAUAGUUUAUUUUUAAAAAAUUACUUAACAUUCUUUUUUUUCUCUCUAAUACCUAAAAAAAUUUUGCAUUUCAUUUUAGUACUUGUCGUUAGUCCACAUCCAUUAAAUAAUGAUAUAGCAAACGGAGUAUCACGUCAUCACACCUAAUUACUAAACACAUAUGCACAAACAUUCACAUCAUUAAUUUUUGUUUUUGUUUUUUUAAUAUUAAAAAAUGAAAGCCAAAAAGGAGAGGGGGAGUCGUCCGUGGUGGUGUGGGAGGCGCGGCCACCACCGUCUUGGACACUCUUUGGAACUUCACCUUCGUCGCCGCCAUCGUCACCAUCUUCUUGAGCUAUCCACUGGAUAGGGUCCAUCGUCAAGCGAUGAUUUCCCACAGAACAAAAAAUCUGCUAUGCUUCACUUUCUUGCUUUUGCAUUUUCUUGUGGAAAAAAAAUCCUCACAACAAAAAUAGGUUGUCCUUUUCUUUGAUCUACCAAAGCUUUAAAUUUUCCUUAGGUGCGUACUUCAAAUUCUUCUUCUCCUACUCCUAACUGCUCCUUUUUUUUUUUUUUCAAAUUCUCUGUGCGUUUCUAAGGAUUUUGCAUGUUUUGUUCUUCUCUUUGCUGUGUGUUUUGACUUUUAUUGUUUGCGUGUGUGGCAGUUUGGUUUGUUUGUGAGUUUGGAGUGUGAUGCCACCAUCGGCGGUGAUCACGGAGGAGGAGGGGCAGAGCAAAGAUGUCUUCACUGAUAUUGAACUCGCGGAAGUUGAAUUGCCAGAUUUAGGGGCUCUCUGUGCCCCAGGUAAGGAGGUUCCUGUAGUUAUACUCGUCCACGAUUUCACAUAUCAACGCGAACUCCUCCUUGAGGUUAUCAUUCCAAACUUCCUUGAUUUGAACCGAAUCGCCUUUUGGUAAAAUCAACAUAUCAAACGAACAAAUCUGAGUAGCAAAGUGAGAAUCACAAUCAAACCCCCCAUAUCUGUAACAAAAACAUGCGGAAACAAUUCAGAUCUCAAAACCUAACAAAUCCAAAACAAAAAUCGAUGAUAUUUCAUUGAACGAGGAAACAAAUAUAAACAAAAUCAACAAGCCGCGAUACAUAAAGAGGAUUUGAGUGAGUAGAGCUUCGAAUCGGGGGCAUGCAAUCAAGCUUCGUAUCGACGACGACGACAACAACGAAGGCAGAGUUCCAGAGAGUGUCCAAGACAGUGGUGGUCGCCGCCUCCCGCACUAUAACAUCCCAAUUUCGUGAAUUAAAUUAAAAAGGUUUUUCAUUUAAAAUAGAGUUUUAGAAAAAAAAAUGAUGAGGUUUUUGUAAUUAAAUAAAUAAGGAGAAAUAACUUUAUUAAAAUAAUGGUUUGAAGGAAAAUAAAAAGGAUAUUUGAUUUAUUCAUUUGAUAGGAAAUAACAUAGAGUAUUUGUUAAUAAAAUAAUAAAAAUAAAAAAUAGAGUAAAUAAUAAGCUAAGAGUACCUAGCUAUAAAUAAAGACAUGCUAGGUUAUUUUUCAGACUGACGGUAGUCUCUGUGGUUUCUCUUCCUUUCAGUUUCUUUUUUCUUUCUCCUCCUCCCAAAACUAUUUUUCCCGCAUACACUCAAGCCUAUCUCAAUAAAAUUAUGAUCUCGGACUCGUUAAACGUUGGAUCAUUGUGAAAUUUGAGUACUAGGUUUAGAACUUAAUUCCAAAUAUUCUCACCGUUGGAAUUUGCGAAACUAUAUUGGAGCUGAGAGAAACUCCCUUCGUAUUUUAGCUUUCUCUUUUCCCGCAGAGACCCGAAACCUAUCCCGGUAAAACUAUUAUCCUGGACUAGUUAACCGUUGGAUCAUUGUGAAAUUUGAACACCAAGUUUGAAAUACAUUUCCGCAUAUCUUCACCAUCGGGAUUUGCAAAAUGAUUUCUGGGGAGGGAGAAACACUCAUUGCACGUAGACAGUGGAAUGAAGGAUUCAAAUUCUUUUCCUUCUCUCUAAUAUUUGGAAACCUUAUCAGAACAACCAGAGAAAAAGCUUGAGGAAUCUCAGGAAAUUGUUAGAGAUUCCACUAUUGCUGUCAGAAUACACACGUGAGCCCGCUUAGAGGUAAGGGAUGAGUUAUUCAUAAUUGGAGAGUAGUGAGAACAUGUGUAGGGAUCCUUAGAGUAUCAAUUGGAAUGAGUUUUUAGGUUGUUUUUGCAAAUUUUGAUUCUAUCUUUACAAUUGUAACUGUGAAUUAUAUAUUUUUUUACGAACCAAUUGAUGUUCCAAUUAGAAAUUGCUGUGAAAUUCAUGUGUUCUUGUGUUGAGUGUGAACCUUAAAAAUUGAGUUCUUUUUAUUAACGUAAAUUAUACUCUAAAUAAUAUUCUUUUAACGGCUUAUUUUAUACAAAUUAUUAUCUUGUUCUGUAUUUUUCCACAACGAUAAUCAACAUGUUAUGUGUUUAUAUAUAUAUAUAUUGUAAUACAAAAAUAAUAAAUUAAAGAAAGUUGUAAAGGUUAAUGUCUAGUAGUAAUUUCUUUUGAUGUAAUCUUAAAUUAAUUGUUAUAGAAAUUCUUUUUGAUUGAAAAUAAUAUAGUUUGAUUUAAUAUAUAUAUAUAUAUAUAUAUAUAUAUAUAUAUAUAUAUAUAUAUAUAUAUGUUUUGUGUCAUGCAAAUAUUAUUAUUGUGUGAAUAUAUAUAUAUAUAUAUAUAUAUAUAUAUAUAUAUAUAUAUAUAUAUAUAUGUUUUGUGUCAUGCAAAUAUUAUUAUUGUGUGAUGUGUAUAUGAGUUAUGAGACGUGAUAAAUUAUUAUAAUAAUAUUAUAAUAUUAUUGUUGAGAUCAAGUAUAAGUGUAAAGUUAGACAUGUGUUACUUUGUGAAAUACACAUGAACAUGUGAUGGUGGAUUAUGAUAUUAUGAGAUGUUAAGUUGUGGUCAUGAGAUUUGGUUGUGAAUAAGUGUGUGUUUAACACUUGAUGUGAUAGUAUUUGUGUUGUGAGCUAUGAAUUAUACAAUAACCCAAUCAGUGUUUACCUUGAGAAAAAGUGUUUAUGCGUAGUGUUAAAGGAAAAGUGUAGGUUUCCUAGUUAGGAACCAAUGUUAAAUUGUAGCGCAAUGUGUUAAACGUGUUUGAAACAUGAGCGUGAGGUCAUGAAUAUUGUAUAAUUCAUGAGCAAUGUCUGCAUGCAAAAAUUGUUUUAGGGGUUGAAACUGAAUCAGGAAGGUGAGGCCCUAACGGAUUCUUCGUAGUCUAGGCCUUGAGGGUAAAGACACUCAGUUUGAGUGCUCCUUUAAGCCUAUAUUGAUCUCAUAUGGUUGGAGCAUUCUCACAAAACAGAGUUAUCCUGACUGGUCACCUUAUGAUUUUACUUAGUGAGAGUGACCUGACAUACCCAUUGUAUGGUGUGACUUGUUUGUACUCCUAAGUGCCCCGGGGUGGUUUUUCACUGACAUGGUACCACAUUGCAUAUAGACUUGAGUCUUAGCAUAACUAUUGCAUAACGCUUGCUAAUUGUUUACUAUGAAAUUGAUGAGUGUUAUUAUGUCUUGAUCAGAGUAUGUGAUUCAUGUGUAAUGUGAUUGAUGAUUGAAAAGUGAAUUUUAAAUGACAAAGUGGUGGAAUUACGUGAGUUAUGUUUAAAUAAGUUAUAUCUCAUUUAUAUGAUAUGUAUAUCUAGUUGUCUUGUUUCUCUAUUAGUUAGAAAUGUGAUAACUCACUCCUCGUGUGUUGUUUGUGUUUGAAUCUUGUGAUGAUCUCGAACUUUGUGUUCGGGGGAACAUAUGACUAGGUGGAUUGCUUUAAGGAACCUUAUGCUGAAGGAUGUCGGGACACAAUACUCUGAUAGGACGUGACAUCACGGCAUAAGUUUCUAUAUUAAUUGCAUGAAGUCUUGAACGACCUUGUUUUAAGUCGAGAUAUUUUCGUAUUUAUUGGACAAGUCAUUUUAUGAUGUUAGAAAAGUAAAUGUGAGCCUUUUACAAUUUUGAAAUGCUUUUAUUUAAAUGUGCUUUAAAAACUUUUAAUUAAUUCUAAAUUCUUAUUUCUUUUAUUAUUAGUACAUAUAUGUAUGGGGUAGAGGGUGUCACACGUACCGCCACGAACGACUCUCCCUCUCUUUUUUGGCUUUCAUUUUUUUAAAAUAAAAUAAAAAAAAAUUAAUGAUGUGGAUGUCCGUGCCUACAUGUUUAGUGACUAGGCGUGAUGACGUGACACUCUAUCUGCCACUUCAUCACUCAAUAGAUGUGGACUAACAACUGGUACGAAAAUGAAACGCAAAAAUUUUCCUAGUAAAAAUGAUAAUAUUAGGUAGUUUUUUUAAAAAUGGAUUAUAUUCAAGGUAUGAAAAACUUAAUUAAGUCUAAAAUAAACUAUCCUUUUUGUUAUUGUAAAAUAAAAAUUUGAAGACCAUCUAAUUCACCUCAUAAUCAGUUUCAAGUCCAACCAAUUCUAUUCAUCCAUGCUUCACUCAGGUUCUUUUGAGACCUUUUAAGAAAAAGAAAAAGGAAAUGACGAGGCCCUUAUUUAGAUGUAAUAGAGGUGUUUAAAAUUAAAAAAAAAGAUCGUCAGCAAAAAAUUGAAAUGAAUGUGCAUGCAAAGUUAAAACCUAAAAGAUUAAUCGAUCAAUGAUGGAACACCCAAAUAGUCGUAUUUUAGUUUCUGCCAAGCUCCAAAGGGAAAAAGCAUUUUGUAAAAUCAGUCAAUAAGUUAGUAGAUAAAUAUAAAUUGACACAAAAAAAUAUAUGUAGGUAUUUGAGGUAAAAAGUGAUUAAAAAAACGAGUGAGAAUAAAAGAAAGCUACUAACUUAUAAACUAGAGCUUAUUUUCGUAAGUUAAUUGAUACAGUUUAUGAAAAUAAACUACAAGUUAAUAAAAUAAACUUAAACUUGUGUACUAAACAAACUUAUAAGUUGAUUAAAGUAAUUUGUAAGCUAUUAGAGUAUCAUACGAAAACAUUUAGUAUUCAUUCAGAGUCGCAAGUUGCUAGUUUUGGAACUUGUAUUUAGAAGUUUCUCUCGGUGCUUUAAAAAUUUGGAGGUAUUUAUGGUCUCAGAUUAAGACUUGUCACUUCAUAUUAAUUUUUGCUUAAUAAUUGCAUGUUGUUCCUUUCCUUUAUUUCAUUUUUGUCAUAUAACUAGUUACACUAUUAGAAAAUACACCUUCUACAUCAGUUAUUUAAGACCUUUUACAUUGGUUUUUAACCGAUGUUGAAAGUAUUAUCGUUAACAUUGGUUUUACAAAACCGAUGUUAACGUAAAAUUGACAACAUUGGUUAUCUAAAUAACCAAUGUUAUAUAAUAAGAAUUACACCAAAAAAGUGUAUGAAUGUUGAUAGGUGACAUUGAUUUUUCCACAAAACCGAUGUUAACUUAUAUAUUAACAUUAAGACCUUUUACAUUGGUUUUUAACCGAUGUUGAAAGUAUUAUCGUUAACAUUGGUUUUACAAAACCGAUGUUAACGUAAAAUUGACAACAUUGGUUAUCUAAAUAAUCUAUAAGUUAACAUCGGUUUUUACAAAAACCCGAUGUUAACGUGUAGAUUAACAUUGAUUUUUCCACAAAACCGAUGUUAAGUUACACAAACAACAUCAGUUUAUAGAAUCCACAACUGUAUAACAAAUAUGCUGAGACAUUGACCACCAUGUGCAAUUUUGGAGAGAUCUUCGUGCUUGAUGUACAAUGGGAAGUCUGGAUUAAACACCCCGAACACGGUAGCAUCCCACAUAACCUAGAGAGGCUUCAAGAAAAGCUGUGGGAUGGUCAAUGUCAUCAAAUACAGGGGAUCAUUGACCUCAGGAUCCGGCCUAUCUGGAGGCUUUGAUGGAGACACAGUUGCCUGUUUAUCAAACAUAGUGAAAUAACAUAAUUUAAUUACAGUGAACAAAUCAACUGAAAAAAGCAUAUAAUCAUAGUAAAAUACUUGUUCUAAUACACGCUUCACGAGAUAUGUCGGCCAAGCAAGGAAAGUGUUCAGUGCCUGCCCCACUAGUUGAACCUCGUCAAUGGGUACAGGAACGGGAGCCUCUGCAUCUUUAACCUUCUCAACACCAACCUUCACGUGGCCAUGCAACAAAGGGAUGUUGUGAACAACUGUGGAUCCCUCAUAAACUUUUCCUAGGACAACCAGGCGGGAAGGAUUUUCUUCGAUGUACAGCCCGCAUUUGUCUGAGUCACCCGUCUUUGGAUCGGUCGGUGAGGGAUCAACGCAACUCCCUUUUGUGCUAACACAGGCAGCUAGGGGACCAACCUCAGGCUCCAGAGGCAGUGCAAGUCCCUGUGAUUGCAUCUGUGACUGAAGCUAGGACUACAUCUAGUUGAAGGAUGCCAUGAGCUGCCAAGUCACUUUUUCUGUGAUUGACUCCUCCAACUGGUCCCUGAUUUGUUGAGUGAGCUGCUCAAGUUCUUUGGGAGGGAUGAAGGAGGAAUUGCGGGAGCUUUGUAGAGUGGAGCCGAAGUAUUGCUUAAUGGUGACACCGGCUCUAGCAGCAUGCACACGGCCAGGGUGUUCUGGUCACCCAAUGGUAGCAAUCAAGACAUCCUGACGACCAUGGGGGACAAACGAACCCUGUGACGCCUGCUCCUCCAAAGAAUCUUGUACGUAACACAUAUAUUUGUCCAAGGCAUUCACAUAAUAAACAAACAUAAUUACAAUUCUUAAUUUACAUUUGACUUACAAUCUUCUCAGCGAUUUCCUUUGCGGCCUCAGAUGUCAUCUACCCAGUUUUCUUGGUGUGAGCCAUCUUCUACUUCACGUGUCGUCUGAUGGGAGAUGGAGGGUUAAUGACGCCCUUAGUGCUUCCGGACUGAGCAGCUUCCUCUAGUUUUUUCUUUGUCUUCUCAACCAUUAGCUUCUAUUCUAAAUAAUCAUAACCCCCACAAGACAACACGUGGGGGGUGGUGUUUUGCUUCUAGAUGGCCCGUGCUUUUUUCCGCACAUCCAGCAAAAUUCAAACAUUAAUCAAAAUGAUUUCUACAAUCUAUUAUAAGAACUGAAUUUUUAGUGGAAACAAUUCAAAUUACAAAGUACAUACCUCCCAUGAGGGAUCUCGGCGGGUCUGACAAAACCGGACCCAUUUCUCCUUGCUAAUGUCGUACUUUCACAAAUAGUGUCGUCCACACCGUCCUUGUUGGCUGCAAGUGCCCAUUUCCUGGUCAAAUCGGAUUUAAACUGCCUCCACUGCUUGCCCACCGUCUGAAGACUUUCUUCUUUGUCCUACUGUCAGAAGAUUCAGGGAUUUCAAAUUCCACUUGACAAACAAUAAAUUAGGUUUUAUUGUUAGUAAAUUAUAAAUUUUGGCUACUAAACAAAAUCAAAGAAGAAAACAAACAUACCUGAAUAUCCUCCCAUAUCAAAUCCUUCUGAGCCGCAGGGACUUCCUUCCAGGUCUCGUAUGUCACGUCGACCUUAUCACGAGCGACAAUCCCCAAAUAUGUUCUUAAUUUCUACUUUUAGGGACCGUCGGCCUUGCCAGUCGCAGGAUCAACGUGGACCACUGGUCUGCACACCGGUGUUGCUGUCAACCCAUUUACAUUUGAAAACACACACAGUAAAUUUGACAUAGUUAAGCUCCCAAAUUUCAUUAAUGAACCCAAAGUAAGGGAUGGAAGCUACACAGGGAUUGUCAUCAUGCACACUUGCGAAGUGCUGACAUUCAGCCCUUAGGGUGACCUCGCUGUUUUGCAUUGUACUUUUGUCGUCUUGUGCUUUUGUGAAAAAGGAAUACUUGUUUAUGUUGUAUCCUUGCCAAGUUAUAACAUUUCUUUUAGGCCCAUCUGCUAGCUUUCUAAAUGUUUAUGAAGCAUUUUCAUCAACAAAGAUUGUAUCUUUAAACCAAUCAGAGAAAGUCUUGUUAUGCUUUUUCAAAACCCAAUUCUUUGACAUUUUUGGAUUAUUUUGUUUGACUAAAGCUUCAUGCUGAAGUGUGUAUGACAAAACUUCAUUACUGUUGUUCAACACAUACAAGUGAGCUUGUAAUAAAUCUUCUACACUUGGAGUGAUAACAUGCAGUCCUCUUGAACCCUUACCACCCACUCUGUCGUUAUGACGAGACUUAGAAAGGCCAAUAGGUUUAGCCUUUUCAAUGUACUCUGAACAAAAUUCAAUGGCUUCUUCUGCAAUGUACCUUUCAACAAUAGAUGCUUCUGGAUGAUGUAGAUUCUUGGUAUACCCUUUUAAGAUCUUCAUGUAUCGCUCAACCAGGUACAUCCACCGCAACUAAACAGGACCACAACAUUUGAUUUCUCUGACCAGAUGAACAAUUAAGUGAAUUAUGAUGUCAAAGAAAGCAGGAGGAAAAUACAUCUCCAACUGGCACAGUAUAAUUGCAGCCUCAUUUUCCAAGUCAUCAAACUUGACAGGAUCAAGGACUUUGCUACAUAUGGCAUUGAAGAAAAAGAACAGGCGAGUUAUGACUAACCUGACUUUGUUAGGCAAAAUGUCUCGUAGGGUCACGACUAACAAUUGUUGCAUCAACAUGUGACAAUCAUGAGACUUUAACCCUACUAGCUUAAGCUCCUUCAACUGCACAAGGCUCUUAAUAUUUGAAGAGUAUCCUUAUGGGACUUUCACCCGACGCAGACAUUGACAAAAACUUAUCUUCUCCUUUCUGGACAAAGUAUGACAAGCUGGAGGCAAAUAUAUUUUUUUCCAUCAGACCUUGGAUGCAACUGCAAUCGUAUACCCAUGUCAGCUAGAUCAUUAUGGGUAUUCAAACCAUCUUUCCUCUAGCCUUGAAUGUUAAGGAGCGUCCCAAUGACAUUGUCACAUACAUUUUUCUACACAUGCAUAACAUCAAUACAAUGUCUAAUAUCUAGAUUAGACCAGUACGGAAGAUCAAAGAAAAUGGACCUCUUCUUCCAUAUGCAAGUCUUACUUUUAUCCUUCUUUUUCGUGCUCUUGACUUCUAUUAAAUGCUUUUUUCAAUCGCCUGUAAGGGUGAUGAGGUUUUAGAAAACGUCGAUGCCUAGUGUAAACUGUUUUUCUACCAUGUUUUAGUUGUAUGUAGCUUGUGUCUUCUUCACAGAUGGGGCAUGCAUAAUGACCCUUAACAUUGUAACCGCUCAGAUUCCCAUAUGCUGGAAAGUCAUUAAUGCUACAAAAAAACAUUGCACGCAUUUCAAAAGUCUCAUUGCGAAACCCAUCAAACACUAAAACCCCCUCCUCCCAAACCUUUCUCAGGUCUUCAAUCAACGGACUUAGAUAAACAUCAAUGUCAUUUCCUGGCUGUCUUGGGCCCGAUAUUAUCAUAGACAACAUCAUGUAUUUUCGCUUCAUGCACAACCAAGGAGACAAAUUGUAAAUUACCAGUAGAACUGGCCAUGAACUGUGUUGAGUGCUUAAAUUGCCAUAUGGAUUCAUUCCAUCACUGGCUAAUCCUAGCCUAAGAUUUCUUGCCUCUUUGCCAAAAUCCGGAUACAAACCAUCAAUCUUCUUCCACUGGGAGCAAUCAGCUGGAUGAUAGACCAUUCCAUCAGAGUUUCUCCCAUUUGCAUGCCAGGUCAGGUCUUUUGCGUCGUCUCCAUUUGCAAAAAGACGCUUAAACCUUGGAAUGAUGGGAAGAUACCACAACACCUUUGCUAGAGGGCCCUUCUUUGAGUUUUCAUCAGAACUACAGUCCUCAUCAUCCUUCACCUUGUGCCGUGACGCCCCACACGUAGGGCAUUUGGACAUUUCUUCGAAUUCAUGCCUGUACAGUAUUUAAUCAUUCAGGCAAGCAUAAAUCUUCUGAUACUCCAUACCCAUCAGACACAAUAUCUUCUUGGCCUGAUAGUAACUUUUAGGCAACGUGUUUUCCUCUGGAAGCAGCUCAUGAACUACUUGAAGCAGUGAAGUAAAGCUUUUGUCCCUCCACCUAUAUCUGGCCUUGACAUUAACCAAACUUAACACCACCGACAACAACGUCAAGGAAUUCUUGCACCCCGUAUAUAGAGGCUUCUGUGAAGCAUUUUGCAAUCCUUCAUACAUAGGGGCAUGUGCUUGCUAAAAAGACUCUUGCCCAAGGUCACGAAUCAUAUCCUCCAAACGAUCUCCCAUUUCUACAUCAAACGGUUUAGAUUGGGACCCACUCUACAUGUCUAUCAAUUCACCAUGCCAUAUCCAUGUUGUGUAAUUCUUCUUAAUCCCAUUACACAAUAGAUGCUCUCGUAUGUCGUCCAGUAGUUGUCGUCUUCCGUUCAAACAAUUGAUGCAAGGACAAUAAUAUUUUCCAUCUUCAUCCGGUCAACCUCUUUCUGAAGAAAAUUGCAAGAACUGCUCGACGCCUUCCUCAUAUUCUAGGCUGAUGCGACUUUCAUUCAUCCAACUUUGAUCCAUCUAAGUAAUAACUCCGUGAUGCUCACAAAGUUAUUCAAUGCAUGAAAAUCUCACUUUUUUAUUAUAGGUGUGGCCCUAUCCGAUUCAGGAGGACAGUCUUUUAUGGUAGCUUCAUACGUCAGGGGUAAUUCUAUUUUGUUAAAUUUGACAAAAUUUUGGCAGCAUUUCGCAUUGGUCUCCAAGUACACGAUAUGAAAUUAAUUUCUUGAUAAUCAAGUAUGGACUCAGAGAACAACUCGAAAUGCAUUGUACAGAAAUUUCAUCAAAUUAAACAAAAUAAUGUUAACCUUAACGCAUGAAUCUACCAUAAAAAUAUCAGUCUCUCCAAACUGUCCAAACAAACAAUUCAAGAUUGAAUACAAUGAUUAAUGCAAACUGUCCGCAAGAAUCAUUGCAUUCAGUCUCAAACGGGAAUCUAAGGUUCACUCAUCAUGAACACAAUUUGUAUAGCAUAUAUCAAUUGUCAUUAAUGACAAUGAACAAGUAAUAAAAAUAUUAAUUGGUAACAAACAUUUGUACCUGUGAUGAUGAACAACACGGUCCUAAAUGAAAGCAAGAAUCAAAGAUAUAACUCAAUGACCACCUACGUCAAUCAGCAAACUGAUAUAAAUAUGUGACAAUGAGUAGGCUUAAAGUUUAAAUUUGCUUUAAGUGCUUCAUCAAAUGAGUAGGUUGUGUGUGUGUGUGUGUGUGUGUGUGUGUGUGUAAAUAUGUGACAAUGAGUAGGCUUAAAGUUUAAAUUUGCUUUAAGUGCUUCAUCAAAUGAAUAGGUUGUGUGUGUGUGUGUAAAUAUGUGACAAUGAGUAGGCUUAAAGUUUAAAUUUGCUUUAAGUGCUUCAUCAAAUGAGUAGGUUGUGUGUGUGUGUGUAAAUAUAUGACAAUGAGUAGGCUUAAAGUUUAAAUUUGCUUUAAGUGCUUCAUCAAAUGAGUAGGUUGUGUGUGUGUGUGUGUGUGUGUGUGUGAAAGUUGCAAUCUUAGAUUUAUAAUGCUCUAAAAUCUGAUAGGAAUAUAGAUAAAGCUGUAUUGUUGACAGCUGUGUAACUUACUUAACAGCUUGCUGCUAAUUAAUAGUAAAUAUUAUAGAGAUUCAAACCUAGCUUCAGCUUUCACAAUGGUGACAAGGGCUUCCCAAAAGCAAGCAGUAGAGGUACUCCCUAUGCCUUGCAGCUAAAGCAGUUGCAGAGAAGCAAGCAAAAGCCAAAAUAGUUGCCACAAAUGCACUAAUGAUAAGGCUGCAGAAUGAAGAAAAAUGACAAAACAUCAUUCAAAACUCAACACUAGUCACAGAAGCAACUGGCCAUUAAUCACAAAGCAAUUAACUCAACAAAUACCCCAAUCACAAAUCAAUCAUUUUCCCCUUUCCUAACAACAACUACUUUCUGGUUUCCUCAUUAAGUCCUUCUUUCCUUAUAAUUGACAAACUUGAUUCACUAAAUGCAUGCAAUCUACUCUUUAAAGGUUUAGUUUGAUUUCUCACAUUCAAUUAGUUUUUUGUGAUCUACUCACAAAACCUUAGAAUAUGCUUUCCCUGGUCACAAAGAGUUUGAAACAAUGUCCAUUUAUGUUAAUGAUGUUAUCCUAGUUAUAGGUCCAUCUUAUCUAAACCACAGGAUUGGUAAUUUGAGUAAAUUACGCAGUAAAACUACAAAACUGGAUCAAUCAAUAGAGAGAACCAUGCUCAAGUUGCAAUGAAUGAAGAUAAUACGAAGACAAUGCUAAUGGUACAUAGACUUCUUGCUUAUGAGUAAAUGGCUAAUGGUUCAUUGGAUAAAUGGAUAUUCAACAAGAACAAAGAGGAGUUUAUGUUGGAUUGGGAUACAAGGUAUAACAUAGCACUUGGAACAGCAAAAGGACUUGCUUAUCUACAUGAAGAUUGUGAGUCAAACAUUAUUCAUUGUGACAUCAAACCAGAAAACGUGCUCCUAGAUGAUAAUUUCAGGGUCAAGGUUUUUGAUUUUGGUUUGGCUAAGCUCAUGACACGUGAACAAAGGCAUGUGUUCGCAACACUUAGAGGCACUACAGUGUAUCUUGCACCUGAGUGGAUCACAAACUGUGCCAUAUCAGAGAAAAGUGAUGUUUAUAGCUAUGGUAUGGUGUUGGUAGAGAUCAUUAAGGGGAGGAAAAACUAUGAUCCCAGUGAAACUUCAGAGAAAUCCUAUUUCCCAUCUUUUGCUUUUAAGAUGGUGGAAGAAGGGAAUGUGACAGAGAUUCUUGACUCAAAGGUGGAAACUUAUGAAAAUGAUCAAAGGGUUCACAUUUCUGUGAAUGUUUCAUUGUGGUCCUAAUCAUAAAUAUUGCUCUAAUUAUAAAUAUUGCUUUAAGUAGAGACAUGGUCCUAAUCUCUUACAUAGACUAUGACAUCCUAAGCCUAGGAGUACCACCAAAGACAAACUUUAAGGCAAUCCUUACUUCUCAUAUAGUUUUUAUUUCAUUUUUAGUGAAUUCAAUUUAUAGUAACAGCUAACAAGGUUUUAGGCUAAGCAAUCCAAAACAAAAUGGGAUAAAUACCUUGGUCUUCAGAUUUCACCUCAAUAAACACAGCUGAUGCUUCACGUGGUUGCAACUUUUGAACCAUCUCUGCAGCUACUUCCUACAAGAAACAACACAGAUUAUAGACAAUUGUUAAAUAUAUAUUGUAGACAACUAUAUUGUGUACACAACUGUGUAGGUAAAAGGCUAUUUUGAGUGUGUGUGUGUGUGUGUGUUAGGUUGAGUGUGUAUACAACUUUAUGUGUUGUCAUGUUGAGUGUGUGGGAAGCUGAGUAUCUAAUCCUUAUCCAAAGGUAGCCUUCCCCUCUCUCUCUCUCUCUCUCUCUCUUUCUCUGUACUAUAUGUGUGUGUGUGUGUGUGUGUGUUAAUAAAAAGCUAAUGUAUGCUGAGUGUGACAAUUAUCUCCACUCAUUCAAAUUCAAGUUCUGGAGUAUCUCAAAUCCUUAAGCAAUGUAGUCCUAAAUUUUCAACAACAAUGAUGGGUAAAUAUUAGGAACUAGAAUUAAGUUAGGGCUGAAAUUAACAAUGGGGGGACAGCACAGAUGAUGAUAGCGUAAGUAUAGGAGCAGUAGAAAAAGCAAGGGAUUAUUUUGCACUGAUGAUGGAUAAGUAUGAGAUCGAGCCAUCGUGCAUAAGUAGAAGCACAAGUUUUUGGCAAUUGAACCAAAUGAAGGAAGAAAUCCAAGAAAAAGAAGCAAAGGAAGAAUCUCAGCAAAAGGAAGAAAAGAUGCUGCCAAACCCUACCUGGAAAACUCAAUCAGGUUGCUGCAAAAUCAAUUUGCAAAUCUGGACCUAUAGUUUUUAAGCCACAAACUGCAAAUAUCAUAAGAAAUUAUGCAACCUACAAGCAAAGGAGAAAUGGUAAGACUUUCAUUUUUAGUUGUUCAUGACUCAACUAAAGAAUCAGGAUGCAAAUUUGAUUACACAAAUUGAAUAUAUUUCAGAUUUAGAUCUAGACAGCUAUUCUCCUAUCCUCUAACAUCAAAGAUGUUUAUUCUUUAAGAAAAAGAACAGAAAAAAAGGAAGCGACAACGCCCAAUGCUCUCCCUUAUGUUGUUGGAGAGGCUUGUCUCUACCCAUGUUUACAGCAUGUAAAUUCACAUACCCCUCUUCAGUGACUAGGAAGUUUCUUUAACAACACAGAGAAACAGGUUGAGGAGAAAAGGGCCAAUUGCACCUGAGCAAAUGUUCUAUUCUGUUUGUUACUAUUAUACUUUUCUGAUGUGUAUUCGGUUUAGUAAUAUGUGUAUGAUAUCACAACAUGUCUAUAUUUAUCAAUGUUUCUUGUUGAGUUUGGAGGGAGUUAGGAGGGAAUAGCUUGAUUGAUAUUGCUUGUGGUGUACUGCUUUUUCAGAGCAUUUGGUUAUAAGUAUUUGAAACUAAAAAGGAAGCAUUUGGUUAUAAAGAAGAUAAAAAAAAUUGAAAAUAAAAAGGAAGAGUGCCAUUUAAGUGUUGAAAGCUUCCACAGUGUUGGGUUGUUUUUGGCAGGUAGGAAGAGAAGCAAGUUGCAACAAAUGAUAAUUGGGAGUAAAAAAUUCAAAAAGCAAACUCAAGAAACAUGUUCUAAAUCCUAUGUUAAACCGGAUAGCUCAUUCAUGAACUUGAUUUCAAACAUGAUCAAAGGAUGCUCACAAUCAACUCAAGAUGAGGAAAAGUCUUUGGCUCUUAACCUUGAAAAUCCUAAUCAUCAUCUUCAACAGCCAGAUCAGAAACUUCUCAAGUGCAACAAGAAUAAAUAUUUAGAGCUAAAAAAUGCAGGGUUCAGAUCAAAUUUUUAGUCUAUGGUUGGUGCAAAAUUUAAGAAUGUUGGAACAAGAAUGUCUCAAGUCGGAAAGGCUUCUAAAGAUUUUGAGCCAGGUACCAAGGUACAUGGAAUUGAUGCCACUCCAAUAACCUUCUAUACAAAGAACAAUAGCCUUUACAGACAGUAUUUUCAAUCAAAUAAGUUUGAAAUAUCUGAAGGGAGAUUUGAUGCCUGUCCCCCAUUACAGUCGCAGAUAAGACCUAUAAAUUCUCUCAACAGUCAUCAACACUGGAAAAAUAACUCAACAGAGAAUGAAAAAUUGUUACAACUUGGAGCUAACUAAGGAGAAAGAAGGAAUGGCAUUACUAUCAUUACAUUCACCUUCAACUAAACAAAACAGAAAUGAUAAUGAGAAUGUCAAGUCUUGUGCAAUGUAUGAGAGUAAGGAAAUGUGUCAUAGAAGUGAUAAUGUGGAAGGUCUUUGGAUAAAUCGUUUUUUUUUUACCAAAGUCAACUUCCCCCUUGGUAGUUUUUGAUCACCUUAAUGAGAGAGGUGGUUCUGAAGUUCAUUCUGCGUCAAUAUAGAGGAUUCCACUAUCCUUAAGGAUGAUAAGGGAAAUCAAUAUCACACAGCAAAGAUGAAUAAGUUCAAAUCCUUUACAUAUUUCCCUGGAUUGAGAGCUGCAGGGCCAAUGGUGUCCAUGUUUGCAAGGAGAUUAGGUUCCAUAAAAAAGGAAGCAUUUGGUUAUAAGUAUAAACUGGAUAAUAAUUUAUUAGAGAUAAACUAACUAUAUCUUAAUUAACAAGUAUGAUAACAUAAAGUAUUAGCAAAGCUACAUACGAAUCAAGUGUUGCAGCCAAGGCACAACUUGAGGUAGCCAAAGCUAGAUAUACAACAGUUGUUUCAGAUUUAAUAGGUGUGAAAGAGGAGCUGUAAGCAUUGCACAAAGAACCUAUUUCCUUAGUGACUGAUAGAGAUGUAGCUAUUAAGAAAGCUGGAAAGUAGAUUACUUGCAGCUCAAAAGGUGAAUAUCAAACCAACCAUCAACUUCCAGCUAACAUGUGCUUAUUUAAAACUGUCAACGAAGUAUUGCAGCAUUAAUUUGAUAGAAAUUGAUCAAGAACAAUGAUUACACAGAUAACUUGGCAGUUUUGGCUUACACCAUAGCCAACAUUUUUUUUUCUUUUUUGGGACUUGGGUACAUGAAAAUUUAUGGGGAGGAAAAGUUGUUGCAUUCCAAGUUCAUGACAUAGCACAAGCCAUUUGAAAUGGUACUUAAAGUUACACAUGACAUGCCAAUGGGCCUCAUUUAGAUAAAUUUCUCAACAAACACUUAUAGGAAAAAAAAUAGGAGGUAAAAUGAAUGAAAUUUCUCCCUUAAGUGAAAAUCAACUUGUGCACCUAGCUUAUGGACAAAUUAGAUUAGGGAGCUUCUAAAAAAUUAAUGGGAGAAGUUUAAUUCAAUAAACCUCUUUAUUUUCUUAUCUUAUAAAUGCUUGUUAAAAAGUUUAUUCAAACUGGGCUUAAGUAGAUAAAAUUUGAUCCUACUAGUUGAAGUUAACCCUCAUUAACAGAGUCUACAAUUUUUGCUAAAUAAAGCUACAACUGAAACUACCAAGACAUGUUAAUUGUACCUCAGAGAAAGGAGAUUACUUGCAGUUCAAAAGGAGAUAGAGGCUGCAAAGCCUUCUGAAAAUUUGGCAAUAGCAGCAAUUAAAGCAUUGCAAGAAAAAAAGGGUUCAAAUAAAUAAUAAAAUUACAAACAUUGCUUUCAUUAGUUUCAAUCUGAAUCAUUCAUUCACAAAAUUCAGUUAAGAUUCGCUUUUCUUAAAAUCUCAUUUCUCCCUAGAUAUGCUUUGAUAUACAAGUGUGACUUCAAAGUAGGUUUAAGGGCAUGCAAAUACAUAUCCAAACCCACUCUCACUUCUGCAAAUUGGUAAAACCCAAACUCACUCAGCCAAAGCAUACUUCUCCAUCAAAAUCAGGGCAUUGGAUAUGAGUAGCCAUGGUUUAAAGAUUUAAUAGCCAUACCUAGAUAAAACACUCUGAUUGUAAACUUCUGGUGACUCAGAAAGAGUAUCACUAAUUCCUAUGGAUAACGAGUGUUGUCAACUUUCUGGUACCAUCUUCAAUUCCUAUGGAUAAAAAUAAAAUGCAUAUGCUUGUGAUAUUCUUUUUAGAGAAGAAUGUAUUAGGGCACAUUAACAUUAGGUAUGCAGUUUGUUGCUCAUACAGUUAUUCACAAAUCCAAGUCUCAUGCACAAAAAUCUGGAAUUCUCAUACAGUUUGCUGCUCGUAGAAGUUGAUUUAAACUCAAUUAGAUACAUACCUGGCAGCCACUUGUACCUUUUUGUGAAGAAACUAAUAUGGACUAGUAGGUCCAUACUAGAUCUUAGCCUAAUCGCACCCGCACGAUCAACUAUCCAAUGCCCUACGGGGUGCACCUUUUAUACAAGAACACAGUAAGGGUAAGGGAUAUUGCGUUAAAUAUAAAAUACCCUAGCCAUGUUUACUUCACUAAGUGUGCGAUAGAUGAAUGCAAUCAAAUAUUUAUACAGGAUUAGACGAAACAUACCUAGGUAAGGUGGCGAAGGAGAAGAAGCAGAGAGUUGUGACGAUGCUCAAGCUUAGAUGAAACGAUGCUUAGAUGGAGAACAAAGAGCUUCAAGGUAGAUGGAGAACAAAGAGCUUCAAGGUAGACGAAGAACAGAGACCUUAGAUGGAGAAGAAAAGAGAGCGAAAGCUUAGAUGGAGAAGAUGAGAGCGUGAGCCAUAUCUUAACUUAUCAAACGUUAACAUCGGUUUUGUGAAAACCUGAUGUUAACAAACUUAUGUUAACAAACCGAUGUUAACUAAUUAAUGUUAACAUCAGUUUUCCAAUAACUGAUGUUAAUGUCACUUCAUUAACAUCGGAUUUUCACAAAACCGAUGUUAACGGAUACACAGUAUUUACAAUUAUGCCACCGCGUUUACGUUAACAUCGGUUUUGUUAACAACCAAUGUUAAGCCGCCGAUGUUAAAUAUGCCUUUUGUAGUAGUGUUAAACUAGCUUAACUAUAAGCUACUAUUGAGGGUUUUCUCCUAGCUGCAUCAUUAGGGUUUUUUAGAUCCUAAGGCUUCCAUGUUUGUUUUUCCCAUGUGGUUGUGGCUCUACCUAAGCUGAUUUGCUGCCUUAAUUUGACACCUUCUACCCCGAUAUACAUAUUUAUAUAGUAGAAUACAUGAAAAUGCAAAAUUACAUAAAAUGAUUUUAUUCAAUAAACAUAAAAAAGCUCACGUGGGUAAAAUGUUAACAUUCCCGUUAAUCACAAAAUUAAAAACUUAUCAAUUGAGGGUAUGAAAACAUUUCCAACUCAAAACAAGGUUGUUCAAGUUUACCAAAGAACUCAAGUUAAGUAACAAAAUAAAAAAAGUAAAAUGACAUGUUUGGAACAUCAUGCAAUUAAAACAGAAACCCAUGCCCCAAUGUCACAUCCUAUCAUAGUAUUGUGUCCUAACAUCUUCCAGCACGAGGUUCCUUAAAGCAAUCCGCCUAGCCAUCUACUCUUAUGAACACAAGGUUAGAGAUCAUCACAUGAUCCAAACACAUACGGAGUGAGUUAUCACAUUCCUAAACAGGUAAAGAUAGCCAAAGGCUUAUAUAUAUAUAUAUAUAGUAUGAGUAUAACAAGUUCAAAUUAGAACAAUUCAUAUCACUUUAUCACUCUUUGCAUAACAUCACUUGUCCCAAGGAUUUAAUCAUAUUCCACACCUUCACAUUAAUCACGUGUUCAAAACAACAAAUCUCAAGUACAACAUAACAUCUCACACUCACACAAUUCAUUAUCCACCAUCACGUAGCAAGCCACAUGGAUCAUUACACAGGUGUUAUGCAACAGAUACACUAAGACUCACUUCUAUAUGCAAUAUGGUACUAUGUCAGUGAAAAACCUCAUCGGACGCUUAGGAGUACAUGACAAGACAGACCACAUACUGGUAAGUCAGGUCACUCUCACUAGGUAAAAUCAUAGGGAGACCAGUUAGGGUCACCCUGUUUUGCGAGAAUGCUCCAACCAUGUGGGAUCGACACAUGCUUAAAGGAGUACUCAAACUGGAUGUAUUUACCCCUAAGGCCAAGACUCCGAAGAGUCCGUCAGGACUUCUCCCUCCUGAUUCAGGUCUAACCCAUAAAACAUUUUAGCACGCAAACUCUAUCUAUAAACUAUACAAAACACACGACUCCUCAAUUGUUCUCAAAAUAAUUUGAACUCAUUGUGCUUCAAAGUGAUUCAACUCGUCGAGUUCCCACAGUGGACCCCAUCACAAUACUCGUCGCACAUUUACUCGUCGCCCUUAAAGGGUCUUAAAAUCGUGUGAUUUUACAGUUCAUAGCUCAGACCUCAAUGCACACAACAUCUCAAUACAUGUGUGAUCUCUCAAUUUAACACAUACUCAACUUAUCACAUACACUCAAUCUCAAUCACAAUGUUAUAAUCUCAAAGCAACAUGUUAUCACACCUUACAAAUCAUAUACAUAUCACAUAAUAUUAAUAUAUACAUGGCACAAACACAUACUUUACCUAUAAACUAUGCAAUACACACAACUACUCAAUUUUUUUUAAAAUCAUUUUAACUCGUCGCACCUCAAAGUGAUUCAACUCAUCGGAUUCCUACAGUGGAUCCCAUCACAAUACUCGUCUCACAAAAACUCGUCGCCAUUAAAGGGUCUUACAAUUGUGUGAUUGCACAAUUCAUAGCUUACAACUCGAUACAUACAAUAUCUCAAUAAACAUGUAUCUUGCAAUUCAUCACAUAUUCAAUUUAUCACUUACACAAUAUUUCAAUCACAAAUUCACGAUCCUAAUAUAACAAUUUAUCACACUAAUCUAGUAAAUCUUGUUCAAAACACAAACAAAUUAUACAAAAAUGUUUCUCGCAACAUGGGAGAAAAACCCCUCGAACAAUUUCACAUACUCAUAUAAAAAUAAAAGGAAUCAAAAUCAUAGGUCAAAAACAUAAAAACACCAACAACACUCAAUUUUAUCAACCAAUUCACAUCAGGGCAUCAAUUGGUCCAUCAAACAAAAUAAUAUCAUAAUUAUAAUUGUAAAGGAAGAUAUACAAUACAGUAAACAUCCCAAAAUAAACUCUAAUUUGAUCCUCUAAGAUCCCUACACAUGUUCAUUCUAACCCAAUUGCGAUAAACCCAUCAUUUACCUCUAAGCGGGCUCACUGCAUAGUCCGACAGUGAUAACAGGGUCUCUAGUGAUUCUGUAAGAUUCCUGAAGCUUUUCUUUUGGUUUCUCUGCUAGGUUUUCCAAGCAUUAGAGAGAAGGAAAAGGGAUUGGAGUCUCAAUUUCACUGUCUCUGUGAGAGCGGUAUGUCUCUCUAAAAACAUUAUAUCCCAAAUACCAACGGUGGAAAUGUGUGGAAAUGAGUUUCGGAGGGGGUGUCCAAAUUUCUUAAUGAUCCAACGGUUAAAGAGUCUGAGAUCAUAGUUUUACUGAGACAUGUUUGAGUGUAUACGAGAAAAAGAAAGAGUUUUGAGAGAGGAAGAAGGGAAAACGAAUUUGAGAGGAAGAAAGAGCGUAAGGACAUAUCAUAAAUGUAAAAACUGACCUAAUAUAUCUCUAUGUAUAAUUAGGGUACUUUCAGCCUAUUAUUUACUCUAUUUUUCUUUAUUUUAUUAUUUUAUAAAAAUGAACUUUAUUUUACUUUCAUUGAAUAAAAUAACCAGUUAAAACAUUCCUUUAUUUUCUAAAACAUCAUUUAACUCUAUUUAUUUUCUAAUACUAUGAAACUCUUAUUUUAAUUAACAAAAACCCUUUUUCUCUCAUUUAUUUAAUUUCUAAAAACUCUAUUAAUUUUUAAAUAAAUUUCUUUUUAUUUAUUUGACAAAAAAAUGGGGUGUUACACCUAAUAUCAUAUUUAUGCCUAUUUGGUACUUAUGAAAACGACAUCAAAUGGAUCAUGGAAAGAACCUUGACCUCAUUGAUGAGGAAAAGGACAUAUUAGAGUUGUCAGAACAGGAGGAAACAAGUCAACUGGAUAAAAAGGAUGUGGAAGGCUAUUAGCUCGUUGGCAAAUUCUUGAAGCAUGGAUCGAUGAACGUAAGGGUUUUCAAAGCCACAAUGGCCCAAGCAUGGAAAAUGAAGGGAGGACUAGAGGUGAGAGUUGUGGAGAAGAAUCUUUUCACCUAUUGUUUUUCCAGAAGAAAGCAGAGACAUGGUUAUGAGGCUGGCUACAUGGAAUUUUGAUAGGAAGCUAGUGGUUCUAAGUGAUCUUGAUCAAGACAAAAGCCCUAGCAUGGUUUAUCUAAAUUGUUGCCCAUUCUGGGUAAGGAUUUAUGAUUUGCCCCUUAACCUGAGGGUCAAAAGAGUGGCUCAAACAAUUGCAAACACCAUACCCCAAUUUAUGGAGUGGAAUAAGAAUGAGCAGAAUCGGUUGGGUCGCUUUGUAAGAGUGUGAAACCUCAUGGAUGUUAUAAAAUCUCUACGGAGGGGAACACAAUUGAAACAAUGGACGUUGCUACGCAACCUCACCGAGAGACAUAAAUUCCUUAGCUGAAAUUGAUGUGGGCUUGGGAGCCCAUGAGCAAUUUGAUCUUUGUGGAGACUUCUUUCUGAUGAAGGUCUUGACUUGGUGUUCUUUAUGGAAACCAAGAAAAAGGUUACUGAACUGAAUGGUUUGAGAUAAGGGGUUAAAAAUAUGAUAAGGGGGGUUGGUUUUGUUGUGGGGUGACUACAUUGAGGUUGAUAUCAUCUUUUCUCCCAAAACCAUAUUGACGUGUGAAUUUUUGUCCAUUCUCAACAAAAAAAAAAAGAUUCCAAUUCUCAAGUGUGUAUGGCUUUCCUGAGGGGUCUCACAAACACUUCACCUAAAAUUUUAUCUGAGAUUUACAACAUGAGAAUGAAUCCCCUGGGUUAUGUCUAGGGGAUUUUAACAAAGUUCAAAGCCCAAAUGAAAAGAUUGGGGAAAUCCAGUGUGUAUGAGUCAGGUAAAAAAUUUCAAUGACACUCUUAAUGAUGUUAGCCUAAGUGACUUGGGGUAUUUGAGCUAUAAAUUUAUUUGGACAAAUAGAUGGAAAAAAGCCCAACAACAUACAAGAAUGCUUAGAUAGAGUAGUUGAUGAUGCUUAGUGGAGGAGUUGGAGGAAAGAAAUGUUAGGUGUACCAUCUGUCUAGAUUCGAGUCGGACCAUUGCUUGAUCUUUGUUUAAUUCUUGGUGCAAAAAAGGAGGAGGAAAAGAAGGGCAAACAUCUAUCAUUUUGAGCAAAUAUGGUUAAAGGAUAUGAUUUAUGGUAUCUUAGAAAUAGAGGCAAAGCAAAAUGAUCUCCUCCUCAAAGAAGAGUUUUACUGGUCCAAAAGGUCCAGAGCAACAUGGUUGGUCCAAAAGAAACAAAACCAAUACCAUUGAGAAGGUUAAGGAUGGCAAUGGUGACUUCAAAGAUGAUGAGAAAAGAAUUGCAGGUAUUCUAAAUAAUUAUUUCUCCACUAUAUUUUCUUUAUUAGUAACAACUGGGUGCAUGAGGUAUCCUACAUGGUUGGAAUACGAUUAUAUGAUUAAAUGAUAAAUAUUUUAAAUGGAAAGUUUAGUGGGGAGGAAGUGGAGUAAGCAUUCUUUCAAAUGCACCCAACAAAUGCUCUAGGCCUUGAUGGCACCCCUACAUUAUUCUAUCAACAAUUUUGGGACCUUGUUGGUCUAGAUGUCAAGAGGUUGGUGUUAAAUAACUUUAAUGAUGAAGGAGACCCAACCACAAUAAACAAAACAUUGAUUGCACUCAUCCAAAAAGUUAAAAGACCCACAAAUGCAAUUAGAUUUAGACUAAUUAGUCUUUGUAUUAAUGUCAUCUUCAAAAUUGUUAAAGACUAUGGCUAACAGUUGAUGAUGGUUCUUCCUUCCAUGCUCUUAUUGCUUUUGAAUGCUUCCACUAUACGAAGAAUAAGAGAAGUGGAGAUGGAUUUAUUUGAUCAAGGCCAUUUGCAUGGUCUAAAGAUAUGUAUUUCUGCUCCUAUUAUUUCACACUUGUUCUUUGCAAAUGACAACAUUAUUUUUACAAGGCAACACUAGAGGAGGCAAUGUGUCUAGUAAGUAUUCUAAAGACUUAUGAGGGUGCUUCUAGACAGAAAAUUAACCUAGAUAAAUUAGAGCUCUCGUGUAGUUGAAAUGCACCUAGUACUAGAAUUGAUGAACUAACAAUGCUUCUUGGAGAAAAGGCGGUGGAGACCUAUGUGAAAUAUUUGGGUCUUCCUACGUUGAUAGCAAAAUCCGAAACCUAAGUUUUCAAAUUUGUCCGAGAUUGGGUCUGGAAAAAACUCAAAGGUUGGAAGGAGAAGGUUUUGUCAAAGGCGGGGAGAAAAGUGUUGAUAAAAUCUAUGGUUCAAUCUAUACAACCUAUGCCAUGGGUUAUUUCUUCUUGCCACUUUCCACUUGUAGAAAGAUAGAAAGUCUCACAACCCAUUUCUAUCGAGGGAGGGGAUGUUGAUGGGAAGAAGAUCCAUUGGAUGAGCUGGAAAAAUUGACUAGAAAUAGGAACCAUGGAGGGCUUAGAUUCAGAUUUGUUAAAUCCUUCAAUCUAGCCUUACUAGCGAAACAAUAGUGGAUACUCAUUUUCCACCCAGACUCCUUAGUGGACUUUUUUUUUACCAAACAAAGUGAUUUUGUAAAAUUAUAUAGCAAAUUUGGUAUUUUCAAAAACUAUUUAUCAAAUAUGAGUAAUUUUGACUUUUGACAUCAGUUAUAAUUAAUCACCUAUUUCUGGUAAAUAGUUUUCAAAAUCACCUAGUUUGGUAUAUAGUUUUACAAGAGCUAGUUUGUUAAAAAAAAAAGUCUUCCUUAAUAUGGCUAGGGUUUAUAAGGCAUGUUACUUUCCUUCCAAGUGCAUCCUUGAGGCCACGAAAGGUUCUGAUAGUAGCUAUAUGUGGAGUAGCUUACAAAAAGCAAAGGGGAUAAUUGAAUAUAAGGUUGCAUCUGGAGUUUUCGAGAUGGUUUGAUGACCUCAAUAAAAAAUGACACAUGGAUGCCGUGUGUGCCCGGAGGAAAGAUUCCACUUUUUGAAUAUGUGGAUAUUCCUGAUGAAAUGAAAGUUUCGGAGUUCAUUAAUGUUGAGUCGGAUUGCUAGAAUACUUAAACUUUAAAAUUAACAAAAUUAAGACUAUAAUAUUAUUAUUUACUUUUUAAUAUCGACAUUGUUUAACAAUUGUCUAAAAAUUUUACCUAAUUUUUUAUAAUAUAAAGUAGGAAACUUUUGACGUGCUUUUUUCCUCUUGAAAUAAGGGUAUUUUCAACAAUUUUUUUAUAGUUAUUUCAUUAUUUCAUUUAUUUUUUUUGGUGAAUCUUUUAUAUAAUACAAAAUAAGAAAGUUUUGGUGCACUUUUUUCCACCCAAAAUAAGAAUAUUUUUGACAAUUUUUUUGGUUACUUAUUUUUUAGUUAUAUUUUUGGUGGAUGAAUAAAACUGAAACAUUUAAUAGAAAAUGAGUUUUAAAUGCAUAUUUAUUUAUUAGGUAUUGAAAGAAAGAUAAUAGGUUCUAAAUGAGUUUUAAAGCGUAUUAAUAAGUAUUUAAAUUCAUUCAUUGGUUUAUUAUAUUUAUAGAGAUUUAUAAUAUCUAUGAAAAUAACGGCUAGGUGCAUUGGGUCCAUGUUUUGUUAGAGGCUAAACAUGCUUUAGUUAAGUAUCUCUUUGGAACUUCAAAAUUUUACAUGUCUUUGAUGUUGUUCUUGAUUGUAUUUAUCACGUCAUAAGGGUGAAUUUAACUUCUUCAAAAGCUUUUAGACUUUAAUAAUAUUUUCAUUAAUGAAAAAACUAUUAUAUUUUUUUAAAUUGGAAUUUAAAAAUAAGAAUAUCAUAUAUUUUAAAAAUAUUAUUUAAAAUUAAUAAGAAAGUUUUGACACACUUUUUUUCACCUAAAAUAGGUAUACUUUAGACAAUUUUUUUGGUUAUUUCAUUUUUCUUUUAUUUUUUGAUAAAUAAAAAGAGAGACAUUUAAUAGAAAAUGAGUUUUAAAUGGAUGUUUAUUUAUUAGGUAUUGAAAGAAAGAUAAUAGAUAUUAUUGAUGUCAUUAAUGAAUAUUUAAUUUGAAUUCAUCCAUCAAAAUAAUAUGAAGUGCAUUGGAUUCAUGUUUUGCGGGAGUCUAAACAAGUUGUUGAUGUUUUAACUAAGUAUGAGCUGGAUCUUUAGAAUGCUAAGCAAGUCUUUCAUGUUGUUCUUUUACUGUAUUUAUCAUGUCAUAAGGGUGAAUUUAGGUUGCAUUAGUUUUUUUAUAGGCUUAUAACCUUUAAUAAUAUCUAUCAUUAAAAAAAUAUCAUGUUUAUAAAUUUGCAUUUGAAAAUUAAUAAUAUCAAAUUUAAAAGAUAAAAAAGAACUAAAGGUAUUAAUCUGUCAUUAUAGAAUCAUUUAUCAAUUGUAAUUAUAUAUUACCCUAGCUUGAUGGAAGAGAGCUAUGAAGGAAAAUGAAAAUAGUGGUAGCUUGAUCACCCAUUUACAUUACCCUUAUGUUUUAUUGUCAUUGGAGAAUACUUUAAAAAUUAAUAUUUGAGAAUAAUGUCUAUUGAAUGUCUCAUAUAGGAAUAGAGUGAUGUUUAUUAGUGUCCUGUAAUUCUUUUUCUUAAACAAAUCAUUUUGCUUAACUUGCUAAGUAGCUUUAAAUGAUUUAGCUUUUUCCACUUGAAGAAUUAUUCAAGAUUAGAAGAUUUAAGAGGAUUGAAAUAAUACUAAGAUUCUAGCUCAUUGAAUGGAGAAAAAUAAUUUUUGUUGCCAAGAUGUUGCCAAGUAUCACCAAAAAAACCCAACUAGCUUGUUUUUAUUGUUGUUUCCAAACCCUGCACAUCAACUGCUUAUGUUUUUGUCCUUAUGAACUAUGUUUUGUUUAGCCAUCUAAAUUUAGAAAUGAACUUUCUUUUUUGCAACCUUUUCUUAAUAACAAAAGCACCCUUGCCUAGUUGUUAAAUUUACACAAAAGUCUAGUACAAACAAAUCGUUGAGGAUACGAUCUUUGUACUUUGAAAAUACUACAUAGAUUGGUAUGCUUAUCGAUGAUGUAACAAAGCCCCACCCCCAUGGUGGCUCCUCUCCUUGUGCCGCCUACAUCAAGCCCUCCCUUGCCUCUGGAAGCCACCACCACCUUGUCAUGUGCAAAGGCUACGAGUACGACUUCCACCCAGCCACCACCAAUUAAUUAAUGAUAUUUGAUUAUAGAAGUCAUUUUAAAAAUAUUUGCAAAAUAUAUACAUUAAAAUUUAAAUACGGUUAUAAUUUAUCCAAUAUAAAAAUUUUGGGCAUCACACAGGUACAAGAACUAGAACAAUAAUAAAAGUCAGUAGUUGACAACAUCAAUCCACUAAUUUAAGAUGAGAGAGAUGAUACCUACAAAUAUACUUUUAAAAAUUGAAUUUAUAUUUAUAAAAUUAAGAAAAAAAGACAUGCAUAUUUAAUUGGGUUAAAAAGUAAAGAGAAAAAAGAUAUUUCAUUAGGACAUACUAUUGGGUGGAUUUUACAAUAAACCCACUCAACAAAUUGUUCACCAGUAAACUAAUAAUUACAACCAUUAAAUAUAUUUUAAAAAAAAUAAAUUAUUCAAAUUCAGAAUUAUAGUUAAUUUAUCUAGUUAGUUAAAUUUAAUUAUUCUUAUAAUCCAAUUAGAACACCACCAUUUCUCUGAAGAGAAGACCACACCACCGUGAACACUAUCAUACUCUCACUUACUGAAAUCAAAACAAAACACCACUAUCUUCUUUGUCUCAACAAAAAUCAAAACCAAACAAAAUUUGAUUUAGGAAUUUCUUGUUUAUUCAACAAGCACAAUCAAAAUCAAAAUCAAAUCAUCAGCAAAUACAAUCUUAUAAUCAAAAUCAAAUCAUCUACAUAUGUUGUGGGGUGUGUGUGGGGUGAUGUGAGGUAUUUACGGUAUGGUUUGGCUUCAUUUUUGAUUGAAAAGUCAUUUGAGUCAAACAUAAAAAUUUAAUGUUUUCAGUUUGGUUUGGUUUGAAUAUAAUAUCAAAUUCAAAUCAAAUCAAACCAAUCUUUUGUUGUCUGAUUUGGAUUGAUUUUUGUGAUUUUUAAUAUUUUUAAUUUUAUCUUUAUAUGACCUUUAAAAAUAUUUAAUUUAACUAACAAAAAAAAAUUGACACUAAAACUAUCAAACAUUCAAAACCUUAUUUAGACACUAUAGCCCAAUAGUAGCUAAUAGCUUGGUAUACAUUUAAAAAUUUGAUGUAUUUUGACUUCUUGUAGAUAAAUUAUAUGAAGUAUAAACUAAUGCUCUAGUCAAAACAGUAGUUAAGCUCAAAUUACACUUAAAAAUAUUUGUUUUUAUUUUUUAAGUGAUUUUUAGUUUUUAUUUUAGAUCGGAUUGGAUUUGAGCACCCUUAAAAAUGACAUUACUUUACAAAAAAAUGGCGACAAAACGUCACUUUUUAGAAACACAUCAACACUUGGUUAUGCAUUUAAAGGAUUGGUAAAAUGCACAAAAAUUAGGAAAAACAUAAUAGUAUAAUUUGUGGGAAAAAAACUUGAGUUAUAAAAUUCCCAAAAUAAUAAUAGCUAAGUGGUAAAAUGUACACUCAAGCCAUAAAAAUAUAAUAUAAAACUUACCUAGAAAAGUGAUACAAAGAUGUAAAAAUGAUUAAUCCUUUAAUUUAUUCAAAUAAAGAACUUUAUUUCAAAACCAACAUAUUAUGGGAAGAUAUCAGUUGGAGUUGCUACUUUCCUCCUUUCCUUAUUAAUGCAUAUCUCUGGGUGCUUUUGCAUGACCAGGUGGUGCUCAACUCUAGGUCCAUUGUGCCAAAUGUCACCCAACAGGUCCUUGUUAUUACUUGUUCAAGUGCCUUUCUAAGUGCCCUUGUCAGGACCGGGUACUACACAUGCCCCUAAGCUCUAAGGCAUGUGAUAACGACUGUUGAAUCGCUUCAAAACAAAUAAAACUAAGAAAUUUUGUAAUACAUGAGUAACCUAGGCCAACUCAGAAAUACGAUUCAAUUUGGUUUCUACUUCAAUUCACUAAUAAAGAGUAGGGAGAAUUUCAACAAAUAGUUUGAAGGCAAGGUAAAGGAUUGCGAAAACUCAAAAACAAAAUUGUAGAAACAAAACAAAUUUUUUGGAAACAAAAUAACAUAAUAUGAAUCAAGUUUAAUAGCAUCAAUCUAAUUCACCAAACCAAUGCAAAUCGAAUCAUCAUAGUUUUGCAGAGAAUGAUCAUGUUGUGAAAGUUCAAUCAAUGUCAUUAGAGUUAGUUCAAUCAAAUUAAUUUCUAAAUUCAUUGAGAUCGCAAAUUAGGGUGGAGUAUCAUCCAAACAAUUUUUUAUUAAAUUUCAAAAUUAGGAAAUGAAUACAUUACCUAAUUCGUUUUCAAUCCUAAUCAUAUUCAUAAUCAUGAAAAUUUAAAAUAGGAUUGAAGAAACAUAUGAACAUUCACACAAAAUAGAAGUACUAAACCAGAAUUCAAAUUUAGCCUUGCUUGGAGUGGAUCCUAGGAUUGAUUGAGUGUUUUACCUUUCAUGAUCAUCGCCAAUGGAAGAUUCAUGAAAUUUUUGCAAGAAAAAGGAAGAAUAAAAGUGAAAAGAGGAAGAAGAAUGAACAACAAUUGAGAGAAAGAGAUAAAAGAGUUUGAUCUUAAAGCUUGCACAACAAGUAACUAAAUUUGUUUUUGUACAAAAUGAAGUAACUAACUCACUAACUAAAUAAAUUCUACUAAUAUAUAUAGUUACUACUCAGAAGGAAGGGAUGGGUUUUGAUUAGGCUCAUCUAAUCUACCUAAUUAAACUAAUUACACAAAGCACAGUCCAAAUUCGCAACCUAAUUAUUCAAGUGUAGAGGUUCUGACUUCCAAACUUAAUUUGACCCUCGAAAUAGUAGAAUUGGCCCAAGCUUAUUUCUGACAAAAUUGAAUCUCUCUUUCUUAGCUUUCUAGGGACUACUCACAUGCUCCAUUUGGAGUUAUGUAGUGCCUGAUAGACCUUGCACAAGAUAGAUAGGUCAAGUAAGUAAAAAAAAUCCAAAAAUAAGCCACAAUUAUCAAUUAAGCUCAAUCAUUUGCCUAAGACCAAAACUGAGUUAAGAUAGGAAAAUAGGAGUCAAAGAGAGAGGUAAUGUCAUAUGAGUAGAAGUAUUUGGUCCUAGGUCCUUUAAGCUAAGUGCUAUCGGUAGGUCUUGAUUUUGAACUUUUGGAAGUUGCAUUUCUCUAAUAUACCCUUUUUGCAUUCAAAAUCAAUUUUGAUUGAAAGUAUUAAACAAAAUUGAUGAAAAAUCACUUUAAUUGUAGUUACUCCAAGGCUGGAAAGAGUUACCUACAUACGGACUAACCCUUAAAGCUAAGUUAAGCAUUGUAGAGUGAAACAACCAAGAUGUGGCUCUUAAGCAGUUGUGAUCUUGCAUUGACUAGCGAUGCGGCCUAAGUUGUGGUUAUAAAGCUUAGACAAUCUUCAUCUUACAAGAGACUUUAUGGUGUUGAAUUAGGUUAAAAAGCCCAAAUUCUAAAAAUAAUUUCCAUAAAAAUCAUGUUUUCGAUAUCGGAUAUUGUAAAAAAAAAAAAGUUAAAACUAUUGUGCAUUUUGUUCUCUUCUGAACAUACAUAAACAACAUUCUUCCAAUUUAAAAAUAAGAUGUUGUCACGUGAUAUGUGAGGAAGGAAAUAUUACAAUUAGUUGAAACAACUGUGCAUUUUGUUCUUUUCUGAAUACACUUAAACGCCAUGAUUUUAAAUUGUGAUCACGGUUGUGGUUGCAAUUGUGGUGUGUCAGAAAAUCUUUACCCUCAAGGCCUAGACUUUGAUGAAUCCGUUAGGACCUCACCUUUGUUAUUCAGGUCCAAACCCUAAAACAAUUUUUGCAUGCAAACACUGCUCAUGAAUUAUACAAUACCCAUGACCUCACGCUUGUUCUCAAACACGUUUCACAUAUUGUGCUACAAUUUAACACUUCGAGUUCCUAACUUGGAACCCUACACUUUCCUUUUAACACUUUGUGCAUAAACAUUUUUCUCAAAGUAAACACCAAUCAGGUUAUUGUAUAAUUCACAACUCACAACACAAGUAUUGUCACAUCAAGUAUUAAUCACACACUUAUUCAUGACCAUAUCUCAUGUCCACAAUUUAACAUCUCACAAUGUCACAAUCCACCAUCACAUGUUUAUGUGUAUCUCACAAAUUAAUGCAUGUUUAACUUUGCACUUAUACUCAAUCUCAAUAACAAUGUUAUAAUCUCAAAUCAACAUGUUAUCUCACAAUUCAUCAUAUAUUCAAUUUAUCACUUAUACACAAUUUCAAUCACAAUUUCAUAAUCUCAAUAUAAUAAUUUAUCACGCUAAUCUAGUAAAUCUUGUCCAAAAUACAAACAAAUUAUACAAAAAUACUUUUCCCAACAUGGGGAGUAAAACCCCUCAAACAAUUUCACAUAACCAUAUCAAAAUCAAAGUAAUCAAAAUCAUAAGUCAAAAACACAAAAACACCAAGAGCACUCAAUUUUAUCAAUCACUUCCCAUCAGGACAUCAAUUGGUGUGUCAAACACAACAAUAUCGUAAUUAUAAUUGUAAAGGAAGAAUUAUAAUUCAAUAAACAUCCCAAAAUAAACCAUAAUUUAAUCCUCUAAAGAUCCAUACACAUGUUUAUUCUAAUCUCAAUUGCGAUAAACACAUCUCUUACCUCUAAGUGGGCUCACGUGUGUAGCCUGGCAGUGAUAGUCUAGUAGUUUCCUAAUUGCCAUAAACUCAUCACUUACACAAAUUUUGUCCGAGACAUUUGUACAAAAAUUAAAAAAAAUGGUGGUGAUGCAUGUUAAAAUACUAAAUGAGUUAACAUAUUGAAUGAAUAGUAUCACGCUAAAAUUUUAGAAGCAUUGAAAUGAGAAGGAAAAAUAUUUUGGGGUGGCCAAUUUCAUAUUUCAAAUAUUUUAGAAGGAUAAAAAAUAUAUUUUAUCCAAUAAUUAAGUUAUAUAUUUUUUAUUUAAUAAAAUAUUUUUUUAAUUUGUUAGAUAACUCUAGAAUUAGAUUUCUUCAAAAAAAAAACUUUAGAAUCAAAAGAUUUAAUGCAUAUAUGCAUAUAACACAAAUAUACCUUACCAAUGAAUAAGAAAAUUGAGCAUUGAUUUGGCCAAAUAAAAAGUAAUACAGAUUUGUUUUAACUGAAUUAGAUAUAAUAAACAACAAAAUUUAAAAAAGAAAUUUUUAUUCCAAAAAUAAGUCAAGCAUUAUCCAAAAUACUUGCAAGGGAAAAUUAAAUAUGAGAAAUAAUCAGUAAGAUUCUAUAUACAAUUAACAACAUGUAAUAAAUUAAUUUUUUUAGCUUUGGACAAAUGAUCUAUUUAAUUUUUUAUCUUCAUUUUUUGGUUUAUUUUGAUCUUAUCUUUUAGAAAUUUUAUUAUGAUCUUUUAUGUUCUGAAAAAGAAUCAAAAUGGUCCUUUCGUCAAUGCAAAGAUAACGUCGUUAAUGAAGUAAAGAUAUUAAUGGCUAAAAAUUAUCACAAAAUAUAAUUUCUUAUUUUCUUUAGCUUUCUCCUUCCCUUAUUCCCUUGAACCAAAAAAAUAAAAUAAAGAAUCAAAUAGGCCAUUUGAUCUUUUGUUUAAUAUACCUAAACAUGAAUCCAUUAAUUAAAUGAUUUGCAUAUCUGUUUGUCAAAUUUUGAACUUGCAUAAUAUUUUUUAAAUUAAAAAUAAAAACAAUAAGUGUUCCAAAAAUUUGUACUCAAUUUUUUUUAAUAUUUUCAUUGAACAUAAAAUAAAAGACAUAAAGAUUUUUUUCAAUGACUUACAUCAUUUAUCAAAAAAUGUUACCAUCUUCGCUCUAUCCAUUCUUUUAAGUAACCCCCUAUAAGAUAAAGAAAUUUAUCAUAAGCCUUUUUGCAUUUUAUUAUAAGCAUUAUAUAAUAGAUUGGAAAGAAAAUUCAUAAACAGAAUGAAAACCUAUAAUUAUUCUCAAUAUAAAGUAUAUUAGACAAGAUAAAUUUAAGUAUUGAAUUACCUUUCCUUAUAUAUUGUGAUAUACUUGUCUAUCAACCAUAUUAGAAGUAAUAUGAUCGAGUAUCUUGAUCUUCACCAUCUUUUACCAAAAUAUUUAACCCUUUUUUUAUGUAACUCUUGAUAUAGUAACAUAUAAUUGUCCAUGAAAAAAAUUGAGGCAAAAAUAAUCCAACAUGUUUUAAAGAUUGUUCUUGAAUCUUGUUGAUAGUCCUUGCAAAAGAAGUAGCCAAAUGAAAUUGCCUCGGUUGGAACUUGAAAAGGAUCCUUGCAUUAGAAGGAGUUAAUGAAAGUCUUGGAAUAAACACUUUGAGACCAAUGUUGCUUCCAAAUUUAACAUUUCCUUCUAGAACAUAUUCCCCAUUCGUGUGACAAUUAUUAGUCUAGUACCAUUACAUAAUCCUAAUGAUUGAUCAAUGUCAUUUGGAAGACCCGAAGCACUAAUAAUGUUUAAGAACUUUGGAGUAUGCACAUCAUCUGGCCUAUUAAUCUCUUCAUUUUCUGAUGAAGGAGUAUCUAAACUUAGAUUUUUCUUUCCUCCCCAAACAUCAAUGACAACAUGUAACAAUUUCAUUUUUUUGCUAAAACAACCUUGACUCUAAAAAAGGAUGAAUCAUGAAUAUUUUCUAAGAAAGAUGGAUAUAUAAGUAUUACUAACAAUGGAUUCAAGAGAGUUGGUGUCACUUCUAAGCAAAUCAUGGUAUGUGUGGUUUCCUAUAUUAUAUGUUUAAAAGGGACCAGUUUGGGGAUUGUAUUUUGUAUGUUUCUUCCUAAUACUGGUACCAAACAUAGUAAUUCAAAUUAAUUUUAGUGCACCCCUAAAUACCAUUUGGACAUUUACUUAAGUAGAAGAAGCUACCUAAGGAACAUAAUUUUUUUAAAAUUAGUUUAUUUUCUAUAGAUGAUAGUGGUAAAUAUUAUCAUGAGUUGUUUGAUGAUUGUCCAAAUGGAAAUCAAAAAGCUAUCUAGGAUGGAGGUGUUGGAAUUGUGUAAUUUUGUCACAUUGCAUUUUGGCAUAAUUACCAAUAGGUCUAUAGAUCUGAUAAUAACUUUUUUACUCAUUACUUGGUCAUUUUAGGUUCUCAAACACUUGGUUAGAUUCAUUGUUUUGGUUAAACUAAAAGAUAUUACUUUCAUUCUAAAAUGUUUGCUUUUUUGUCAUUUUAGGGACAUGUUUGACUGAAAUCUCCUAUCACUAGUGCAAAAUACACAUUUUAUAACAACUUUUUAAAUAAAAAUUGUUUUAAAAAAUAAUACGGUGGUACUUUCAUAAUUAAAAACAGUUUUUAGAUUGGUUAUAAGAGAACAGAUAUAAACCUAGAUUUUAAAUCGGUUAAAAAUGAAACCGAUAUGAAAGGUUAUCUUUUUAAACCAAUUCAAUUUAUAACUAAUGUAAUUAAAGGGUGUUUUUAGAUUAGUUAAUAAAGUAACUGAUGCUAUAAGACAAAAUUGAUUUUAAAAAGGAUGUUUUUAAAAUAAUCUAGGCAUUAAUUUCAUAUUAUUUUUUAGAUUAGUUAUAUAGGGAUCUAUCUUAAAAACUAAUCUAAUUUAAAAGAUAGUUACCAUUGAAGACCGGUUGAAAUCUAAUGUUAAAUGUCAAAGUUUUUAUAUUUCCUGCAUAGGCAUCGGUCGUACAACCAAUAUAAAAAGUCAUUUUUUAACCUAUGUAAAAAAGUGUUUCUUGUAAUAGUGUACCCUUUUUGUGCUCCUAUCAUGUAUAGAGAUUUUAAUAUCACUUACACGCAAUGAUGAAUCCAGAAAUUAAGUCGUGGGGGCAAUACACAUACAAAAUUUUGUUGCAUUAAAAAUAUUACAUGUUUUAUUUUUAAAAGUAUAAAUAUUCAUCGUAAUUGUUCUUUAUGAGUUUUUGUAUUCCAAAAAUAAUUGAUAAUUUUCUCAUUUUUCAUAUCAAAAUUUUUAUGAUAGUCAAGAUCUAUCAGUUGAUGAAGAAAAAAACCAUAAUAUAGCAUACUAACUACAACAAUAUACAUAUUUUGCACAAUUAGUUUUCAAAUUUGAGUGCAAUAAGCUUUUAGAUGGACAAAUAUCCUUAGAAUAUGAGUCUUAGACAACAAGGGAAAUUAGGAUUAAAAAAAUAUGUUGUUUGAUGAUAAAUAAGUAAAUGUUUAUGAAAGCGUUAGAAUGAUUAUCCUUUAAUUUAUACAUUUUGCACAAUUAGUUUUCAAAUUUGAGUGCAAUAAGCUUUUAGAUGUACAAAUAUCCUUAGAAUAUGAGUCUUAGACAACAAGGGAAAUUAGGAUUAAAAAAAUAUGUUGUUUGAUGAUAAAUAAGUAAAUGUUUAUGAAAGCGUUAGAAUGAUUAUCCUUUAAUUUAUACAUUUUUGCACAUUUGCUAGAUAAUAAAUAACUAAAUAAAUAAAAAUGUUUUUUUAAGAAAAAUAAAUAAAAAUAUUAAAUAUUGAAAAGUGGGAAUAAAAAUAAAAAAGAGAAUCCAAAUAUUUAUUGUUUACACAUUUUUAAUUUAUAUUAAGAUUGAAAUUAUAAUUAUAAAAUCAUAAUAUUAUAGGGGGGCAAAAUAGUACUAUAUAUUCCGUCCUUGCUUUCAUGUUGAUGAUUUCUCUCAAGCCAGCAACACUUACAUUGGAAAGUUGAGGUUAGUCUGAUCUUUCUGCUCUUGUUUCUUUAAAUAUUUGAACUAUUGGCUUGAUUUGUAAACAUUAAGUGCUUAUAAUGGCAAUUGAUUUAUUACUUGCUGCAAUAAUAUAACCGGAAUUUGUAUAUUUUUACUGCAUUGUGUUUGUAAAAUUUAAUUUACAUCAAAUUGUGAUUGUCUUUUUGUUGCAUUAUUACUUGAUCUGCUUCUUGUCCUUGUCAUUAGUGUGCAUAUUUCCUCUCUUGCAAGGUACCAUAUAUAGUGAUGUAUUGUGUUUAAAAAAACAGCUUAUGUUCCGCUGCAUAAUUUUAUGGUUUGCACCUUUAUUUGUUCUUUAUAUCAUGAAUUUAACAUGCUACAGCCUUGAUAGGGUGUGGUCCAACUUCAUGUAUUGAUUGUUAGAUGUAGUAGUCAAUACUAGAAAAUAGACUUUUAACAUCGAUUAUUUUUUACUUUCAACAUCGGUUUUUAUCUAAUGUUGAAACCAUCGACGUUAACAUUAUCCAUGUUAAUAUCAGUUUUCAAAAAAUCAAUGUUAACAUACACUACACAACAUCGAUGUUCACAAAAACUGAUGUCGUAUAAUAAGAAAUAUACAAAAACAGCAAAAACAACAUCGGUUUUGGUCAAAACCAAUGUUGUAAGAUGAAUAAAAACAUCGGUUUUGAAAAAAAACCGAUGUAGAAAUUAUUUUUACAACAUCGAUUUUGCUCAAAACUGAUGUUGAAUAUGCUUACGACAUUGGUUUUGGUCAAAACCGAUGUUGUAAGAGCACUUUCUACAUUGAUUUUAGACCAAUAGAUGUUGUUUUUUUUUUUUUGCAAAUUUUUAUAAUAUUUUGUUUGUUUUUACAAUGAACCAACCAUAACCAAUUUAUAAAAAAUAUAUUAAUUAUAAAUUAAAAUAUUUAAAAAUAUUAUUUUCAUUACAAUGUUACAUUACUUACAAUUUCAUAAUAUUAAUCUAGAUUUAUAAAAUUUAUUUUAAGAAAGCAAGAUAAUUUCUCUAAAGGUCAAUUGUCUCCAAGAAAAAUAAGACUGAUAUGAUAUCCUAAAUGUCUAGCUGCAAAGCUCUUAUAAAAUCCACAGAAGAGAUGAUAUGAAUAUGUAUAUAAAAGCUAAUAGAAUAAAUAUAAAUGUAUAAAUAUGUAUUACAUAGGAAGGAUGAUACCAAUUAAUUAAUAAAUAAAAAUAACUCUUAUUCCAAAUUAAAAAUAGAUAGAAAAGGUUUAAAGAAAGAAAUUACCUCUACAAGAGCAACAAAGGAUGUCAUCAUCAUGGCAAAGGCUUCACCUGCAUCAAAUGUAAGUGCUCCCCUUCGAAAUGGAUAAGGAACUCGUAUCCUACAAACACAAAAUACAUGUUGAAUACAUUCCCAUAAGCUUCAAGUCAUAAGGCUAUGACUAAAUAGUAAAUUAAUAGUGAAUAAUAAAUUAAUAUCUCAAGGAUGCAAUAGUCUUGCAUAAAAAUGUCAAUUAUGCCCAUGCUCUAAGCUUGAUUAUCAUAGGGAGUUCAACAUCAAUAACUUGAAAUAUUAUAAAGAGACAAACAAUUAAUCAAGAUCAAUAGCACUAAUUGCACAUGUGUUAUUAGAUUUUAAGGUUGAUACUAAGGAUAUAAAAACAAAAAAAAAUCAUAAAUUAAAAAGAGAAAUACUAGCUUUUAUAUUUUUAACAUAAUAUAUGUUUUUAGUUUAAUGAACAAAUUUAAAUUAAGUUGCAUCCUUGACAUCAAAACCCCUUAAAUUUACACAAUGUUUGGACUUAGGGUGGCUCAAAAGUUGGUAGAAGCUAGUUAAUUGGACUGUGUCAUUGCGCAGACUUUGAAUUCACUUUCACAACAAUGUAAUAGUCAAGUAUCUGAGUGUAGAUAGAAUAAUCACACCUUCAAAGGACCCUUUUCACUAGCUUUCUCUAGAAAGUCUCCUCCACCAAAAUCAACCUUUUUCCUUGGUUCAAAAUCAACCAUCUCUGUUUCGUGAGUGUGCAAAAUCAAAGUCCAAAAGUGAACAAUUAUGACAUUGAAUGACUAGAUUAUUUAUUUACUUUUCUUUUCUAAGUGUUUCUUUUAAGUCCACUAUGGACAUGGAACAUUGGGGGUGGGGGUGGACUGGCUUUUACUACUACCGGGUAAGUUCCAUUUAAACACUUAAAAUAUGAAUUUAGACUUUUCAAACUGUUCAGGACAACCACCAUGUUUUUUUUGCAUAAGUCACACUUUCAUGUACUAAAACAAGUCAUUUUAACUUCAUUCGCUCCCCAAACAUUAGGGAUUUCAUGUACUAACCACCUAGCACUAAAAAGAUGCAACUGUUGGUCAAGUGGCCUCAAUAAAUUAAGAGGAGGGUGAAUUAAGUUUCAAAAUUUCUCACUAACAAACUUUUAACCUGAUGAGGACAUGACCAAGAGCAAGGGCAAGGAUCCACUUGAUGGACUUGGAGGACCUAUGACAAGGGCUAGAGCAAGGAAAGCAAAAGAAGCUCUUCAACAACUAUUGUCCAUACUAUUUGAAUACAAGCCCAAGUUUCAAGGAGAAAAGUCCAAGGUUGGGAGUUGUAUCAUGGCCCAAAUGGAGGAGGACUAAAUGACACCACUUUGUCUCAAUUUUAGAGUGUUUAGUUUGUCUAAAUAAUGGCCCAAUCCUUGUAAAGUUGGCUGACCAAAAAUAUGUUUUGGGUUAAUCAACUAAAGGGGCUUUAGUUUGGUUUAAUUCAAGUUGUAAUAAGGGCCCAAUUGGCAACUUAGGCAUCAACCUUUGGGAGACCAAAUGGUGAUUGGCUUGAUGGCUUUUAGGGUGACUUUUGGUUGCCACAAUUUCAGUUACACUCAGCCAUUAAGUUCUUUUCAUUCCCUAUGUUAAUGGAUCAUUACUAAAUCUAAGUGGAUUGUAUUUUCCUUUAAUGAAACAUAUGUAAAAUCUGAUGGUAAAGCUUCUUUAUAUGCUGAACCAUUUUAUCAAUAAAGACAAGUUAAGUUUUAUUCAGAAAAAUUAGAGUUUAUCUCUUUUAUCUUAGUGAGAGUGAUUCUCCUAAGUUCUUGAGUGAUUCAAGAACACCCUGGCUAUAUCAAAGGAAGUUCACAUCCUUUGUGUGCUGCCCUCGCCGGAAUGAGUGAUUCUUUCCUUCCACCAUUUCAUCUUCAACCUUAUUCUUUCAAACCACAAUUCUCGAAAAUCCAAUUCUGCCCAAAAUUAUCUUGUGACAUAAUUCUUGUUCUACUUGCUCAAAUUAAGUGAUUCUUGAGCCUAAAUUGAAAUUCAAAACGAGAUCUUCCACCUCGUUUGGGAAUCACCUCAUUUGGAACUCUGUAGCUUGAGUUAUAGUCAUUUCUAUAUUUCUGUCCAGCCGUCACUUCACCUACAUUUUUACCAUCUCAUUCAUCCCUUUUAUGUCAAGAUCCACCUUAUUAAGGCCUAAGAAAUUAGCCACUGCCCAACCCUUGAAUCUUGCCAAUUUCCCAUCCUUUUCUUAAUCAAUUUCCAAAUUUUCCAUCAAGGUUUAAUCCUAGACGAUCUUAAGUCAGCCCUUGUGCAAUGAAGGUUCAUAUCAUAACCCCCUUCUAAAUGAUAGGCUCAGAAUGCAAAACAAGAAGCAACAAUCAAUUUAAUAAUGUUUUUUUAAACAUGCAAGACAAAAUUUAUUGUAAUAACAUAAAUGAGAUAAGGGAAGAGUGAAAUGCAAACUCAAUUUAUAUUGGUUCGGCCACUUCCAGUGCCUAUGUUCAGUUCUCAAGCAAUCCACUUGAGAUUUUCCACUAUCUGUGUAAAUCCUUUAUAGACUUUGAACACACCUUGAGAUCCCUCACCCUUGUGUUCAAAGAUUCUCAAGGAGACAAACCGUCUCUUGAUUACAACUGACUUUCUGAGAUGAACAGAAAGAUUUCUCUCCUUUAGAGUGGAUGAUACAAAUUGAAGAUCCUAAAGGAAUUUCUCUUUUUUAGAGAUGAUAAUACAAAUUGAAGUUCCUAGAUGAACUCUCAAUAGAUUUGCAAGUGUUUGCCCAACAGUUGUUGAGAGAGCAUUUGAUAAUUAAGUUCUCUUAGAAUAUCUCUCUCUUGUUUUUCGAAGUCAAACACACAUAUAUAUUGGCCCUUCGUGCCUUUUCAAAAUGGUUUGAAGAGAUGUGUCUUUUUAAAAAGUUUUUUCUAAAAUUCUUCACUGGUAAUCGAUUACUCAGUUAUGUUUUGAAGAGUCAUGUCUUUUCAAAGUGUUUUCUGAAGUGUCAUUGCUAGAAAUCGAUUACAAACAUCUGGUAAUCGAUUACAUGAUUCAAAAUUCAAAUUCAAAAUCCUUUUUAAAAGUUUUUUUUCAAAAUUGUCUUUUGGUAAUUGAUUACACUGCCUGGUAAUCGAUUACAGCUUUUAAGUUUCAUAUUCAAACUUUUCUGAAAGCUGUUAAAACUAUUUUUGCUUUUGGUAAUCUAUUACAGCCUCUGGUAAUCGAUUACCAGAGAGAAAUACAUAUUUUUCAAAAUGUAAUAUUUACUUCAAAACUUUAUAAGAUAUUUGAAAGCUUAAGUCUUUUAAGGCCAAACCUUUGCAACCUUUUUAAGAGAUUCUUUUAACAUAUAAAGGUUUAUCGUAAAUCGUUUCUCUUGAUUUCUUGAUCUUGACUUGAAUCAAUGUUGAAUAGCUUUAAUCUUUUGGCAUCAUCAAAAUCUUCAUACAACAUAUGCACUUACAAUAUCCCUUUUUUUGAUGAUGACAACAAUCUGAAAACAAGAUAAACGAUAUACGAUUUGUAAUGCUUGCACUCACUCUUACUCCACCUUAAAUUUGCAAUUUAUUGCCUAGUUUUUAGAUAAGAUCUACCCUAGUUUCUCUCCCCCUUUGGCAACAUCAAAAAGCCAAAAAGACUGGAGUAAAUAUCAAAGCCACAAAAUCUAGAGCAAGCAUCAUAACCAAAAAACCAAUCAUCCAUUGCAAAACAAAAACUAAAUAUCCAAAGCAAAGCAUAAAUCAAAUGCUAAAUAUCUAAAGCAAAGUAUAAACCAAAUGCUAAAUAUCCAAAGCAAAACACAAAAUUAACCAAAGUGCUAAAUAACUAAAGCCAAAUACAAGGCAAAAAGAGUAAAAAUGUCUAGAAAAUUAAGAACGUAAAAUACUAGAAAUGUCUAAGAAUCCGCAGGAGGAUCAAAGCAACGUUGAAUGAAGCUCAUGUCGUCUUCAAGACAUAUGAUAUGGGAGUCCAUGGCAUCAAAGCGAUCGUCGAUAAAAGCUCAAAGAUCCCGUAGCUCAAUGAGGACGUCAUUCAAUAAGGAGGAAGAGGUAUCUCGUUGCGGUGGUGGAGAGGGUGUGUGUUCAUCGAGAAUGGGAGGUGGCAGGUCUUGCUUAUGAACCCAUUGGCCAUCCAUAUCCUUCCAGUAUCCGAAAGAAGUAACAACACCAGCACCAAUAGCAAAAGAUCUUUUAACCUUAACAAAAGGCUCAUCCUCUAAAGGAACAUUGAAAUGUUGAAGAAACAAAGUAACAAGAUGAGGAUACAGAAAAUGUGCAUUGGCCAGUAAUGCCUUAUGCAUAUGGUACCAAACAAGAUGGGCCCAGUUAAUUUGGCAACCCGUUUGAAGAGCAAUAGCAAGAUUAAAUCCUACUCAGAGGCCUGAGCAAGAUUGGUGGACCGGGGAAGCAAGACUUGACAAAGGAUAUAAUGCAUGAUGCGACACUCAAAGGUGAAUGAGCCAGCAAGCAAUCUGUCGGUCAUAUCAGCAUGGUCAUUACAGAUCAUUUUACAAGCAUCAUGACUAGAAUAAACAUGUUUUCAAUCAUCAACUAGAGUGCCCUCAAAAGGAACACCCUGACUGCUUAGUUUAGUAAGAGAAUAAAAUAGAGAUUGAUCAACAACAAUAGGUAUUUGAUGCACCUCAGAGAAAAUGACUCCAUCCUGAAUUUUCAAAUUAUUAUAAAAGACUCUAACUAAUUCAGGAUAAUACAAAAAUGGCAUAGACAUAAACUCAACUAAUUCAAAAUUUUGAAACACUUGAUAGCAACCAAAGGUUUCCCCAUCAAAGAAUUUUACAUCUAAAUACUUAGGAUCGAGAAUGACACGAUUGGAGAAUUGGGAAUAGUACCUUUGAUGCUGGUCAUUAGAAGAAAACAAAGUUAAUGACCUGUGAGAUGAAAAAGAAGGAGGAUUUGGUGCUGGUGGGUCACCGGAUGUGUCGUGGCGACAUUGGCCUACAGCGGUGGUGGUGGAGGAGGAUCCCUUUCUCUUCUUUGAGGAUUCUGCCAUUUUGAGCUUGUUUCUGAAAAUUUUGAUCAGUGGGUUUUGUAGAGAAUUGAAAAAGAAGAAAUUUGAGCUUUGUUUGAAGUGAUUUGGACAAGAAACGAGAAAGUUAUGGAGAUUUGAAGUAUUGAGAAAAAGGGGCGCCGUCAAGGAGAGUGAAAGAAAAAAGGGCUGCACAAGGAGAGAGCAAAAUGCAGUAUUUAUAGACAGGGACGAGCUGUAAUCGAUUACAGCUCAUGGUAAUCGAUUACAGGCGUAACCUGUAACUGACCAAGCCCGCUGGUAAUCGAUUACAGCCUAUUGUAAUGGAUUACAGGGAGUGGUAAUCAAUUACCAGACCCUAAAAACAUGGAUUUUUCAUAAAAAUCUAACUAUUUUUCACUCACAAAACACACAUUUAGUAUAACAAUCAUCAACAACAAUCAACAAUCAAAAUAUACAAUCAAACCAAGUAUAAAAAAUUCUCAAACACAGACAUCAAAGAUAAUCAAAAUUUCAAGAACAAUCAUCAACAACAAUCAACAAUCAUCAUAACUAUCAAAACAUAAUUAUCAAAGACAAUCAAAACUCAAGUGAAAACAAUCAUUAAACCUCAAUCAACAAUAAUCAUUAAAAACAAACACAAUCAUCAAGGGCAAUCAAAAGUUUAACAAUCACAAGAAAAGAAAAUAAUAAACAAACAAAUUAAUUAUUUAUCUAAGUCAUUGAUAUCUAGGAGUCCUAAUUCUCUUCUAAUAGCAAAUAAGGUUUCUUUGGGGAGAGGUUUUGUAAAGAUAUCACCUAACUGAUUCUUUGUGUCAACGAAUUCUAGUACACAAUUCCCUUUUUGAACAUGAUCUCUCAAGAAAUGAUGCCUAAUCUCAAUAUGCUUGGUUCUCAAGUGUAGAACAGGAUUUUUGGAUAGGUUUAUUGCACUCGUGUUAUCACAUCGAAUGAGAAUAUGAUUAAGAAUUAAUUCAUAGUUAGAAAGUUAUUGUUUCAUCCAAAGUAUUUGUGCACAACAACUGCCAGCAGAAAUAUAUUCCGCCUCAGCAGUGGAUAAAACAACACUAUUUUAUUUCUUACUAUGCCAUGAAACUAGAGCAGAGCCAAUGAAAUGACAGGUUCCACUAAUGCUCUUUCUAUUAGUUUUGCAACCGACAAAAUCAGAAUAAGAGUAUCUUAUUAGAUUACAAGUGGAACUUUUAGGAUACCAUAAUUCUAAAUUAAUAGUGCCUAAUAGAUAUCUCAUGAUUCUUUUAACUACACUAAGGUGAGAUUCUUUGGGAUUUGCUUGAAAUCGUGCACACAUACAAAUACUAAACAUUAUAUCAGGUCUACUUGCAGAUAAAUAAAGAAGAGAUCUGAUCAUACCUCUAUAUUUCUUUAUGUCUAUUGACUGAUCGGUUUCAUCUUUAUCCAGAUAGCAAGCAGUACUCAUUGGAGUAGUCAUAUGUUUAGCAUUUUCCAUCCCAAAUCCAUCAUUGACAUUCCAAAUUCAUUUUGCAUAUCUUGAGAGAAUUCCCUUUAGAUAUGUCACCGAUAAUGUUAUCAAGAGGGUGGUAUCUAGAAGUUCUCCACCCUUUUGGAAGAUAUGCACUUGAUUUUGUUUCAUCAAUUUGAAAGUCUUCAUCAUUUCCUUUUCCUUUGCCUUUGUGAUCUUCACCAUGAAUAUGCAUUCCUUCUAAAGAAUUUGAAAUAUCAUCUAGAGUAUCUUUUCUUGGCAAAAUUAGGUUAGUUUCAUCAAAAGCAACAUGGAUAGAUUCUUCAAUGAUCAUAGUUUUUUUGUUAUAAAUUCUAAAUGCUUUACUGUGCAAGGAAUAUACCUUCAUUAGAUUUUGCAUCAAACUUACCAAGUUGUCUUUGCCGUUGUUUAGCACAAAACAUUUACAUCCAAACACAUGAAGAUGAGAAAUGUUCGGUUUUCUAUCGUUGUAUAAUUCAUAUGGAGUUUUCUUUAAGAUUGGUCUAAUUAAAGCUCUAUUCAUAAUAUAGCAUGCAAUAUUUACAACUUCAGCCCAAAAAUAUUUAGGAAGGAUUGUAUCAUUAAGCAAAGUUCUGGCUAUCUUUUUUAAAAAUCUAUUUUUCCUCUAAACUACUCCAUUUUGUUGAGGGGUUCUAGGUGCAGAAAAAUUAUGUUCAAUGUCAUUUUCAUCACAAAAUGAUUCAAAAUCCUUAUUUUCAAAUUCUCCUCCAUGAUCACUCCUAAUUUUGAGAUUUUUCUUAUUUUGAAUAAUUUUAGCAAGUUUCUUGAAAGCAUGAAAAACAUCUCUUUUAUGAGUGAGAAAUAAUGUCCGUGUAAAUCUGGAGUAAUCAUCAACUAUAACAAGAGGAUAGUAGUUUCCUCCAAAACUCAUAGUUCUAGAGGGACCAAAAAGAUCCAUAUGCAAAAGUUGUAAGGGUUGAGUUGUAGAUACAAUAUUCUUUGAUUUGAAAGAAACCCUUACUUGUUUUCCUUUAUGACAAGCAUCACAUAAUCUAUCUUUUUCAAAUUUAGGUUUUUGUAAACCAAUAACUAAAUCUUUAGAAAUUAGUUUAUUUAAAUGUUUCAUGUUUAUAUGGGCAAUUCUUUUAUGCCAUAACCAAGGAUCAUCAUCUUUACUAAGAAAACAUUGAUCAUGAUUUAGUGUUCUAUCUAAAUUUAUCAUGUAAACAUUAUUUGAUCUAUAGCCUAUAUGUUUUAUAUUUCUAUCAUGUUUGUUUUCAAUAACACAAUUAUGAGAGUCAAAUAAUACUAGAUAAUCUUUAUCACAUAAUUGACUAAAACAUAGUAAAUUGUGCUUAAGACCAUUAACAAGUAGAACAUUUUCAAUGGAGGUAGAUGAAUUCGUACCUAUUUUUCCAACUCCAAGGAUUAUACCUUUAUUGUUGUCGCCAUAAGUCACAUGUCCACUAUUCUUGGGAGAAAUAUGAGUGAACUUUGAUGCAUCUCCCGUCAUGUGUUUAGAGCAUCCACUAUCUAUGUACCAACUCUUCUUCAAAGAAACCUCUUCAUCGCUUUCAUAAUUUUUGGCCAUUAGACUCAGAUUUAUAACUUCAUUUUCUGAAUCUUCGGAUGAAUGUUGUCUUCCUAAGUGAUGUAUGCCUUCUUUGCUUUCUUAUCAUUGAAGGUUUUCUUUUAAGAUCUUUCUAUUCUUUUCUUGAAACUCGGGCAAUAAUCAACUCUCAGAUGUCCUCUUUACGAAGAAACUGAAAUCAUCAUCUUCCUCUAUUUCAUUCAAAUCUUCUUUAUUACUUCCUUCUUGAAUUGAAGGUGAAGCUUUAAGUGUGAUUCCUUUCUUUUUCUUAUCAUUCUCCUCAUGUUGAUUCAGUCUCAUUAGUUCCAUUUCGUGUUCUUGAAGCUUUCCAAACAAAGUUGCAAGAGACAUGUUAGUAAGAUUUCUUGAUUCUGUAAUAGCCGUUAUCUUUGAUUGUCAUUCCCUGCUUAAACAUCUUAGAACUUUAUUAAUAAGAUCCUCAUUGGGAAAUAUCUUUCCUAAUGAUGCAAGAUGAUUUACUAUGUGUGUGAAUCUCUUUUACAUAUCUUGUAUAGUUUCAUUUUGAUUCAUUCUAAACAAUUCAUAUUGAUGGGUUAGGAUAUUUAUUCUAGACCUUUUUACAUCCGUUGUUCCUUCAUGGGUUACUUGUAAGGUAUCCCACAUUUCUUUUGCAUUCUUGCAAUUUGAUACUCUAAAAUAUUCAUCCAUUCCUAAUGCAAAUGUAAUUAUAUUUUUGGGUUUUAAAUUAUAUUGUACCAAUUUCUUUUCCUCUUCAUCCCAUUGUUCCUUAGGGUUUUCUAUAGUUGCAUUUCUUGCUACCAUAGUAGGGAUGUAAGGACCAAUUUCUAUGGCUUUCUAGAUGUUUAAAUCAAUAGCCUCUAUAAAAAUUUGCAUACGGGUUUUCCAGUAAUGAUAACCCACACUAUUGAAUAUAGGAGGUCUAUUUAUAGAGUUCCCUUCGGGAAAUAAAAAGUUUGAUGAGGCCAUGACUAUUCUGGAAGUUUCUAAACCUUAUACAAGAAUUAAGCUCCGAUACCACUUGUUAGUCAAGUGGCCUCAAUAACUUAAGAGGGGGGUGAAUUAUGUUUCAAAAUUUCCCACUAAUAAACUUUUAACCCCCUUCUAAAUGAUAGGCUUAGAAUGCAGAAGAAGCAGCAAUCAAUUUAAUAAUAUUUUUUUAAACAUGCAAGACAAAAUUGAUUGCAAUAACAUAAAUGAGAUAAGGGAAGAGAGAAAUGCAAACUCGAUUUAUAUUGGUUCGGCCACUUCCCAUGCCUACGUCCAGUCCUCAAGCAACUCACUUGUGAUUUUCUACUAUCUCUGUAAAUCAUUUACAGACUUUGAACACACCUUGAGAUCCCUCAUCCUUGUGUUCAAAGAUUCUCCAAGAGAUAACCCGUCUCUUGAUUAAAACUGACUUUAUGAGAUGAACAAAAAGAUUUCUCUCCUUUAAAGUGGAUGGUACAAAUUGAAGAUCCUAGAGGAAUUUCUCUCUUUUAGAGAUGAUAAUACAAAUUGAAGUCCUAGAUGAACUCUCAAUAGAUUUGCAAGUGUUUGUCCAAGAGUUGUUGAGAGAGUUUUUGACAAUUAAGUUCUCUUAGAAUAUUUCUCUCUUGCUUUUCGAAGUCAGACACACAUAUACAUAGGCCCUUCGUGCCUUUUCUAAAUGGUUUGAAGAGAUGUAUCUUUUCAAAAAGUUUUUUCUAAAAUUCUUCACUAGUAAUCGAUUACAUGGUUAUAUUUUAAAGGGUCGUGUCUUUUGAAAGUGUUUUCUAAAGUGCCGUUGCUGGUAAUUGAUUACAAACAUCUGGUAAUCGAUUACAUGAUUCAAAAUUCAAAUUCAAAACCCUUUUUAAAAAGCUAUUUUUCAAAAUUGUCUUUUGGUAAUCAAUUACACUGUCUGGUAAUCGAUUACAACUUUCAAGUUUCAAAUUCAAACUUUUCUAAAUGUUGUUAAAAUCAUUUUUGCUUCUGGUAAUCGAUUACAACCUCUGAUAAUCAAUUACUAGAGAGAAAUACAUAUUUUUCAAAAUGUAAUAUUUACUUAAAAACUUUAUAAGAUAUUUGAAAGCUUAAGUCUUUUAAGGCCAAACCUUUGCAACCUUUUUAAGAGAUUCUUUUAACAUAUAAAGGUUUAUUGUAAAUCGUUUCUCUUGAUUUCUUGAUCUUAACUUGAAUCAAUGUUGAAUAGCUUUAAUCUUUUGGCAUCAUCAAAAUCUUCAUACAACAUAUGCACUUAAAGCAAGAUGGCAACAGAGUAAAUUAUGCAGCAAAUUUUAACCUUUCAAGGUCUCCAACAUGACUUUUUAUACAUUAUUUAAUCACCAAUAGACUAAGGAAUCGUCUGAUAACCUUUGCAACACUAACCAUACCUCUGAGCACCUUAAUUUUAUUAUUUUAAGGACAAUUUAAACUACAAGGCAGCAGUUGCGACUCUAUUAGGAAAAUCAUUAAAUAAAGUCAAGAUAUAAUCUCAAGAUAUCAAAUACAUCAUUGAGUUAUCAUUGAAUGGUCUCAUGACAACACCUUAUAUGUAGGUUAUCAAUAUAUCUAACAUGAGUCGAAGUCAUAUAUAAAAGUUAUUUGGCAACAAGUUCAUCUGCUUAGGAAAUGCACUUAAACCAAAAUCGAAAAUCUUUAUAUUUCCUAGUGAAUCAAGUAAAAGAUUUUCAAGCUGCACAAGGAAAAAAGGAAAAUUAGAAGAAAUCACCAUAAGGGCAAUAGACAACUUUUCAGAUCUCACGCAAUGCAAACCUUUAAAUCUAUGUGAUAAACUCCGUUACAGUGGCAAUAAUCUACAUUGUCAAUAAGUUGUUGGAAAUAUCUUCUAGAGUCAACUUCACUAAGAUGACCAUGAUAUAUCUGCACAAUCAUAUUAUUCACCAUCAAACAUUUCCAAUAUCUCGAAUGGUGAUUAAUAAAAGCCACAAUAAAAUCCACACAAAAAAGGUUCCAUCUUGAGCUACUCACAAUUUUAUAAACAAUUCACCACCCGUGAUGAACUCCAAUAUGAUAUAAAUCUUGGUACAACUUGCAAGAACCUGAAGUAAACAACGUUUCACAACAAAAACAAGUGCUUGUGAGUGGCAUCAACUAACGAGAGAAACAUUAAGAAUUACUUCUCAGAGCAAAUAUUGAGUCGGCAUGGCUCUUCGUUUAAAACAUUUUUUUUUCAUUUAAUCAAGGAAGAUUCUCAAAUAUCAGAAUAUGAUUUUAGAACUAUCCCUCACUCCAAAAGUCCAAACAAUCAAAAUAAAAAAGAAAUUCUAUAAUUCUGGUUUCUGCAUUGCACACUUUUCCCCAACCCUAAAAGCAUGACAUGAUUCAAAUGUUAUUCACAAGCUUUGCAUUUUUUGGGUUUUAAUUUAUUAGUUUAUUAUUAAGUGUCUUCUUGGCAGGGAAAUAGAAAAACGAAAAGAGAACAACAACAACAUCAUUCUUUGAAAAUUAAACCUGUGUUGUUUAUGGAGAUGCUCGUGCAAAGACCUCACAUGAUUAUGGUAAACAUGUGCAUCCCCAAUAAUAUGGAUAAAAUCACCUGGAAUGAGAUCUGACAAGAAGAACACAUAGUAUAAAGAUUGAUUAUUUUAUGUUUAAAUUACUUUUAAUGUUGUAUUUUCUCUUGUGAUAUUAUCAAAAUCAAUAAGCUUCUGAACCUUGAAUCUACCUAGACUGGAACUUCAAUUAAAAACUUAUUGAUAAACUUAUGAAAACAACUCUAUCAAAAAAUCUAUAAAAAUAAUUGAAAAGUGCAAAUAGGCCACUAAAAUAAUCAAAUUAGUUAAGCAAUGGAAAACCUUUUCUAUACAGAGAUAAUCUAUAACAAUUUUUUCCAAAAUUUGUCAUGAUUUCUUAAUGUUACCAUGCUAGGUAGAUGGAAGUUGAUGAGUCCAUGAGAACCUGGAACAGUGCAAAUAAUGUCUAUGAUAUCCCAACAUACAUAUUUAUAUAAUAUCAUACAUGAGAAUGCGAAAUUAAUUAAAAUAAUUUUAUUCAAUAAACAUAAAGGAACUCACAUGGGUAAAAGGUUUACAUUCACGUUAAUCACCAAAUUAAAAACUUAUCAAAUAAGGGUAUGAAAACAUCUCUGGCCCAAAACAAGGCCAUCUAAUUUUAACAAAAGAAAACAAGUUAAGCAACAUAAUAACAUAAACUAACAUAUUCAGAACAUUAUGCAAAUAAUAUAGAAACUCAUGCCCAAUACCACAUCAUAUCAUAGUGUUGUGUCUCAGCAUCCUCUAGCGCGAGGUUCUUUAAAAUUAUCCACCUAACCAUCUGCUCCCACGAACACAAGGUUCAAGAUUAUCACAGGACUCAAACACAAACAACACACGGGGAGUGAGUUAUCACAUUCCUAAACAGGUAAAUCUAAACGAAGCACAUAUAUAUAAUAUAAGUAUAAUGAGCUCAACUUAGCAUAAUUCACAUCAUUUUACCACUCAUUGUGUAACUUCACUUGUCCCAAGGAUUUAAUCACAAAAUCAUUUUCAUACCUUCACAUUAAUCAGGUGUUCAGAACAACACGUCUCAAGUACAACACAAUAUCUCACACUCACACAAUUCAUUACCCACCAUCACGUAACAAGUCAUAAUAGUCAUUAUGCAAGUAUUAUGUAACAGAUACACUAAGACUCAAUCUUAUAUGCAAUGUGGUACCAUGUCAGUGAAAAACCUCGCCGGGAGCCUAGGAGUACAUGGCAAGACAAACUACACGCUGGUAAGUCAGGUCACUCUCACUAGGUAAAAUCAUAGGAAUACAAGCUAGGGUCACGCUGUUUUGUGAGACUACUUCAACCAUGUGAGAUUGACACAAGCUUAAAGGAGCAUUCAAACCGGGUGUAUUUACCCCAAGGUCUAAACUCUGAAGAGUCAGUUAGGACCUUUCCUUCCCAAUUCAGGUCCAACCUAGAAAACAUUUUAGCACGCAGAUUGUAUCAAUGAAUAGUAAAAAACACACGACUCUUGAAUUAUUCUCAAAAUAAUUUUAACUCGUCGUGCCUCAAAGUGAUUAAACUCGUCGAGUUCCCAUAAUGGAUCUCAUCACAAUACUCGUCGUGCAUUAACUUGUCACCCUUAAAGGGUCUUACAACCGUGUGAUUGUAUGGUUGAUAGCUCACAACUCAAUGCACACAACAUCUCAAUACAUGUGUGAUCUCUCAACUUAUCACAUACACUCAAUCUCAAUCACAAUGUUAUAAUCCCAAAGCAACAUAUUAUCACACUCAUGAAUCAUAUACACAUCACACAAUAUUAAUAUAUGCAUGGCACAAACACAAACUUUACCUAUAAACUAUGUAAUACACACAAUUACUCAAUUGUUUUCAAAAUCAUUUUAACUUGUCGCGCCUCAAAAUGAUUCAACUUGUUAGGUUCCCACAGCGGAUCCCAUCAUAAUACUCGUCGCGCAUUAACUCGUUGCCCUUAAAGGGUCUUACAGUUGUAUGAUUACACAAUUGAUAACUCACAACGCAAUACAUACAAUAUCUCAAUACACAUGUAUCUCACAAUUCAUCACAUAUUCAAUUUAUCACUUACACACUAUCUCAAUCACAAUUUCAUGAUCUCAAUAUAAUAAUUUAACACACUAAUCUAGUAAAUCUUUUUCCAAAACACAAACGAAUUAUACAAAAAUGCUUCUCACAACAUGGGGAGUAAAACCCCUCAUACAAUUUUACAUAAUCAUAUCAUAAUCAAAGGAAUCAAAAUCAUAGGUUCAAUAAUCACAAAAAAAAAACCAAGAGCACUCAAUUUUGUAGAAGCAAAGCUUCAUGGAGAAUCAAAGGUAAUUUAAAGGUGUUUUGAUGAUAACAAUGAUGAUAACAAAAGAUGAUGACAAAAGGUGAUGACAAAAAGCUCAAAGAUCAAUCAGAGAACAACUCAGGUGAAUCAAGAACAAUUCAAGAGUUCAAGAUAAGAAUCAAGAAGAAUUCAAGACUCAAGAAGAAAGUUUAGAGUCAAGAAUCAAGAUUCAAGGUUCAAGAUCUCAAGAAUCAAGAUCAAGAUUCAAGAGUCAAGAGAAGGCUUAAUCAAGAUAAGUAUGAAAAGUUUUUCUCAAAAAUUGAGUAGCACAUGAUUUUUCUCAAAACAUGUUUACCAAAGAGUUUUUACUCUCUGGUAAUCGAUUACCAGAUUGUUGUAAUCGAUUACCAGCAGCAAAAUUGUUUUGAAAGAGUUUUCAAAUUGAAUUUACAACGUUCCAAUUAAUUUCAAAAAGCUGUAAUCGAUUACAAUGUUUUGGUAAUCGAUUACCAGUGCCUUUGAACGUUGAAAUUCAAAUUCAAAUGUGAAGAGUCACAUCCUUUCACAUAAAAGCCUUGCGUAAUCGAUUACACUGAUUUGGUAAUCGAUUACCAGUGAUUGUUUCUGAAUAAAUCAAAAGAUGUAACUCUUCAAAAGGUUUUUGACUUUUUCAAAUUGGUUUUAAGUUUUUCUAAAAGUUAUAACUCUUCUAAAUGGUCUUCUUGACCAGACAUGAAGAGUCUAUAAAAGCAAGGUUUUGUUUUGCAUUUUCAUUCAUUCAUUCAAUCUUGAACACUUAUUCAGACAAUCCUUUAUAAGCCUUGAAUCUCUUUAAACGUCUUCUUCUUCUUUGUACCAAAAGCUUUCUGAAGUUUUUCUGGUUUUCUAAACCUUGAAAACUUGUGUUAUUCAUCUUUUCAUUCUCUUCUCCCUCUACCAAAAAGAAUUCGCCAAGGACUAACCGCCUGAAUUCUUUUUGUGUCUCUCUUCUCCCUUUUCCAAAAGAACAAAGGACUAACCGCCUGAAUUCUUUUGUGUCUCCCUUCUCCCUUGUCAAAGAAUUCAAAACGACACAGUCUGAGAAUUCUUUUGAUUCUUCCCAUUCCCUUAUAAAAAAGUGUUCAAAGGACUAACCGCCUGAGAAUUCUUUUGUAUCCCUAUUCACAAAGUAUCAAAGGUUUAACAGCCUGAGAUCUUUGUCUUAACACAUUGGAGGGUACAUCCUUUGUGGUACAAGUAGAGGGUACAUCUACUUGGGUUUGACUGAGAACAAGAGAGGGUACAUCUCUUGUGGAUCAGUUCUAGUGGAGGGUACAUCCACUAAGUUCAAAGAGAACAAGGGAGGGUACAUCCCUUGUGGAUCUUUGCUUGUAAAAGGAUUUUUACAAGGUUGAAAGAAAUCUCAAGGACCGCAGGUCGCUUGGGUACUGGAUGUAGGCACGGGUUGUUGCCGAACCAGUAUAAAAACUCUUGUGUGUUUGCUUCCUUCUUCCCUACUCUUUUACUUUCUGCUGUGCAUUUAAUUUCCGCUUUUACUUUCUGUUAAGUUUCUCUUCUACUCCUCAUUCUCUUAAUUUAGUAAAAGCCUUAGAAGAGUAAUUUUUUAAUUAGUAAAGGUUUAGGAAUAAUUAAUUCAACCCCCCUUCUUAAUUAUUCUGAGGUCACUCGAUCCAACAAAUUUUAUCAACCAAUUUGCAUUAGGAUAUCAAUUGGUCCGUCAAACAUAACAAUCUUGUGAUUAUAAUCAUAAAGGCAGAAUUAUCAUCAUAAACAUCCCAAAAAAGAUCCCAAUUUGAUCCUCUAAGGACCCUUACACAUGUUCAUUUUAACUCCAAUUGCGAUAAACUCAUUCAUAAGCGGACUCACGUGUGUAGUCUGAUGACAAUAACAAUGUCUCUAGCAGUUCCCUGGGAUUCCUCCCUUUGGUUGUUCUGUUAUGAUUUCUAAGCAUUAGAGAGAAACAAAAGGGAUUGGAGCCUCAAUUUUACUAUCUCUGUGCGAGGGACAUUUCUCUCUCUAUAGACAUUAUUUCUCAAAUCCCAAAAGUAAAAAUGUGCGAAAAUGAGUUCUGAAGAUGAUGUUCAAAUUUCACGAGGAUCUAACGGUUAUUGGGAUUAUAAUUUUAUUAAGACAUGUUUGAAUGUAUGCAAAAAAAAGAAGAUAUUAGAAGAGAAAGAAGGAAAAAAAUUUUAAGACAAAGAUGGAGGGUACAAAUGUUUAAAUUAAGUUAGUUAGGAUACUUACUUUCAACCUAUUAUUUACUUUAUUUAUAUUUUAUUUUAUUAUUUUAUAACAAAGGAAAUUUUAUUUCUCUUUUAUUAAAUAAAUAAUCAAUUAAAACAUCUUUUUAUUCUCUAAAUCAUUAUUUUAUUUUAUUUAUUUUCUAAUAUUAUCAAACUCUUAUUUUAAGUAAUAAAAAAUUCUUUUUUUUCAUUUAUUUAAUUUCUAAAAAAAAUUAUUAAUUUUUUAUUUUACGGAAAACGGGUGUGAGAAUGCCAUUGAGAGUGCUACUCUCCAUAUCUUCUCCGUCCGCAAAACAAACUUAACAUCCUUCAAGCAUUUCACCGGCAAAUAGUCAAGUUCACGAAGUUAGUAUAAGACAAAUUGCAAUCAAUAGGUAAGAAUGCUCAGCUCUGCUCCUAGGUUAACCUGUGCUAUGAAGGUACCCGAAGAAUAAAACUAUAAAGAAGCACAUAAGCUACUAAUUCAAGAAAUGAACAUGUGAAGAGUGGUGAAAGCGAUAACGAAUAGAUGAGAAUCGGAUCGGGGCAGCUAAACGAUGUCGUUUAUCAGAGCUUGUGAAGGGUUUGAUCAAGGCACAUCCCGUGUGUCUCAAAGCCAUGGAACAGUUAAUGUCUCACAUUCUUUUUUUUUUUUUCUUUUUCUUUUUGCACCCACUUUCAGAUUCAAUUGGUGCCUUUCUUGGUUUUUUCUUGUACCCUUUGGGGUUUUAUCAUUUAGCUCCAAAAUGGUACCUUUUGCAAUGUUUGCCAUUAUUUUGCAUUUCACUUUUUAGCAUAAUUUAUUUGUUUCUGAAUCAUACUGAGGAAUGUGGUGCUUGUGGUGUUCAAUUCUCCUGUUUUGGUCUACAUUAGGCAUUCUGACUUCUGAGUUUAGUGAUUUUAGGAAUUUUUGGGAUGUCAUGUGUUUUGUCACCUAAUUUUGAUUUUCAAUGUUUAUUUAAAGUUUAGUGUUUUUUUUUUUUUAAUAUAUACUCUCUCUAGUCAUUAGGCAUUAGAAAAAAAACAUAUUUUUCUCUUAUCAUUCAUUUGAUUGAGGUACUAGUUUCAUAAACUCUUAUUUUUUAUACUAAGUUCCAAAUAUAAUUUGAAAAAAAGUUACUUUUUAAUUAAAAUUGAUGCAAUUAAAUAUUGCUAAGUAACUUUUGUUAGUUAGCGUGAAAUGUUUUUUUUUACUUCUUAUAUUUGAGAUGGAAGGAAAUACAUUUUAAGUUGAUAAGGAAAUGUCAGUAUUUAAUCUUUUAAUCUCCUGAAAAAAAAGUUAUAUAUUUUUAGUUUCUUAAAAUGUGUUAAGUGUAAUAAUAUCUGUUCUUUUCUUGGACUUAGUACUAGUAACAUGAAAUACAACGCCAAUUUUAUAAACAAAAAUGAUACAUCGACACCUUAUGCUAAUGUACUCCUAAAGAGAGAAAGAGAGAACAAAGAGAAACGUGAAUGUGAUAAGAAGAGACAUUGAAAAAAAAUGAGAAGUGCCAAUGAAGUGUUUGUAUUAUAACAGAUGUCCCUAUAUCAUUUUUCUUUUAUAGAUGAGGAAUUAAAAAUAUGAUUUUAUUUAAGGAACAUUCUAUUUUUCUAGGAACAUUUUCUUAUUUACAGGAAUAAAAAUAUACUAUUCAAACUUUUUUUUCCUGCAGGGUGAAAAUUUGAGUAUUAUUAUCUUUUUGACUGUGUUUACAAGAGCGCCACCUGCAACAUUUCCUAGAGCUGAAAAAAAUUAGAAUAUGCUCUGCUCUUAAGCAUGAAUAUUUAUCUGAAUUUCUAAAUAAGCGCAGAAACUGCUUAGUUAGGCUUUAUGUUGACAGCUAAAAUAUUGAAAAUGUUGAGUUCAGUAUGAUUGUUGUACCAUUGUUCUCAAUAAUAUUGAUCAUGUUCAUGACUGAUGUUUAUUCAAUUGAUUGGAGGCUAUGUUAGCCUUUAGUGCUGCUCAAGUAUUUUUAUGUGACAGAUCUGUCAUAAUGAAUAUGGUAUUUCAAAUGCAUGUGGAAUAUGGUAUUUUUCUCUAGUUAUAAUGAAUAUUUCUCAUCUGUAGUCUGUUAUACAAAUGUUUUUAUAUAAUAGAUCUGUCACAUUUUUUUCAAAUGCAUUUGGAAUAUGUAUUUUUCUCUAGUUAUAAUUUCUCAUUUAGCUACUUGCUGAGUGGAUUCAAGUAUAAUCUGACACUCUGAGUUCCUUUCCAUAGAAAAAGUGGAAACUGAAAAGAGGUGUACUUUCUCUCAUUCUCUUUCUUCAUUUUGUCUUGCCCUUUCUGGGUGUGGACUGAGUUCUUAAAUAUAGAACUACUCAUGUGAAAGAUUAUAUGUCUCUGCUCUGUUUCUGAUAUGUGAUAUCUGAUAACUCUUUGCUUAUAUGUAUAUAUAUUAUAUAUGCUGGUUUUAUCAACUUGGUAAGAAUUCUUAAAAUGAAAUGUUUGUUACUAAUAGACAAUGUUAUCAAUGGUGGAUGGUGGAAUGUAGCGGAAAGUCAAAAUUCCACCACAUGAACACAGAAUUGUGGCCUAUGGUGCUGUGUUAUGAGUCACACAUUGAGUAGAGUAAACUACUUGGUGUGGUACAUAGUCCUUGAGGUUCUUCACCUAAUGAACCAGUCUUUUGGGUUGAGCUCUUCUCUUGUGCUUAAUCCUAACAAUUAAUGCUUUUGGAAUGACUGAUUCAUAUUGGAUGCAUAGAAUUAGAGUAGGGUAUUUUUUUUCCAAGUUGCCUACUUUUAAAUAUGCCCUAGAUCAUGUCCACUUAGUUCAUAUGGAUGAUUAAUUUUCAGUAGGUUCUGUGCUUUUGAUCCCCCUCCAUCUCUCGUAUUUGGAUUGAGGGUUCUUGAGUUAAAGGAGCAAGGUGUUAGUAAGGAACAAGCAAUGGCUAUGGCAGAUGUAGUAACGUGAACUGGUUCCUGAACAUGUUAGCUCUGCAAUUUGUUUUUCCCUUGUGUUCUCUUAUCCUCUAAUAAUCCACUUUGGCUUUUUUGCUUCCUAGAUGGAGAGUAUCUGACAGAGAAGAGGGCAAAAAAGAAAGCAUAUACCUGUUUGAGGAAAAAACCCAUAUCCUAGUCCUAUCAAGGAAAUACAAGCUGAGGAGAGGAAAUUGUGAAGCAAUAGAAAGCUGAGUCAGCAGAGAGAUUCAGAGAGGGGGUGAUUGGUGAGAUGUAGAGGGGAAAAGUUACACUACUUUGAAAGUUUGGCUCUUGAACAAAUGAUCUUUGACAAUAACAUUUACUGUUCAGCCACUGAAAAGUUAUUUGUUGUAAAUAAGAAAAUCUAUUUGUUGUGUUAGAUAACUGUAGAGGAAAAUUUUACCAAAAUCUUAUGCAAGUUUUCUGUUUUUCCAGGCCACCCAUGUAGGUUUGUUAGUUGGUACAAAAGAACUAAAUAGAUAAUCAAGAUUUGUAUAUUUACUCUUUUUAUUUUUAUGAUUAUGAGCCUCAUGACCAAAAUAUUAUGCGAUUAAUUUUCAAUAUAAUAUAUUUUAACUUGACUUUUUGAAUGUUAAAAAAUUGAAUCUGUUUUAUAAUAUCAAUGUUCUUGAAGUAUCCAGCCAUAUAGAUAGCUUAAGUGUUCAAGUCAUGUGGAUGUGUCAAGUAAACUGUUUGAACUAACAAAACUUUUGUUAGACUUAGUGAGUAGUGUAGGACACAUGUUGUACAGAUGUCGAGAAAGUGUUGGUGCUAAAAAUUUGUCUAAUCACUGUGCUUAACAAGUUUCAUCUUAUCAUUCAGUAACUAUUGUGUUUUUCUUUAGCAGCCUUUUCCACUACUUUUAUCUCUUGUUCUGUUCUUGUCAUCCUCACUUGUACUCAGGGUCACUUGUUGCAUCUUAUUCUCUUGAUCUUUGUAUGUAGUUAAGUACAUUAUCAGAUUUUGUGGCAUGCAGACACGAGAUCUCUCACCAUCCUUUUAAUUAUUUUCAUCAUAAGCAGCACAUAACACUGUUUGAAGCAAUUUUAAUGUGAGCUCCUUUGGAUGGAUGCUAAUUCCCAGGUUCUAUCUUAAAGUUGUUCUUCUGACAAUGUCAUCCAUUUUUAGCUUUAGGUUGUUAACCAAAAUAGAAGCAAGGUGGCAGCUGUUGCUGAAGAACUCUGAUUAUUUGUGUCCUCUGAUGUACAGAUACUUUAUGGUCACAUAUCCAUAUUUGUAUCGUACUUGUAAUGAAUACCCAUAGGCGUAUAAUAAGGCUGCCUAAGUCGGGUAUGCAUUAAAUCUAGACUGUUUUAUUGAAACUUCUUACAUACACUAUUUCUUUAAAUAGUGAAACAAUUGUUAUCAUUAAGUUUUUUAAUAAAUUCGAUAAGAGAUUGAACACCAAUGAUGUUAGGAUGAUGGAGAUGACCCAUCAAUAGAUAUCAUCUAUAUUAAGAAAUAAAGAAAUUAAAAUAUAAUUUUAUGUAUCACAUUGCACCUAAUACUUGUAUGAGUUGUAUCCAAAGCCAUGAAACAAAAUGUGUCAGAUAUCAGUUAGAUAAGAUUCAGUUCAGCAGGCAGGUUGGAUAAGAGUAUUGCUUAUGUAUAUCUUAAAAGAAAGUUUCCUAUUUGACCGAAUGUGGGUGUUUUUGUCCACCUAGGAGCUUUUUACCAUGUAACCAGACAGAUAAUUGGUAUCUUAAAAUUUCAAAGGGUGGUCCUUCACACCUAAUUUGGAGAUCUAAUUUGUUGAUAUGUCUUCACUAAUAGACUGUAUUGCAAAAUUAGUAAAUUGAAGAUGACAUUACUCAAGUUUUUCAUGUGAGGAAGGAAGGGAGCACAAGGAAAACGGUGAAACCUCACUGAUCAGCAUUUUCAGAGGAACCUAUUAUGAAGCACUCAACUUGCUGACAUAGGCUUUAUGAUCUGCACUAAUCUUUUGAAACUUCAUUUUGUCACAUGUUACUAAGUUGAAAAAGAAAAUAUUGUUUUAGGAGCUAAAGAUGAAUAAGUAGCUAAAGGAAAGUUAUAUAGAAUUUGUAGUAAAAGGGAAGAGUGUAAACAUAUUUGCUUCAGUACACAGAGUGGAUGACUCAAGUGCUGGUUCCAUUACCAAAUUUCAGUGGUUUUGGUUGAAUAUGUAAGUCAGUGGAAGUGGUGCUGAAGAUUGGAGGGAAUGUUUGGAGUACAUGAUUAGAAAAGGGGAGAAUGAUUAAAAGAAAUAGAAAAUUGGCUGACUAAUAUUGGGGAUUCAUAGGAAUGUUGUGUGUUAGUAAAUUGGAAAAAUGUUACUCCAUUGAUAUUUUCAGCAUACCAUUCAUCUAAGAAGCAUAACUGUUCCUUUUUAUAUAUUUUCUGUUACCUUCCUUUCCUUCAAAACAUGGCUUUUGAAUUUUGAACCAUUAACUGAGUUGGAAUAGUGGUAAAAUCAUGUAGAUUUUUGUUUUCGUUUUGUGGGGAUAUGAAUGAGAAAAAUCCUUACAACCAGACAAAGCUGUGGCUCAGAAGAAAGAGAAACAUGCCUCACUGCUAGAAUCACUGGAACUAACAUCUUGUAAACAAACUGUUAUACCAAACUUUCCUAAGGUGCAAUUCUCAACCAUUAACCAAUUUCAUCUCAAACAACACUAUCAGUUCUUCAGUCAUGAACUUCCCAUACUGAAAAUUUGUCACCUAUUUCUUUUAUAGGCAGUGGCUUCUUAUGAGAGUCACACUCUCUGAACUUCUUAUGUAAAACUUGACUUUUCAUUUUGUGCUUUAUAAUUGUUAUCUCAUGCAUUGCCCUUUUAAGAUAAGGUUGUUGUGCAUUGUUUGGUUGAGUACAACGAUUUACUGAUGACCAUAACUAUUUGUGGAUCUUAUAUUUUCAAAAGUGUAUGCUUGGUCAUUAAUCAACCAAGCUUGAUAAGCCCCAUCACCUACCAUCCCCUUCUAUGCCAUAUACACAUUUUGCUUAUCUACAUUGCUACUGUUACUCUCAAACAAGUCUAACAAAUAAUAAGUGAAGUUAAUGAACAUUUUUAGUAAUAUUAUUAUAAGGAUUGGCCAAUGUAAUGGUGAACAGAGAAGCAUGCUUUCAGCUACCCAACAAACUGGAUAAGAGUGUCAGUUGAUAUGGUUCUCUUGUUUUUUUUUUUUUUUUUUCCAAUGCAAAAUCACCUUUAAAAUAUAAAAGAUCACUGUAACAAAGGGACAAAGGGUUUUCACUUAACCCAUGCAUGAGAUAUGAUGGUCACAAAAUAUGUUAGGUUUAAUAUGGAAUGAGGGCACAGUACAAACCACUCACAAAUAAUAUCAAACUCCACCACCAUCACACAUUUUACGUUCUUCCAAGGAAGAGAUAAGAUAAUGAAGCCUCCUCCACGUGUCACUUCCACAUGGUACCUAACGAUAAGGCUACCAUUCAAAAUUUUCCUCACUCGUGUGGCCAAUAUGCUGUAAUGUCAUCACUUAUUCAAUCCAACGGUUGUAACUUCUCAGCAACCAAUCCCCUCCAUUUCACACCAUCGGAUUAGUACUACACAAAUCACACUAUUAUAUAUAGUAAGUUUGAGCAGAAGCUUGGAUAUCUGGCAGCAGAAGAACAAGUAGUUGAGAACUAAGAAGGAGAAGCAAAUGGCUUCCUCAAUGAUCUCUUCCCCAGCUGUUACCACUGUCAACCGUGCCGGUGCCGGCAUGGUUGCUCCAUUCACUGGCCUCAAGUCCAUGGCUGGCUUCCCCACCAGGAAGACCAACAAUGACAUUACCUCCAUUGCUAGCAACGGUGGAAGAGUGCAAUGCAUGCAGGUAUGACAACUCCACACAUAUAAAUACACAAGAGGCACCAAAAUGAUUAUAAUUCAUGUUACAUAUUUAGGCAUGUACCUAAAUGUUACUUAAAUAAACAUGUUAGUCAUAGGUUGCUUAAAUUUUAGUCAUAGGAAAAUUUGCACAUGUGCUAGUUAAUCUGUUAACCCCUUUACUCAAUUUUCAUGCAAAUUAAUUACUAGGUGUGGCCACCAGUUGGCAAGAAGAAGUUUGAGACUCUUUCCUACCUGCCAGACCUUGAUGAUGCACAAUUGGCAAAGGAAGUAGAAUACCUUCUUAGGAAGGGAUGGAUUCCUUGCUUGGAAUUCGAGUUGGAGGUCAAUUUCUUGCAAACACUUUUGGUUUAAUCAUAGAUUUUCUUAUUCUUAGUUUGUUUCAACUUAUUUUCAAGAAAUAAUCGCUUCUCUAGCUAGUGUGCUAAAAGUACUUUUGGAAACAAAACAAAAAAUGGUUGUGUUCCAAAAUUUAAAUUUAUCUAACAGAUUUUUCUAUCUGAGAGUUAUCAAUAUGUAUCAAAUCUGUUCCUAUCUCUGACCAAAUUUUAUUCUUCCAAAACAAGCACUUGGUUUUGAGUUUUGAUGGUUGAUCUGCUUGUUUGCAGCACGGUUUCGUGUACCGUGAGCACAACAGGUCACCAGGAUACUACGAUGGACGCUACUGGACCAUGUGGAAGCUGCCUAUGUUUGGUUGCACUGAUGCUUCUCAGGUGUUGAAGGAGCUUCAAGAGGCUAAGACUGCAUACCCCAACGGCUUCAUCCGUAUCAUCGGAUUCGACAACGUUCGCCAAGUGCAGUGCAUCAGCUUCAUCGCCUACAAGCCCCCAGGCUUCUAAGUGUGAAAAAUUUGCAAAGCAUUUGUAGCCGCCACCCCACUUUGUUUGUUUGUACUUAAACUACAUUCCCAUUUGUUUUUGCUUUUUGAGAUUUCAUCAUCCUGUAUUUUUGGUUUCUGUUUUCGGACUUCAAUGGAAAUUAAUGGAUGAGAACUAAUGAAUAAGCUAUUGUGUUGUGUUGCUUUGUUUCAAAAUAACUUCAAUAACCCAUCGUCCUUGCAUUUCUCUCUAGUGGGCUGAAAUUAAUCUUUUCUAAAUUUAAGUUAAUUAAUUGUGUCUCUAAAUGAUGGUUAACAGAGGAACUGUGUUAUUCAAGUACUCUGCAUAGUUUAGCUGAGCUUGGCCUUACUUUGUCACAACUCACAAAUCUGAUGUAUGAAUGUUCUUUAUACUUUGGUCUUCCAAGAAAUGAAGUUCAUGACAUAUAUAGUUUGUAAACAUGUUGCUAGGAAGCUUCUGAACUUUCAAAACCAAAUAUGAACUUGAUAAUUCUUGGAAACACAGAUAUUUUGUAUAGUACAUAGCAACAAAAAACCACUAAGGAACUGCUACCAAAUCGUUUUGUUAUUUAUGUGCAAAGAAAGCGAUGUCAAAUUCAAAUUUUUAUUGGUUUCAGAAUCUUUUCUUUCCAAGCAAUAACCACCAACUGCACGAAACCGUUUUGUUUGUUCCAUUUCUCACUCUCCUCACUGCAAUAUUCAAAUUCUGAUUUGGAAAACAGCACAUAAAAACACAAGAUUUGGUCAUGCUCUGGUUCUACCAAAUACUACAUUUGUUUCUAGAAUUGCCAGAAUCUGAUCCUUAGCUGACAAUUAAUCUCUAGAAGAUUCUUUUGCUUGUAACUUGGUAGUUAUGGAUUAGCAACUGAUAAAUAAAUCAUUUAGUGGGCUCUAUGUUGUGAGUAGUGAUAGGUAACUUAUCUCGACACCUUUUAGUAGAUUGCAUUAAUAUUUAGACUGGACCCUUUUGAUAGCUACAUUUGUGAACAAGAAUACAAUACGAUAAAGAAAUAGAUAAGAAGUUUCACCUCCUAUACUCCCAUGACCACAUCAUGACAUAUUCAAUGCCAAUCAUGAAUAUACAAACCAAUAGGAUUUGUUUUCUUCCAAAUAUUUAUUUGUGGACGUGAAUCUACUCACCCUAGAAGCAAGUUUCGUUAAAUUUACUUUGUUUAAUAAUUUUUUGUGAACAUUCAUUCUUUUUUAAUUCAACUGUUAUAUAAAAAUAUCUCACUAAGUAGAUCAAAUAUGCAAACUUUUAAUCAACAUUAUGUUGAUCCGAGGAUAAUUAAAUUCAAAUUCCUUAAGAAAGGUCUUAAGUUCAAAUUUUGUGAAUGGAAAAUAUAAUUAAAAAAAAAGACAUAACUAAAGUAGCUAGUCAAGUCAUGAUAAAGUCUUACAAUUCAUGAAAUAACUAAUAUUAUAUCAAUCAACUUCAUUUUAAUGGAUAGUAGUAUUAUUCUUUUAAAAUACAAGUAAAUGUUAACUAUAAGAUAAUCUUUAUGGUAAUAUAUUACAAAAUAUAAUAGUUAAGGGUCUGUUUGGGUGGUUGUUAGUUGUAAGUUUCAUUUUUAAUUUUAAACCAGUCUUUAAAAUUUGGUUAGUUUUCUAAUUCUUAGUUUUAAGAUAAAGCCAUUUAAAAAAAUUUCAAUCCUUUUAAAAUUAAUUUAAAAGGUGAUAAUGUCAACAUAGGUUAUGGUUCUAGUGUUAGUAGAGGCGACCAGAAAUGUCAUUGUCAAAUGUAGAGUGUGUACUUUUUUUAAAUUAAAAUCAAAAUUACAAAUGUUUUUUUUCUUUAUUUUGAAAAUAAAGAUAAAAAAGUGUUUUGAGAUAGUCAAUCAUUUCAACUUCAUUUUCUGCCCAAAGCUUUUGAUUUUGAAAAUUACAUUUAAAAAUAAAAUUAAAAAACUCACAAUUACCUGACCAAACCUUAAGUCUUUUAAAUUAAUUAAUAUUCUAUAAAGAAAUAGUAUUUUUAAAAUAUUUAUAUAAUUUAAGUAUUUACUUAUUUUUAGAGUGAAUAGAUCCCUUUCGUUUGUUUCAUUCAUCAUACAGAAUCAAUAAUACACUGGAAUAUUCGCUUAUAUAUAUAUAUAUAUAUAUAUAUAUAUAUAUAUAUAUAUAUAUAUAUAUAUAUAUAUAAAAUGUACAUGGAAAAAAUAAUUUUCCAUUAGUGUAUUAAAAUUUGAAGAGAGACAGACAAAUAUAUCCUUAUUUCCAUAGAGCCUGCAAAAACCUAACUAUCCAGUCAAUAUUUUAUAUUUCCGUAGUUUUUCUGACAAACCAAUUUCUUUAAUAAAGUUUUCAAAUAAGUUAUAUAACAUAUCAUAAUAUUCAAGGUUUUCCAAGAGAAAUUUAAAAAUUGUUAUUUUGACAAGAUAAGUGCUACAUAAUUGUGUGGUCUAUAGCGACUAAUGAGUCAAGGCAUCGUGACUCUGUCGUAGCAAAAAAGGUAAACAAAAACAAGUCAUUGUCAUAGCAUUAUUUGAAGUUGAAGAAUACGUAGUGUGAUAUGAUUUAUUUAUGACUUUUUUGGUUGUUUCCGUUGCAUUUUGUGAAUCGAAGAUCAAAUAGCUAGCUAUAAAAAGAUCCUAAACAGAUAACAACCUAUUGGUAAUUUAUUUUGUUUUUGUUUUAGUCUAUUCAAUUAUAUAUAGGCUCAUAUAUGUAGAUUUUAUAAGUUUAAGCCACAAAAAAUAUAUUUUUAUUAAAACAAUAAAAAGAUAUUGCCGUAGUGUUUAUACGAGAAAUGGCGCAUAGUAAGGUGCUCGAUCGAGUCUCUAUCAAUUUGCUUUUGGUAGGAAAAGAAAAGACAAAAGAAGAAAGUUACAAAGUGCACUCUUAAUCCUUGUGUCUUUAUAAUCAAGUUGGAUAAAGACACAUUAACACUCAUGUUAUUUUUUAAUUCCCUGAGUAUUUAACUCAAUUAGAUACUUAAAGAUUUAAAUUUGAGGCCGUUACUAGUUAAUUAAAAUAAUUCCGCAUAAAUUGAUUCAAACACAUUAUUUGACAUCUUAAGAGAAAAAGAAAAAAAAUGAAAUGUAAACAUGAUAAAUUAUAUGAUAUGAUAAGGGAAAUACAAAAAUAAAUAAAAGAUGUCAAAUAAAUAUCCAUGCAUGUAUCAUUACUAAUUAAGUUUCAAAAUCAUAGAGUGAUACAUGAAUUUUUUUAUUUUAAAUUCAAAAUAUAUCUCAGUGAAAACUAUUUAAUGUUUAAAAUAACAUUCAUACAUCAAUGUUUUAUUUGAGAACUUUGAUAAAUAAGUAUUUUGUUUCAGGAAUUAUGUUUAUACUUUAUAGUGUAUUAAUCCUAUGACAUAUUGUGUGAUAGUAACGAUGAGAAAGGAAAUAAAAAGGAAUAAAAUAGGAUAAAAAUAUUAAAUUCCUACUAUUAUUUGAAAGAAGAAAUAAAAAGUAGAAUUUUCUUAAUUAAUCUCACAUGAAAAUUAAUAUUUCUCCUCUAUAUAUCAAAAAAAAUAUCCCUGCUCAUGGGCAAGAAAGAAAACAAACAAAACAAAGGGCAACAAACAAGGCAUAGCCACUUGCUUGUGUUGGGACCAAAACAAAACAAAACAAAUGGGUCAUUAUUGUUUAGGGUGGUGGUAAGAUAAGGACUAAACUGUAAUUGUCUGGCUCAGCUGCAUACUUCAAAAAUGUGGUGCACAUGGAAACAAGGGGGAGAAGUGGAGAAAAUGAAGACCAAUGUACAUACUUUCUUCCUCAAUCAAUGUAUCAACAAUAUCAGUCCAUGGCAACGUUGUUUUUCAGGAUGUGACUCUCUCGAGGGCCUAAAGGCCCACCAGGUUCAUCAUUCAUCAAGGUUUUGUAGUUUAAUCAUACAAUUUCAAGCACCAAAGAAAAUGAGCCUUGGUAAGUUUUUUUUUCAUCACCAAAAUGAUAUUUUUUUUCCCUUUCAAAUUCUAUGGUUGCACUUGCACACAUUGGAUUUGACAUGUCAAUAUCAACAACUUUUAAUUAAAUGCAGUUCUUGUAAACAUUCAAUUUCAUCGAAACAAACAAAAUAAAAAUGUACAAAUGAGAACAUUUGAAAAAAAGAAGCAUAACCGAUUAUAAAAGAAGGAAAAGUAAUAUUCAAUCAGAAAAGAAAAUUGUGAUAACCAUCUUUUGUUCUCCCAUCUUAUUUUAUCUUUUUGUCAAAAUAAUUUUACAUUAUCGUUCAAUCAUAAAUCGUUACAGAUAUAAAUUUUAAAGUAAUUAUCAUAAAAAUUAAUAAAUUUAUCAUACAUGAUAAGUUAUAAUUGAAUGACGAUGUAUUUUACAUUAAGUAUAACCUAUUUUCUUUUUUUUCUUCGAUUGUUAUAUUCUUUGUCUAAUAAAAAAGAGAAUAUACUGACAUUAAAAAUAAAAAAAAUAGAAAAUUAUAAAAUAUAACAACACAACAAGAAGAAUGAUUAAGGGUAUGUUGGAUUGCUUUUUGAAGUGUUUCAAAUGGAUAAUUCCAUUUUUUCAUGCAAGUAGAAGCAAUUAUUGCUUGCCAUUUGAGUGAACGUUUAUUGAAGCGAAGGGCAACUUUUUUCCCAUCACGUCCUAGUUGUUUUGAAGUUAUUUUUGGCAUCUCUCUAGUUUCCUUUUGGGGGUUGCUAGGUGCACCCAGCAUUAUUGCUGGUGCACCCAGCACUUAUUGUGAAAAGUCACAAAUGCCCUUGUUAUUUUUUAAAAAAAAAGCAGUGCACCCAACGACCCUUUCUUCUUCCUUUUCCGCGAGCCUCUUCUCCUUCAUUCUUCUUCCUUUUCUGCGAGCCUUUCUUCUUCUCCUUCUUUCUUCUGCGAGCCUCUUCAACUUCUUUCUUCCUCCUUCCUCAUUCUUCCGCGAGCCCAUUUGCUUCUCUAGCACGAGGUGGUUGUUCUUCUUCCGCGCAAGCUGCUGCUUCUCCCUCCUUCGAGUGCGCUUCUUCUUCCAUUCUGCCGCGAGGUGCUGCUCUUCUAUUCUUCAUCGAGGUAAGGUCUAUUAUCCUUUUUCUUGUUUGUUAUUGCUUUCAUUGGUGAUUGCUUAAGUAUUUAGGUCAUCCGCAGUAGAGACAAGUUAGGACCUAGGUGAUCCGCAAAUAGGGUAGAUGAUCCGUAGGUUGUGUUUAUGUUGUGUUGAACUUGCGGAUCACGUUGAUCCGCAAGAAGAAAAGGUUGAUUCGCAUGCUUCCCACAGAUCAAGUUGAUCCGCAUGCUUCAUGCAGAUCAACUUGAUCCGCGGGAAGCAUGCAGAUCAACUUGAUCUGUGUGAAACAUUUUACAUUUUUAAAAGUUUAAAUUAGGUUAUAAUUAAUGAAAAAUGGUUUUUAAUGGUUACUUUUGAAGCUUUUGCCUCAAGUAUGAUAUUGUAUAAUGGUUAUUUAUAUCCUGUAUGGUAGUGAAUAUGCAAUUGAAAAUAUGAACACAAUCUAUUAGGUUGUAGCUUCUCAUGUGCCUAAAAAGGAUUAGAAUCCUUAAAUUUAGACAAGAAUUUGUGAUGGUGCUUGUCAUAUGCCUCAAAGCAGUAAACAUCCUGAAAUUGUUGUGUACUAGAUCAUUAACCAUAAAAUGAUGGUGGUAAGUUUAAAUCACUGAAAUAAUACUCCACCUACAAUAAUACCUCCCAACUACUGAGAAAAUCUUCAUAAGAUUUGGAUGAAUUGAAAAAGAAAAGUAUAUGGUCAGAAUAUUCUAGGAAGGAUAAAAAGAACUGUUGCUUUUCGUUGUCUUGGUGAAUUGAAAAAGAAAAGAAAAUAUCAAGCCAUGAAUGUCAUAAUCCAAAAUCCAAAUAGAUAUUUUUCAAAAUAAUCGGAAAAAAAUGAAAUAUCCAAGCACAAAUUGUCCCUUUUAUGUCUAAUGCUCUAGCAGAAUCAGACCUGAGGGUGAGAGUCAAAUUACUAUAUUAUACUCAAUCAAACAUCAAUAUGCAACUGCAGAGAUAAAUCACAUACUUGAGUAAUAGUUAGGAAAUAAUAGAGCAAACACACUUCAUGCAAAUGAUUGACCUCAACUUGCAAAAAAUUAGAAACAAUAGUUAGAAUAUAUACCCAAAGUAGGUCAAUUAAAAUAGUAGUUAGAAUUCAUGUUAUCCACCAAAUCCCAAAAUGAUGCUAACAAAAAUUAGAACCCUGAAUACAUGAUAUUUGAAUAAAAAAUUUCGAUAAGAAUACAUGAUAUGCAUGGGUCAUCAUAGAACCCAUCAUGCAACAUUAGUAAACUGUCUUGCACAACUUAAAGUCAAUCACACAUUUGCAGAUCAUGGUUAAGACUAGAGGAUUAGGCCGUGCAUUAGGUAGGGUUGGUGCCAAAGGUUUGGGGAGAGGAGGGGAUGGUGAUGAUACUGAUGGUGCUCCCCAGGGCCGAAGGCUGACCGCAUCGGCAAGCAGGUGACGAGUACCAGUCAUUCUUGACGAUGAUGUGCCUGUGGUGCCUGCGAACUCGCCUGCGGUACCAGAGGCAGAGGCUGCUGUAGCUGGGGAUGAGCCCAUGGUAGAUGCUGCCACACAGGACACCGGUGCAGAGACUGACGCACAGGAUACCGGUGCAGAGACUGACGGGGACGAGCUUGAGGGAUUUCUUGGUGGACCCAGGGACCCAUUAGUGCUUACAGAGUAUGCUGACCAUGUUGCGGGCAGCGUAUGGUCUGGACAGGUAUUUAUAAUAUUAAAGUUAGUUAACUUUUAUUUUUUUUUAUUUUUUGGUUACUUAUUGACGUUAUUUGAAAAAAUUGUGUGUUCCUUUGUACUUCAAUUCAGGAACAUCUUGAGUUGAAGUUAUGCUCCCAUGGGAGGAAGGUGCAUAACUUGGGCAGGUCUAUUCCUGCAAUUGAGGACAUGGUUGCUGGGACAGGAUUAAGUCCUUUGAUCGCGUGUUCAAUAGACACCGGCGAUCGGGGACUUAUAUCCUCCUUUGUUGAGAGGUGGCACCGGGAGACUUCUAAUUUCCAUCUUCCUGUGGGGGAGGUUUCGAUCACGCUGGAUGACAUCGCGUCUCUUCUCCAUCUGCCUAUCGUUGGCGCAUUCCAUGACUUCCAGCCUUUGUGCACCGACGAGACGGUGUUGCUGUUGGUUGAGUUACUGAUGGUCUCAGCAGAGGUGGCCAUGACCGAGACAGGCCAAUGUGGUGGACCAUACGUACGCCUGUAGUGGCUACGAGACGUAUACCAGUGCAGAUGUCAGACGCAGCACUGGACAGUUGCCGCUCAUGCUUAUCUUCUACAUCUUUUGGGUUGCACUCUUUUUGCUAAUAAGAGUGCAACCCAUGUUCAUGUCGCACACAUACAGGCCCUACGUAACCUCACUCUUGCUGGGCGGUAUGCAUGGAGAGCUGCUGGCCUCGUCCAUAUGUACAAUCAACUUAAUGAUGCCAGUCUCAGCACCAGCCGACAGUUUGCUGGUUAUAUCACCUUGUUACAAGUAAUUAAUAUGUAUUUCAUAAUUUAAUUACAACAAUGUUUUAAUGACUGUAUAUUUAAUUAACAUGUAUGAUUUUCAUGUAAACCCUAUAGUGUUGGAUAUACGAGCACUUUCCUUCAGUUGCAGAGUGCAAUGCUGAUCCGGACUACGACGAGGUGUUACCACGUGCAUGUCGGUGGAUUGCGACAAAGAAGACUGUGAAGAAGCUAUCUACAGCGACGUACAGGCAGUGCAUGGAUCGUCUGAGGAUCCUGGAUGCCUGCUGGAUGCCAUAUGCGGAGCACCGACCUGUGCAGAACUUUCAUCCGAUUUCGUGCUUCUCUGGAAAGCUCUGCAAGGGGCCUGCUGUUGUCAGAUACAGACUGGAGAGGUUUAUGCACCAGUUUGGCUACAUCCAGUGCAUUCCUGCACACCCUGUCCAUUCAUGGGUGUCAUAUGAUGACAUGGACGAUACGUGGACGCACUACUCAGACCAUCUGGAGGCAGCAGGUGAUCUAUGUGUUGUGUCAGGUCAGUGUGCGCCUGACUACAUAGACUGGUUCUUCGUCAUAUCGCAUCCAUUCAUGACUGCACCACAGACGAAUCCUCCUCGAGAUGCAUAUGCGAUGCAGCCCAGUCAUAUCCCUCAUGAGGCAGCACCGACAUCGACACAUGUGGAUCCUGAUGCAAACGAGCCCAGACAUGCAGUGGUAAGUGUUACUAUUUGGUUAGAUGUAUGCCAUUUACUUCAAUUAUUUUAAUACUAAUUUGUAUAAUUUGUUUGUUUUUUAUUUAACAGGAGGCUUGUCAUGCGAUCGCAGAGGCGUUGGAGCAGCAUCUAAAUGUGCUAGGCACAUCUACACAUGAAGAGGUUAUCCAAAAAUGCCUCAGGAUUGUCAGGAGUGUCACUGAAGACCGCAAUGUGUAUGUGAGGUCUCGACGUAGGCGGUGCACGGAUCAACAAUAGUUUAUUCACACUUUAGAUAUCAUUAGUUUUUGACGAUGUAUUUGACUUGACAUUUUGUCAAUUAUGUUUAAAUUACUUGAUCCAAAAUUUAUUUUGUAAUUGUAUGCUAAGAAAUUACAUAGACCCUAAGAAACUCCAUUUUGAGAAAACAUAAAGACAACUAAAACUUCUCUCCACAAAAACACUUAGGCAAACACAUCCAUGAUCCGCGGCACAAUAAUUUGCAAUAGUAAGCUCCAAAUCUGUUCUAAGAUCGUAAGUUCCUUGAUUAGUUGGUUCCUUCUGCAAAACAACCAAAAAAUUUACAAGCAGACAAGGUUAGGGAGGGGGAGGAAGCAAAUCCUUUUUCAAAAAUAAAUAAAUAUAUGAACUUAAUCCAAUAUCACUUUAAUUGUGACUGAAUAUAAUCACAUUAAUUUAAAAUAAAUCACCUCAAGCAGAAAGGAAAUGUUUUAUUAAACCAGUCAUUAUUUAACAAUAGCAAUGGAUAUUUUUAUAUAGCUACUUCAAAUUAACCUCGCACUAAAGUAGUUACCUGCAUAUAUCAGUGACAACUUUCAGUGCUUGCUUAGACACUUGUUGAUUGUGAUAUCUUCAAAUUAGCCAUUUGUCGCCUUCUCUUGGCUUUCCUUGAUAGAUUAUCCCUAUUAAUAUUUGAUCCGCAUGCAUCCCAACCUUUAGGAAGCCCAAGUAAUUCAUCCUUCUUUUCAAAAAUCUAGCUUCUCAUUGUCAUCAUGUCACUACAAAAGUCAGGGUCAGCAUCCUCUACAUUAUAAUAUUUCUCGUCAAAUGCCUUCUUCAUCAUUCUAUCAUACUCCUGUGGGUCAAAUUCCUCUUCAAUUUCUUCCCUGGACAAUGGGAUAAUAUCAUCACCAUGGAUCCCUGCAGUCUUCAUUAUCUUUUUAACCUUUUCCUGUAUUUCCUGCUUAUUCAAAUUCUUUAAGCGUUUCAACUCCUCCUCCCUCUCUUUUUGUUCUAUAGCCAUUCUCUCCUCUUUGCUCUUUCUCUGCUCUUUCCUUGCAUUCGUCUUCUUCCUCAUUGAUCCCUCCACCUUCCGAGCAUGACCCAACACCCUAUCUUCUGGAUUUUCCUGAAAUCUGUAUUCAUAUUCUUCCUAUCUCUUGAGCUCCAUCUCAUCCUCUGAAAUCUCUUGCAAUUCAUCCUCUCCAACAUUCAAAUUCUUCCCACUCUUGCCAAUCCACAAUUUGACCCAACACCCUAUCAAGUUGAUCCGUUGUUGAUCCAUAGAAGGCUUACGGAUCAACUUGAUCCAUAAACCAAACUCGAUCCAUAGAAGUAAAAUCAACAUACGGAUCAAGGUGAUCCAUGGAAGACUCGCGGAUCAACUUGAUGUUAGAGUUUGUGGUCUUAGUUCCUUUGUCCCACAUUGCUUGGUUUGUAAAAACUUGUGUCUCACUAGUGUUAUAUAUAGAGACACCUUGUAAGCUUUUAUGUGCAAGUAAUAAAAGUUCUCCUAGUGUAGCCGUGGACGUAGGCACAUACAUUGUGUGCUGAACCACGUUAAACUGUGUGUCUUUUUCUUUCUUCCCUUUAUUUCUUUCUCUUCUUUUAUUGCUCUAUACUAACAACUGGUAUCAAGAGCUUUUGGUUACUCCACGGAAUUUCCUUAGUUUAAAGGAAUUAGUGGGAGUCUUCUCAGUUUAGAGGAGGCAGUGGGAGCAAUGGCAUUAGAAGAGGGAAAAAUGAAGAUCGAGAAGUUCGAUGGCAGAGAUUUCAGCUUUUGGAAGAUGCAGAUAGAGGAUUAUCUAUAUCAGAAGAAGUUGUAUCAGCCCUUAUCAGGGGUUAAGCCAGAAGACAUGAAGCAAGAAGAAUGGAACUUGCUAGAUCGACAUGCUCUUGGCGUGAUCAGAUUGACAUUAGCCAAGAAUGUCGCGUUCAACAUCAUGAACGAGAAGACUACUGCAGGCUUAAUGAAGGCAUUAUCAGAUAUGUACGAGAAGCCGUCAGCAGCCAACAAAGUAUACUUGAUGCGCCGGUUGUUCAACCUCAAGAUGGGAGAAGGUAUCUCUGUAACUGAUCAUAUUAAUGAGUUUAAUACUAUUCUUGCCCAAUUGGAAUCUGUGCAUAUUAAAUUUGAGGAUGAGGUGAAGGCAUUGAUUUUAUUGUCAUCACUACCGGAUAGUUGGGCUGCAACUGUUACUGCAGUUAGUAGUUCUACAAGGGAGAACACAUUAAAGCUUAGUGACAUUCGUGACUUGAUCUUGAGCGAAGAUGUUCGCAAGAGAGAUUCAGGAGAAUCUUCCAGUCAUGUUUCCAAUUCAGCAUUGAAUACUGAAGGCAAAGGAAGGACUACCCAGAAGGGUCAGAAUGGUCGAGGCAGAUCAAAGUCAAGAGGGAAAGGUCAGAGAAAAUUUCAAAGUGACGUUACUUGUUGGAAUUGUGACAAGAGAGGUCACUUUAGCAAUCAGUGCAAGGCACCAAAGAAGAACAAGUCGCACAAAAACAAGAAGCGCGAUGAUGAUGAAUCCGCAAAUGCAGCAACUGAUGAACUUGAUGAUGCAUUAAUUUGCAGUUUGGAUAGUCCUGUUGAUUCAUGGAUCAUGGACUCAGGUGCGUCGUUCCACACUACUCCCUCUAAAGAUUUAUUGUCUAACUAUGUUUCUGGAAGAUUUGGAAAAGUUUACCUUGCAGAUGGAAAAUCUCUUGACAUUGUCGGAAGAGGUGAUAUCAACAUCAAGACCUCCAGUGGAUCCCUAUGGACAUUGCACAAUGUCAGACAUAUUCCUGCCUUAAAGAGAAAUUUAAUAUCUAUAGGGCAGUUGGAUGAUGAGGGACAUCACACCACUUUUGGAGAUGGAGCUUGGAAGGUAACAAAAGGCAAUCUCAUUGUGGCUCGUGGAAAGAAGCGAGGAUCUCUUUACAUGAUUGCAAAUGAGGAUAUGGUAGCAGUUACUGAGGCUGUCAAUAAUUCAACCAUGUGGCAUCAAAGACUUGGACAUAUGAGUGAAAAAGGAAUGAAGCUUAUGGCGGCAAAGGGUAAGCUAUCAAGCCUCAAGCAUGUAGAUGUUGGUGCUUGUGAACAUUGUAUCCUUGGAAAGCAGAAAAAGGUCAGUUUCUCAAGGGCAGGGAAGACUCUGAAAGCUGAAAAGCUAGAAUUGGUGCACAUAGAUGUUUGGGGGCCAGCCCCAGUGAAAUCUGUUGGAAACUCACGCUAUUAUGUCACCUUUAUCGACGACUCUACCAGAAAGGUAUGGGUUUAUUUUCUUAAAAAUAAAUCUGAUGUGUUUUCUGUGUUUAAAAGGUGGAAAGCAGAAGUUGAAAAUCAAACAGGUCUAAAGGUUAAAAGUCUGAAAUCUGACAAUGGUGGGGAGUAUGAUAGUCAGGAGUUUAAAGACUUCUGUUCAGAACAUGGGAUCAGAAUGAUCAAGACAAUACUAGGAACACCUGAGCAAAACGGUGUUGCAUAAAGGAUGAAUAGAACCUUGAAUGAGAGAGCAAGGUGUAUGUGGAUCCAAUCUGGCUUGCCUAAAGCAUUCUGGGCAGAAGCAAUAAACACAGCAGCAUAUCUCAUCAAUAGAGGACCAUCAGUUCCUUUGAAUUAUCAGUUGCCUGAAGAAGUAUGGUCUGGAAAGGAGGUAAAACUUUCACAUUUGAGAAUUUUUGGUUGUGUUUCAUAUAUACUGACAAACUCUAAUAGUAGAGAUAAAUUGGAUCCGAAGGCGAGGAAGUGUUAUUUUAUUGGUUAUGGAUCUGACAUGUAUGGCUACAGGUUUUGGGAUGACCAAACCAAGAAAGUUAUCAGAAGCAGAAAUGUUACUUUUAAUGAGAACUUAUUUUAUAAGGACAAAUUUUCUGCAGAAUCUACAUGUGCAGGUAAACUGUCAGAAAUUUCUGAGAAAGCAACACUUGAAGAAAUUUCAGAAAGUGAUGUAGCCAACAGAAACCAGAGUACAGGCGUAGAGGUUGAGUCAGAACCAGAACCAUCAACUCCUCCAAGAAAAUCUAGCAGAAUUUCAGUACCACUAGAUAGGUAUUCCCCUUCAUUGCAUUAUUUGUUGUUAACUGAUGCUGAUGAGCCAGAAUGUUUCAAUGAGGCUACACAGGGGAAUGACACUAUUGAGUGGGAGCUAGCGAUGAAAGAUGAGAUGACAUCCCUUCAGAAGAAUAAGACGUGGUCUUUAACUAAAUUGCCAGAAGGAAAGAAGGCGUUACAGAAUAGGUGGGUCUAUAGGCUAAAGGAAGAAUCUGACGGUAGAAGAAGAUACAAGGCGAGACUUAUGGUGAAAGGGUUUCAGCAGAAACAAGGAAUUGAUUUCACAGAGAUCUUCUCUCCAGUUGUAAAGAUGACUACCAUCAGAGUUAUUCUGAGCAUAGUAGCUGCAGAGAAUCUUCACUUGGAGCAGUUAGAUGUUAAAACUGCAUUCUUGCAUGGGGAUUUAGAGGAAGACAUCUAUAUGACCCAACCAAAAGGUUUUGAAGUGCCAAGCAAGGAGAAUCUUGUAUGCAAGCUUCACAAAAGUUUGUAUGGCUUGAAACAAGCACCGAGGCAGUGGUACAAGAAGUUUAAUGAGUUUAUGAGCAACUCAGGAUUCAAAAGAUGUGACAUGGACCAUUGCUGCUAUGUUAAAAAAUAUACUAAUAGUUAUGUUAUCCUUGUUGUGUAUGUUGAUGACAUGUUGAUUGCAGGAUCUAGUAUGGCAGAAAUUAACAGGUUGAAGCAGCAGUUGGCAGAAAACUUUGAAAUGAAGGAUCUUGGUCCAGCUAAACAAAUCCUUGGUAUGAGAAUUCUUAGAAACAAAUCAGAAGGAAUUUUGAAGCUGUCUCAGGAGAAAUAUAUACCCAAGUUGCUUGACAAGUUUUACCUUGGAGAUUCUAAGACCAGGAAUACCCCUUUGGGAUCUCAUUUGAAGUUUUCAAAGAAGCAAUCUUUGCAAACAAAUGAAGAAAAAUGUUACAUGUCAAGAGUACCAUAUGCAUCAGAAGUUGGGAGUUUGAUGUAUGCUAUGGUGUGUACCAGACCUGACAUAGCACAUGCAGUGGGAGUUGUCAGUAGGUUCCUAUCAAAUCCAGCAAAAGAGCAUUGGGAAGGUGUAAAGUGGAUACUCAGAUAUAUGAAGGGUACUUCAGAGAUGUGUUUGUGCUUCAGAAAAGGCAAUCUCACUUUACAGGGAUUUUCAGAUGCAGACUUGGGAGGAGAUUUUGAUACCAAGAAGAGCACCACAGGCUACAUUUUUACCUUGGGAGGUACUGCUGUGAGUUAGAAGUCUAAACUUCAAGAUAGAGUUGCUCUCUCAACCACGAAAGCCGAGUACAUAGCUAUCUCAGAAGCAGCUAAGGAGAUGAUUUGGCUAAAGAAUUUUCUCAAUGAAUUGGGGAAAGAACAAGAUAAUGCUCCAAUGUUUAGUUACAGUCAAAGUGCUAUAAGUCUUGCUAAGAAUCCAGUCUUCCAUUCUAGAUACAAGCAUAUUCAAUUAAGAUACCAUUUUAUCAGGGAGUUGAUAAAUGAUGGAAACUUAUCUUUAUUGAAGAUCUUAGGAUCAGAGAAUCCAGCAGAUAUGUUGACUAAAGCUGUUACAACUGACAAACUGAGGCUUUGCAUUGCCUCAGUUGGCCUUCAAGGAUAAUUGAAGAUGAAGGCGCUGCACUAGGUAAAGAGUCGAUGAACUCGUUGCUUACAAGGAGCUGCUAGAGUUUGGAACUUAGACCCCAAGUGGGAGAAUUGUUAGAGUUUGUUAUCUUAGUUCCUUUGUCCCACAUCGCUUGGUCUGUAAAACUUGUGUAGGCUUAGUCCCACAUCGCUUGGUUUGUAAAAACUUGUGUCUCACUAGUGUUAUAUAUAGAGACACCUUGUAAGCUUUUAUGUGCAAGUAAUAAAAGUUCUCCUAGUGUAGCCGUGGACGUAGGCACAUACAUUGUGUGCUGAACCACGUUAAACUGUGUGUCUUUUUCUUUCUUCCCUUUAUUUCUUUCUCUUCUUUUAUUGCUCUAUACUAACACUUGAUCCGUAAGCCAAACUUGAUCCGUAGAAGUAAAAUCAACAUACGGAUCAAGUUAAUCCGUGGAAGACUGACGGAUCAACUUGAUCCGUGGAAAACUCGCGGAUCAACUUGAUUUGCACUUGGUUCACGAGUCUUCCACGGAUCAACUUGAUCCGCACAAGGAAAAAAAGGACAUUUUUGGAAUUUUUAAAGGAUGCUGAGUGCACCAACAAUAACGCUGGGUGCACCUAACAACACCCUUUCCUUUUUCUUGAUCACUUCCUUUUUCCCAUUUAUUUUCCCGACACACAAUUUUAGUACUACACAUCCUACAUGCACCAUCUAAAGACUCACUCACAAAUCCAGUCUAAUUAAGGACAAGUUAAUACGGAGAAAUUAAUUAGUUCUCUACUACUACUGUAUAUUUAUAAUAUUGAUCAAUCUUUACCUAACAUGAUACGUAUUUAAGUUUUUUAAUUUAAGAAAAAAAUAAUAAUGCUAAAUUGUAGACACUCUUAGAUUGUUUGAUAAUUUUUUCUCUCAAAAAAUUAUUAGAUAUCCAAAACCAUCAUAGACUCUAUUAACAUAAUAUACAAUGCCACUUAAAAAAAACAUAAUAUACAAGGCUAUUAGUUUUUUUUUAUUAAUUAAAAAACUUGAAUAUUUUUUUUAUCGACAAAUAUUCUUUGUUAAUAGAAAAGAUCAGAUUUUAUGAUUUUUUUUCUUUUUCCUUCUCCUAUAAUCAUGUAAUUUACCUUAUAUUUCCGAAAAAUCUGAAAAGGUAUCAUACAAAUUGAUUCAGGCUAUAGAGAUGUAGUGAUCCGAAACUACUUAAUAUAUAGUUUCUUCCACACUCACGGCACUCAAAUAUUUCAUUUCCUCACACAUAGACUGCACCUCCCCCCUCACACACUCACACACUCACUCAUUCACAACACCACACUGACUUAUUCAUAUUCAUCCGUCACAUGAAAGGCCAUGGCAAGCACACACACAAGUUACAAAGCAAAUCCAAACUCUUCAGUGAUGAACCUUAUUUGCACCAUGCAACCAUAAUAUCCACCCAUCAUAGAUCUUAUAGACAAUUGCAUAUAUAGCCAUCAAAGCUUUUCCCAACCAUUGAACUUCUCAACCGAGUCUUCAAAGCUUUUUCCAACCAUUGAACUUCUCAACCAAGUCUUCAAACCUUCACGUGAAUCUGUCAUCAAGACAGCCCCUAAAUUAAGCUUGAGCCGUCUGUGUCAUACACGUAUAAGAGGUCACGCAUGGUUUACAUCAAGAAAAGAAGCUAUCAUAAAGAUAUUAAUUCUAUUUUUUGUUGUUGAAUAAGUCUAGGGUAUAAUAUAUUUUUUAUUUCUCAAAAUAGUUGAGAACGAUAGUUUUGAAAUAUUUUAAAGGAUAAAAACAUAUUUUACCUAGAAUUCUAUUUGUAUUUUAUUUCUUGCUUAGUUUUCGUGGUAAAGGCGUAAGGCAUAGCCGCAUGGAUAUGAACUUAUCAUAGGGCUCCAUUGAAUCAAAUCAGUUUAAACUUAAAGCUUUUGAAAAUCAUUAUUAAAAAAAAAUGAACUUUUGAGGACACCAAAAUUACGUCACUGAAAGAGAAUAAUGACUUCUUCUUCUUCUUUUUUUUCCUGUUGUAAACUUAGGAGUUUCAAAACCCAAGUUCCAAAUUUGCAAUGGUUUCUUGUUUUUGGUUCGUAAGUGGAUUACAAAAAUUUCAUUUUAACGAAAACUUUUGGAUUAUUUUAAUAUUAUGCGCUAGUUGUAAUUAAAAGUCAUUAGGAUUGUUUUAGAAAACUAAGAAUAAAUCUAUAAUUAAUUUCUCUUAUCUUUUCAAAAUACUCAUUAGUUUUUUUUUAAAAAAAAACCAACACAGAAUAGUAUUUUUUUAGCCAUAAAAAAAAUAAGGGAACGAAAGACUGAGGGAAGAAAGCCAAUUUAAUUAAAAAAAUAGAAAAUGAAUUUUUUUUUAAAAACACAAGAAAAUAUUGGGCCAGGAAAUAAAUAUGAAUUAUAAUAAUCAAGAGCGUCAUGCAUGCUUAGUAGCUUUCUGUGCAUUAAAGAACUCUAGAGAAAUUAUGUGUUAUGAUCUAUUCUUACAAAAACAUAUGCCAUAGCCUGUGAACUGGAUCCGUGUUCAUGAUCUCUUGUAUAUGCUUUUGUUCUUUAAUUGUUAAUAAUUAAGAACACAUGCCGUAGUGCAAGUUUAAAUCACGAAGAGUUAUGGAUACCCAUAAUUUUUUAAGGGAUAUAAAAUAAACUAUCCUUUUUGUUAUUGUAAUUUAAAAAUUUAAAGACCUUCUAAUUCACCUCAUAAUCAGUUUCAAGUCCAACCAAUUCUAUUCAUCCAUGCUUCACUCAGGUUCUUUUGAGACCUUUUAAAAAAAAGAAAAAGGACAUGAUGAGGCCCUUAUUUAGAUGUAAUAGAGGUGUUUAUAUAAAAUUAAGAAGAAGAAAAAAGAUCGUCAGCAACAAAUUGAAAUGAAUGUGUAUGCAAAGUUAAAACCUAAAAGGUUAAUCGAUCAAUGAUGGAACACCCAAAUAGUCAUGUUUUAGUUUCUCCCAAGCUCCAAAGGGGAAAAGCGUUUGGUAAAAUCAGUCAAAUAAGUUAGUUGAUAAAUAUAAAUUAACACAAAAAAAUAUAUGUAAUUAUUUGAGUUAAAAAGUGAUUAAAAAACGAGUGAGAAAAAAAGAAAGCUACAAACUUAUAAACUAGAGCUUAUUUUCGUAAGUUAAUUGAUACAGUUUAUGAAAAUAAACUCCAAGUUAAUAUAAUAAACUGUACUAAAUAAACUUAUAAGUUGAUUAAAGUAAUUUGUAAACUAUUAGAGUAUCAUACGAAAACAUUUAGUAUUCGUUCAGAGUCGCAAGUUGCUAGUUUUGGAACUUGUAUUUAGAAGUUUCUCUCGGUGCUUUAAAAAUUUGGAGGUAUUUAUGGUCUUAGCUGGAUUCAGACUGUUAACUUCAUAUUAAUUUUUGCUUAGAAAAAUUUACAAUAGUUGCAUGUUGUUCCUUUCCGAUAUUUCAUUUUUGUCAUAUAAUUAGUUAAACUAGCUUAACUAUAAGCUACUAAAGUGUCUUAUUGAGGGUUUUCUCCUUGCUGCACCGUUAGGGUUUUUUUAUUGAUCCCAAGGCUUGUAUGCUUGUUUUUCCCUUGUGGUUGUCGCUCUACUUAGGGUGAUUUGCUGUCCCAAUGUGACACCUUUUAUUCUUAUAUACAUAUUUAUAUAAUAAAAUACAUGAAAAUGUGGAAUUACAUAAAAUAAUUUUAUUCAAUAAACAUAAAAGAACUCACGUGAAUAAAAGGUUCACAUUUCGGUUAAUCACCAAAUUAAAAACUUAUCAAUUAAGAGUAUGAAAAUAUUUUCGACUCAAAACAACGUCGUUCAAGUUUACAAAAGAACAUAAGUUAAGUAGCAUAAUAAAAUAAAGUAAUAUGAUGACAUGUUUGGAACAUUAUGCAAUUAAAACAGAAACUCAUGCCUUAAUGUCACAUCCUAUCAGAGCAUUAUGUCUUGACGUCCUCCAACACGAGGUUCCUUAAAGCAAUCCACCUUGUCAUAUGCUCCAACGAACACAAGUUUCGAGAUCAUCACAAGAUCCAAAUACAAACAACACACAUGGAGCGAGAAGUGAAUUGUCACAUUUCUAAACAGGUAGAGAUAAACGAAUAUAUAUAUAUAUAUAUAUAUAUAUAUAUAUAUAUAUAUAUAUAUAUAUAUAUAUAACAAGCUCAACUUAGAACAAUUCACAUCAUUUUACCACUCAUUGUGUAUCAUCACUUUUCCCAAGGAUUUAAUCACAUUUCACACCUUCACAUUAAUCGCGUGUUCAAAACAACAAAUCUCAAGUAUAACACAACAUCUCACACUCACACAAUUCAUUACCCACCAUCAUGUAGUAAGUCACAAGGAUCAUUACACAUGCGUUAUACAACAGAUACACUAAGACUCAAUCCUAUAUGCAAUAUGGUAUCAUGUCAGUGAAAAACCUCGUUAGACAUCUAAGAGUACAUGACAAGACAGAUGACACACUGGUAAGUCAGAUCACUCUCACUAGGUAAAAUAAUAGGGAGACCAGUCAGGGUCACGCUGUUUUGCGAGAAUGCUUCAAUCAUGUGGGAUCGACACAUGCUUAAAAGAGCACUCAAACUGAGUGCAUUUACCUCCAAGGCUUAGACUCCGAAGAGUCUGUCAGGUCCUCUCCCUCCUAAUUCAAGUCCAACCCAAAAAAUAUUUUAACACACAGACUCUAUCUAUGAACUAUACAAAACACACGACUCCUCAGUUGUUCUCAAAAUAAUUUUAACUCCUCGUGCCUCAAAGUGAUUCAACUCUUCAGGUUCCCACAGUGGACUCCAUCACAAUACUCGUCGCACAUUAACUUGUUGCCCUUAAAGGCUCUUACACUCGUGUGAUUUUAAGAUUCAUAGCUCACAACUCAAUGCACACAACAUCUCAAUACAUGUGUGAUCUCUCAAUUUAAUACAUACUCAACUUAUCACAUACACCNNNNNNNNNNNNNNNNNNNNNNNNNNNNNNNNNNNNNNNNNNNNNNNNNNNNNNNNNNNNNNNNNNNNNNNNNNNNNNNNNNNNNNNNNNNNNNNNNNNNAACCCAAUCUCAAUCACAAUGUUAUAAUCUCAAAGCAACAUGUUAUCACACCUCACAAAUCAUAUACACAUCACACAAUAUUAUUAUAUACAUGACACAAACACAAACUUUACCUAUAAACUAUGCAAUAUACAUAACUACUCAAUUGUUUUCAUAAUCAUUUUAACUCGUCUUGUCUCAAAGUGAUUCAACUCGUUGGGUUCUCACACGGAUCCCAUCACAAUACUCGUUGCGAAAAAACUCGUUACCCUUAAAGGGUCUUACAAUUGUGUGAUUGCACAACUCAUAUCACAACUCAAUACAUACAAUAUCUCAAUAGACAUGUAUCUCACAAUUCAUCACAUAUUCAAUUUAUCACUUACACGCAAUUUCAUGAUCCCAAUAUAACAAUUUAUCAUGCUAAUCUAGUAAAUCUUGUCCGAAACACAAACAAAUUAUACAAAAAAAUGUUUCUCACAACAUAGGGAGUAAAACCCCUUAAACAAUUUCACAUAAUCAUAUCAAAAUAAAAUAAUCAAAAUCAUAGGUCAAAAACACACGAACACUAAGAGCACUCAAUUUCAUCAACCAAUUCGCAUCAGGGCAUCAAUUGGUCUGUCAAACAAAACAAUCUCAUAAUUAUAAUCGUAAAGGAAGAAUUACAAUACAAUAAACAUCUCAAAAUAAACUAUAAUUUGAUCCUCUAAGGAUCCCUACACAUGUUCAUUCUAACCCCAAUUGCGAUAAACUCAUCUCUUACCUCUAAACGGGCUCACAUGUGUAGUUCGACAAUGAUAGUGGCAUCUCUAUUGGUUCCAUAAGAUUUCUAAAGCUUUUCUUCUGGUUGCUCUGCUAGGGUUUCCAAGCAUUAGAGAGAAGGAGAAGGGAUUGGAACCUCAAUUUUACUGUCUCCAUGUGAGGGGAAUUUCUCUCUCUACAAACAUUAUUUCACAAAACCCAAUGGUGAGAAUGUGUAAAAAUGUGUUUCAAAGGUGGUCUCCAUAUUUUACAAUGAUUCAAUGGUUAAUGAGUCUGAAAUUGUAGUUGUACGAGGACAUGUUUGAAUGUAUGUAGGAAAAAGAGAGGAUUUUGAGAGAGGAAGAAGGGAAAACGAACUUGAGAAGAGAAGGCAUAGAGACGUAAAUGUAAGAAAUGACCUAACAUGUUUUUAUUUAUAACUAGGGUACUCUCAACCUAUUAUUUACUCUAUUUUUAUUUAUUUUAUAAAAAAAACUUUAUUUCACUCUUUCAUUGAAUAGAUAACCAAUUAAAAUAUCCAUUUAUUUUCUAAAACAUCAUUUUACUCUAUUUAUUUUCUAAUACUAUGAAACCCUUAUUUUAAUUAACAAAAACUUUUUUCUCUCAUUUAUUUAAUUUUUAAAAACUCUAUUAAUUUUUAAAUAAAACUCUUUUUAUUUAUUUGACGAAAAUCUGGUGUUACGCCUAAUAUAAUAUUUAUGCCUAUUUGGUACUUACCAAAACAACGUCGAAUGGAUCAUGGAAAUAACCUUGACCUCGCUGAUGAGGAAAAGGAAAUAAUAGAGUUGUCAAAACCGAAGGAAACAAGUCAACUGGGUAAGGUGGAUGUGGAAGGCAAUUAGACGGUCUUCAUCUUACAAGAGAUUUUAUGGAGUUGAAUUAGGUUAAAAAGCCCAAAUUCUAGAAAAUUUCCAUAAAAAUCAUGUUUUCGAUAUCAAAUAUUGUAAAAAAAUAGUUAAAACAACUAUGUAUGCAUUUUGUUCUCUUCUGAACAUACAUAAACAACAUUUUCCAGUUUAAAACAAGAUGUUGUCAUGUGAUAUGUGAGGAAGGAGAAAUUACAAAUAGUUUAAACAACUGUGCAUUUUGUUCUCUUCUGAAUACACAUAACCACCAUGAUUUUAAAUUGCAAUUGCGGUUGUAGUUGAAGUUCAGUUGCAAUUGUGGUGUGUCACAAAAUUUUUAUAUUAUGGGAAAGUGUGACUUAUGCAGUCACAAUAUGAUUAUGGAAAGUCAAAAUAUCUUGACGUUGCGACCACAAUUGUGGUUGUGGACCACUAUUUAAAAUCAUAAUAAACACCAUCUUAAGGCUCAAAAACAAGGAGGAAUUAUUAAGUAGUCGUGUAUUCAAGUUUUUCAAUUUACAAAAAAAAAAAAAAGAUUAAUAACAGUCAACUACACGUUACAUGAUGAGGCUAACCAGGGAGGCAGUGUUGCACUGGUGAGGAGAGUUGCGUUAGGGUUUCAAAUGAGAGACAAAAGGGGUUCUGCACUUGCAAACACGUAGUAAAUGAAUGACCAGAGAACGCAUAGUAAAUGUUCUAUCCUUUGUAACGAUAAUAGUCCAUUUAGUGUUUGUUAAUACAUUUUACAAGUAGAUAUAAAAUAUAAAAAAAAUUAACACUAUCUUGUGCAUUAUAAAAAUAUUUAUAGAAACAUAUAAAGUAUAUAUAAAAAAAUAAUAUUAUAAUAAUGUUAAAGAAAAUAUAUUUUAUUCAUAAAAAAUAAAAUGUAAAAAAUGCAGAAUUUGAAACUUCAUCUUCUUUAAAUUUCAAUCUCAUAUUUAUAUAAACUUUUUUUUCUUCUUCUAAAAACAAGAUAUUCCCAUGAUGAGAAGUUACUACAUUAAUUCUAUAAAUUAGUUAAGAGAUAAUUUCUCUUUUCACACAUAUCAUUUUAUUUAUAAAGAAAUCAAACCACUCGUAUAUUUAAAAGAGUAAAAAUUACUAGUGGCUACAUCCCAUGAGUAAACUAAAAUUAGCUUAGCUAUAAGUUAAGUAAACUUUUACAGGAACUAAUAUAAAAGAAAUUUUAUGAAUUGACUUAAAAAUAAUUAAAAUUUAAAAAAAAAUAUUUUAUUUUAUUUUUCUAAUUUUUAAUAUUAUUUUUAUUUUUAUUUAUAAGUCUCGAAAAUUAAAUUUAUUAUUUUUAUUAAGAUUCAAUUUAUUAUAUUUAUUGUAUUAAUUAUUUUUAAAUUAAAAUAUUCCUAAUUAAAUAAGAGAAAUAUUACAGUGAUAAAUACUUUAUUUAGAAGAGAAAAAAAAUUAUCGUAAUACAUAUGCCUUUUAAAUAACUUUUUACAUUUUAAGAAACGAAUCUCUAAUUUUCAGUCAAAGUUACCUAAAAAAAAAGAAAAGAGAAGAAAAUCCCUUAUUAAAUUAAUUAACAUUGACAAUGGCAUUUCAUUGUGGUAGAAAAAGUUCCCUUAAAUAAUAAAUGAGUACUUGAUCUACAUUUUCUCUCUCUUCAUUCUCCAACAUCUACGUUAUCUCCUCCAAUUCUUUAAAAUAUUUAUAGAAACAUAUAAAGUAUAUAUAAAAAAAUAAUAUUAUAAUAAUGUUAAAGAAAAUAUAUUUUAUUCAUAAAAAAUAAAAUGUAAAAAAUGCAGAAUUUGAAACUCUUCUUUAAAUUUCAAUCUCACAUUGUAAAAAAUGCUGAAUUUGAAACUCUUCUUUAAAAAAGUUUACAUAUAAAGUUUUUAUUUUAUUUUCAAAUGAACUAAUAUGCAAUAAUUUAUAUAAAUAUGUGUUAUAUUUAAAUGAUAAUCAUGAAAUAAUAAAAUUAAAAUUACAGAAUUUCUUUUAAAAAUUUAGUUUAAUUUUUAAAUGUUUACCUUUUGAAUUUGUUAUUGUUUAUUAAUUAUUACAUUUUUUAAAUUAAAACAUAAUUAAUAACUCAAUAUAUUAUUUUUAAAUAUAUAUAUAUAUAUAUAUAUAUAUAUAUAUAUAUAAUUAAAGAAAAAGAGUUGAUAUUAACCUCGGUUCUUUGAAAAUCGAUGUCGUUAAGCACUUUUUAACAUUGGUUAUUUGAAAACCGAUGUUGUAAGUGUUUAACGACAUCGGUUUUCAAAUAACCGAUGUUCAUGGGACGAUGUUAAAACUCAUUUUUUUAGUAGUGAGGGAUUGUAAUGAUCUCAUACCUUCUAAUAAUUUCUUUGCUACAAAGUUGUUUGGAGUUUGGAUGUUUAUGGCAAAGUAUGUGAAAAGGCACCUAAUGGCCUUUUAAGUUGGCAUUUUCACUUUAAAUUAUUGGUUGAGAGACAAACCCACUAACUAAAUAUUUGCAAGCAAUGAAGAAAAAGAAUAACAAUAUCCUCCGACCUUAUGUGUUUAAUAGAGGUUAAUAACUAACAUAGGCAUAAUAACAUUAUCAAUCAAUGUAGAAAAAGCAUUAAUACAUGCAGCAAUAAUUCUCACUGAUAAAUGAGAAUGCAAAUGUUACAGUGAAAGAUUUAAAAGAACAAUUAGCAACCUUGCUAUGAUACUAAGUGCAGGUUUGAAUUAAAGAAGAGUACAAAAGCCUAUUGAGAGAGGAAUGAUCUCUGAGUUGUCGCUGUUUUCGGGUUAAGCAUGGGAAUGAGUAUGUUGGAGUUGAAGUUGGCUUCGGUGGAUUUUCAAACAAGAGCCUUCGAUAUUUCGGUGUGACAAAUGGUAGAUGAGGUUGUUGCUCGAGACUCAAGAGGGGACAGAUAGGAAGAUGAGGUUCUUGCUUUCAUUUCAGUCUCUGUUGCAAUACUCUAAUUAUAGUCCCUAAUGAUUUGGCAUCUUAGUUGCCAGCCGCAUGUGUCAUGGGUAUGCCAAAUAGGCACUUAGCGUGUCACAUAACACAAAUGUUAUUGUAUGUUGUGCAGUCAAAGGGGAAUAAACAUCGAGAAAAUUUACACUAAUGGAUCAUCAAAUAAACACAUAAGUGAAUCUACACCACAUUUUAAUCCAAUGUGUGACUUCACCUUACACUUAAUUGUUGGAUUGAGGAGCGAGAUGGUUUGCACUUCCAAGGAUUAUUUUUUUAAUUUUAAAGUGUUACACACUUUUAGGGACCAAAAUGAUAUUUAACCCUAUAUUUUGAGUAAUACUUGUAUCUGAAUCUGUAUAACUAAAUAUGUCUUGUCAUAUAAGAUUCUUAAAUUUACUUUAGUAGGCAAACUGGAUAAGAUUAUUGCUAAAAUAAAAGCAACAAAAAUGGUGAAACCUAAUUGUUCAGCAUUUUCAGAGGAACCUGUGAAGGCACUCAUCUUGUUGACAUAGGCUUUGUACUCUGGACUCAUCUUUUGAAACGUUAUUAUGUCACAUGCUACUAAUUAAGUUGAAAAAACAAAGUACAUUGUUUUAGAAGCUAAAGAAGAGUUAUUUAAAAUUUGUAGUGAAAAUGUAGUGUGAAAAGCUAUUUGCAAUUUGCUUCAUUAAUAAAGUGGACAACUCAAUUGUUGAUUUCGUUACUAAAUUUCAAUGGUUUUGGUUGAAUAAGGAAUUCAGUGGACUGAGAAGUUGUGCUUAAGAGGAAGAGAGUGUUUGGAUACAUGUUUUGAAAUGGGAAAGAAUGAUUAAAAGAGAUAGAAAUUAGCUUGUCCAACAAUGCUAUUCUAUUGAUAUUUUCUUCAUACCAUUUAUCUUAGAAGACAAAUGAUUCCUUUUUAUAUUUUUUUCUAUUGCCUUCCUUUCCAUGAUCUUUUUUGUUUUAACCAUUAACUGAGUUGGAAUAGUAGUAAAAUCAUGUAGAUAUUUGUUUUCAUUUGGUGGGGGCGAUAUGAAUGAGAAAAAUCCAUACAACCAAACAAAGUUGGGGCUCAGAAGAAAGAGAAACAUCCCUCCCUUAAAGAAUAACUAAGUUAGAUUUCUUAGGAAAAUUUGUUGAUACUAACAUCUUGUAUACAAAUUUCUAUACCACUUUCAUUUUAAACACUAUUAGUUCCUCAGUCAUGAACUUUCUAUAUUGAAAAUUUGUCGUCUAUUUCUUUUACAGGCAGUGGCUUAGCUUUUCAUAUUUUGCCAGAUUAAAUUAUGAGUUACUCUUUGAACUUUUUAUGCAAUACUUGACUAUUGAUUUUUUCUUAUAGUUGUCAUCUCAUGCAAUGCACUUUUAAGAUAAGGUUACAUUGUUUGGUCGAGAGCAACAAUUUACUUAUGACCAUUAUAUAUUCAAAAUGUAUGCUUGGCCAUUAAUCAACCAACCAUGAUAAGCCCCAUCAUCCACCACCCCUUCUAUACCAUAGGCACAUUUUGCUUAUCUACUUUGCUACUGUUACUUUUAAACAAGUCAAACAAAUAAUAUGGUUUUAAAUCGUAGUUGUGAUUACAGAUGUGAUGAGUCAGAAAAGCUUUACAUUGUGCAAAAAUACGACUGAUGCGAUCAUAAUUACGAUUGCGGUGAUAUGAAAAACCUUAACAUUCUGGUCACAAUUAUGAUUAUAGACUGCAAUUUAAUAUGUAUUACUUAAGCUAAUGAACAUGUUGAGUGUUAGUUGAUAUGGUUCUCUAUAUCUUUUUUCCAAUACAAAUUCACCUUUAAAAUAUAAAACAUUACUGUAACAAAGGGACAAAGACAAAGGGUGCCACUUAACCCAUACAUGGGAAAUGAUGGUCAUAAAAUAUGUUAGGCCAAAAUGCAAACUACACAAAAAUAACAUCAACUCCACCAUAGUCACACAUUUAUGUUCUUCCAAGAAAGAGAUAACAUAAUGAAGCCUCCUCCAAGUGUCACCUCUACAUGGUACCUAACGAUAAGGUUACCAUUCAAUUUUUUCCCUUACUCGUGUGGCCAAUAUGUUGAAAUGUCAUCACUUAUACAAUCAAUGGUUGUAACUUCACAGCAACCGAUCCUCUUCAUUUCACACCAUUGGAUGAGUACUACAAAAAUGACACCCUUAAAUAUAGCAAGUUUGAGUAGAAUCUAGCAGCUGAAGCAAAAGUAAUUUAGAGAAAAGAAGGAAAUGGCUUCCUCACCGAUCUCCUCCCCAGUAGUUACCAUCAUUAACCGUGUCGGUGUCAGCAUGGUUGCCCCUUUCACUGGCCUCAAAUCCAUGGCUGGCAUCCCUACCAGGAAGACCAACAGUGACAUUACCUCCAUUGCUACCAAUGGUGGAAGAGUAUAAUGCAUGCAGGUAAGACAAUUCCAAACAUACAAACACAAAAGGCACCAAAAUGAUUAUAAUUGAUGUUACAUAUUUAUGUAUGCUACAAAAUGUUACUUAAAUUAACAUGAUAGUUAUAGGAAAAUAUGCUCAUGUGCAAGUUUGUUAACUCAAUUUUCAUGUAAAUUAAUUACUAGGUGUGGCCUCCAGUUGGCAAGAAGAAGUUUGGGACUUUUUCCUACCUGCCAGACCUUGAUGAUGCCCAAUUGGCUAAGGAAGUAUAAUAC